rnacentral:lncRNA from 1 species
UUUAAAAAGGUAAUGGAAAGAGAAGUGAAGAAGAAGAAGAAAAAAAACUCUAAAAUUAACAAACUAAUAGCACUAUCUUUAGGGGCCAUAUGGUUAAUUUAGAGUUUUAUACUUUUUCUAAUCUCUCCGAAGAUCCUACAUCCAUGGUGCUAUCAUCCCACAUGCCAUUCCCCAUUCGCCUCAUAGAAUUCAUCAAUACAUGCAUGCAUCUACAUUUUUUUCUAGCUUUCUUUAUCCAACGAUCAUGCAAUGCUUGAUCGCAUGUCUCUGAUUCUUGAUGCUAAUACAAUAAUCUAUCAAUCGUUCAUACUCCAUGUCAUAGGGGUCGCCGGCCUUGGGAUCCUUUAGAGAGCCCGUCAAUCAUAGCGACAUUGGCUCUAAGCUCCUUGCAGGUGAUGUUGAAUCCGAUGAUGGGGAGAUCAUCAGGAGAAGGAGGAGGAGGAGGAGGCGACAAUGUGUUAAUCGAUGACAAUGUCCUCGACUCAUUGCCAUUGCCACCUCUUCCCAUGCGGCCGACCCCACGAUGCCGACGACAUUCAUCGCGGCCACAAAGGCAUGUCAUUGUCGAAUUCUCAGGGCCAUGGACACUGCAACCGUGGUCAUCAUCACAUCUCAAGGUUCCAUCAUUUGAAUUAUAUGAUGAAUUAAUCAUAAUAAUAAGUGCAAAUCAAGUUAUCAGUAUGGCUUGGAUUGCCAGGAGGAAGAAGAAGCAAAGGACAAAACAACAACGUUGGUUGAGGAGCUUGAGGGGAAGGCGGCCAUGGCAGAGGCGAGAUUGAGGCAAAAAGAGGAGGAGAAUGCUGAACUGAAACGGAAGUUUGAGGGUUACCAUGUUAGGUGGCUGCAACACGAGAUUAGGCUCAGCUCUCUCAAGGAAACCAUUGAUGAACAAAUGAUUUCUCUACAGGUCAGCAUCAUAACACUAUCACCAGCUACGUAAUUAAUCAAACCAUUUUUGCAGCCAUUCACGUGACAAAGUGACAAUAAUCUAACUAACCUCGAUUGAUUGUCUGAAUCUCACAGGUGGCUCAAGAAUGUGUAGAAAAGAGAUCACGUGAAAUGUUAUCACUAUAUGACCGCCAAGAAUCCUCGGAAUCCUACGUGAAGAUGUCUAAGGAAACAUCGGCGAGGUUGGCGCACAGCUCUCGCCAUUAUGCGGGCAUUGCUCGUGGUACAUGCACGGAGUUCCGACAACAGAGCCAAGCACUCGUGGAGUCAAGGGAGCCAUGGCAGCCAAGCACUCAAGGUGGGAAUUCCAUUGAUGACCUCGAGAAGCUCAAGUCAAAUUUUUGCAUGUGGAAGAAGGAUUACAAAGCUCGACUACGGAAAGCCAUGGCCGCUGAGCUAGAUUUAGAGGGAAGACAUCGAAGCAUAUGCUGGAUUUAACCACAUAACGUAUAAUCAUAUAUAUGUGUGUGCUAUUGUUUCUUGUAGUGAUAAAAACUAGUGUGGUUUUACAUAUUUGAUGUUUUUAUCAAGGCAUGCAUUUGAUAUAAAGGUUGCUAAAAUGCUAAGAACCUCCUAUAAAGUGCAGAGUAAAAACACCAAUAGAAAUAAGAAUGUUAUGUUUCAUCGCGUCAAUCAAAUCCCCGUACCAAUUUUAUGGUGCAUCUAUUUAUUAAACAGCAAAAAUCAUUUGGUCUCAUGGUUUAGAUAAGUAAACAUCUCAACGACCUUGUGUUGGAGACGGUAUGAGCAAAUAAAAACACCUUUAAUACCCUUAUGUGAGGAGGAAACUAAAAGAACUUGCUUACGCCUUGUAUUUUAUACUUGUUGACUUGUCAACCGAAAAGAAAGAAAACUUAAAUAUAGAGUUUUUUUUGUUGAGGUCAAUUUUUCAUAUUUAACCUUUAAACCACUCAUAAUACAUAUACUACAUUUUUUUGUUGAACAAUUUCUCACAAUAUCACCGCUAUUAAAGCUCGUGGUCACAUGCCAUGAAGGACUCAAACCAAAACCCAUGAUAGCAAUUGACCUCCUACUACACAACUACACAAGCCAACCCAAGAGAUUUGUAGUGAUAUCCACGUUUUUCUUGUUGCUAACCACAAUUAGGGACGGUGGAGAUUGUAUGGACAGAUCCACAAUAAUGUCCCUUCUUCCUUUUUCACCUCAAACCAACAUCUGAUUAUGCCAUCUUUUACUGUGCUCACAAACAUGAGAUCCCUUUCCCUAAUUGGUGACAACCCUGAUGCAGCCAAGGCAAAAGUUGGAGGAGAUUUGGUGGCACACUGGCACUGGUACUCAACUCAAGAUCAAUCCAACUUUUUUUGACAUCAUAAGUUUUAUGGAUGAAAUCACUUGCCUUUGCAACAAGAUUUGGAUGCAUGUCAUGCUGUGGUUCGAUGUUGAACGGCCGUGUGCUUCAAAGCGGGAACGAAGACCACUGUAGGUGAGGGAGAAAGUUGAGGGAUGGUGAGAUGAGAGGGACAGCCAUAGGUUAUGAGAGGGACAGCCUUCUAUUGUACAUGCUCUUAUACAAAAUUGUCCUAUAAACAAUUUACGGUGCAGUUGUUCAACCACUGAUGUAUAUAUAUAGUGGUGUAGCAGCUGUAGAAUCGCAUGGGUGCAUCAUCAGACCAAAGGUCAGGGUUAAUUUUCAGUCUCAGAAUCUGUCAAUCAACAUAUUAGCUGGACAAAUCCUGUAAAAACUAACCUUUAUUGAAAGGAACAGCAUGAUUUGACAGCCAUGGAGACGCAUGUAGUAACCCCUUUUUCCCGGCGUGGCUGUGUACCAUCCGCUGCCAAUCAGAAAAAAAAAAGGAAAAUAUAUGCUUGCUUUUCUCUAUAUUAUCCGUCCCAGCUAGUACAUCUACACGGUUAUUAGAAAGUUCGCUCAAAAUUAGCAGCAGUGAGGAUAUUAUAAAAAGGUUUAUUGUUUAUUAACCCACUAUCAAAACCAAAUGCCAUUUCAAUUUGGUGCCUAAUUAUUUUUGCCCUGGCUUAACUUGGAUAAACUAAGCAGGCAGUGAACGGAAGGCACUAAAAAGGGUCAAAAAGAUUCAUGCGUACCCCCCCGAGGGCAAAUGUCCCAUUUUUGAAUCGGAUCAAACUUCUAGUGUGAAACUUUAUACACAUAAACUUUAUAUAGAUAAAAUUUAUAUAUAUGAACUUCAAUAUCUAAAUCAAACUUGGUUCCAUUUUAUACAAAGAAACAUUCCACAUUGAAACCUUAUAUACAUAAGGUUUUCCUAAAAUAGUAUUUCUACACACAGAAGACACAUCUAAUUUCGACAUGGCUCCAAUUUCAACAUCAAAACUUUAUUUCUAAUCAAACAUUUUCUUUACAUAGAACAUUUUUACAUAUAAGCUGUGUUUAGAUCUAAAGUUUGGAUCUAAAUUUCAGUCAUUUUCCAUCACAUCAACCUAUCAUAUACACACAACUUUUCAGUCAUAUCAUCUCCAAUUUCAAACAAAAUUUAAACUUUGCGCUGAACUAAACACAAAACACAGCCAUAGAAACAUGAACCGCGCACACACAUGUGCCGUGCGGAACACGCUUGCAUAUUUACCACGUCCCGCGUAAAUGUUUGCAUGCUACACCUCAUAACACACACAAUGUUUGCAUGCACCGUUCCCGCGCAAAUGUCCACGCAUAACACCCAGCGCGCACAUUUGCGUGCACCAUUCCCGCGUAAAUGUUUAAACGUUCGCGCAUUACACUACACACUGUACACACAUUUGCAUAUACCGCGCGAAUGUCCCUUCAUAAACACCCAAAAAAAAGGUGUGAAAACAAAAGGAGAAAAAAACCACGAGGAGGAGGAAAAAUGGGAGGAAGGUGGAGAGGGCCAGCGUGUGAAAAGGGCUCGGCACCGUGCCGGCGACCCGGGCCAAAAAAGGCCCGGGUGAUGCGAAUGUGCGGUGCGGUGCGGUGCGGUGAGCCAGAAGUAGACCGGCGCACCGAGGCUGGGCUGGUAGUACACUACACUGGUGAACCCGUACGAGCCGCGUGUAUUUAGCGAGCGGCAGUAGCACGGUGGAGACGGCACACGCACCGCUUCGCCCCGCCGAAGAGACGGACGCCUCCACACGUCUCUUCCUCUUCCUUGAUACUGAGAGAGAGAGAGAGAGGAGGAGGAGGAGGACCAGCCAUCCACCCGCGCGGCCGCGGCGAAUCCAUCCAAUCCGCGUCGAUGCGGCGGCGGCGGCGGUAGCGGGGAGGGGGUGGAAAUGGUGGGGGAUCAGGAGGGGAGGCGGCAGCGGCGGCGGGGGUGGGGGGAGGAGGAGGAGGACCGCAUCUCGGACCUCCCCGACGCGCUGCGGCUCCAGAUUCUGAGCCUCCUGCCGCUCAAGUCGGCAAUCCGGACGGGGGCCCUCUCGUCGCGGUGGCGGGGGUUGUGGGAGCAGCGGUGGCCCGACCCGUCGUCGCUCGACGUGCGGCUGCCAUCGGGGGGAGGAGCCGCGUCGGCGUCGGUGGCGGCGCUGCGGGCCGAGCACCUCGCAGGCAUCGACCGGCGCGGGAGGCGGCGGAUGGACCUCUUCUCGCUCGCCUUCCACGCGGGGCAGCUCGCGCCCCCCGAGCUGAAGCGGUUCAUCGAGUACGCGGCGGCGUGCGACGUGGAGGAGGUGCGGCUGCGGCUCGACGGCGGCGGCGGGCGUGGGGCGAGAGGGGGCACGCGGCGGCCCGGCGCGCUCGCCGUGCACUUCCCCAUCGGGAGCAAGCUCCUCGCGCGGCUGUCGGUGCGGGGGCUCCACCUCACGGCGUCCGCCAACGCGAUGGUCGCCACGCUCGAGGUGAUCCAUUUCCACUCCGUCUCCCUCACCGACGCCGCGCUGCGGCGGGUGGUCUCCGCCUGCCCGCGCCUCCGCGAGCUCGAGCUCCGGUACUGCCGACACCUCCGCCGUAUCGAUUUCACCGUCGGGGCCUCCAAUCUCAAGAGCCUCACCGUCGUCGACUGCUCCCGCGCCACGGAGCUGCGCGUGCCAUCGGCGCCCCUCCUCCGGUCGUUCCGGUUCAGCGGCGCGUUCCUCUGCAGCAACAUUUUCGGUAGCACCGCGGAUUGUGUCGAGCAUCUCUACCUCUGCUCCGGCGGGCCGGAGACAGGUUUGCCGCGCACCAACUUGCCGUCGGCAGUCCCCCGCCUGUCAAACCUCACCGUACUCACCCUAUGCAGCAUUGCUCUCCAGGUCUGCCCAAGUAUCUAUGCCGUCUUUGGUUGCGUUUCAUUUUGUUGCUUUUGUGCUUAUACUUGCACGCCUUGUAGUAUGUCUCUGCUUCAGUAGCCACCCCCAACGUGGAGAAGAGCUUGAACAGCUUGAGAGAGCUCCAGCUGCUCAUGUUCGGAAUGGCCAACUCCAACCUCGCAGAUAUCUAUAGCUUCCUCAAGGCCUGCCGUUGUCCUCAGUUGGAGAGGCUCUUCGUGCAGGUUGUUAUUUCUAGGCAAAAUGCAUUUUGUUGCUAGUUUACUUAUAGGUGUGUGCCAUUUAUGUACUUAACAUAUUGUGUUCAACAUUGCAGCUCCCAACAAACACUUAUGAUUCGUUCACGACGAAUUAUUUGGAGGUAGCAGAGGAAGAACCGCCUGAAGGCGGAUUAGAAAACCUUCGGUUGGUCAAGAUGACAAACUUCAAGGGUUAUCGCAAUGAACUACGACUGGUGGAUUUCCUGCUGAGGAAAGCUAGCCGUCUUAACAAACUGUUCCUGAUUGCUCCCAAGGAGGUUCACCCACAAGGCCUCCGAAAGGUCCACUCGGAGGCACUGCCCCAUUUUCUCAAGACAGAUGUAUUGCAUCUUGAAAGAGCUUCAGCAAUCGCCCAGAUAAUUUUUGAUGAGUCUGUUAGUCCUCAGAUACUACCCUUGCAUUCGGAGGUCUUUGUCAGAGUUUAGCUGAAAUAAGCAAUUGCACCGUAGUUUAAUUGCUGCUCCUUAAUUAUUACCAUUAUAGCUUUUAGGCAACAGACAUGAAAAAGAUCUGCAAGCAUACAAAGUUUGGUAUAAUAUAUUUGCAAUUUAUGUUUUGAAAUGUCUGGGUAAGAUGGUUGAAAUUUGUGGUAUUCCAGUCCUCUUAUGAUCCUCGUGUUCUGGCAAGAUGAUUGAAACUAUAGUUUGGUAUAACAUAAUUGCAAUUUGUGUUUUCAAAUGCCUGAAUUUUCCUUGUCCAAAAUCCCCUCAAGAGUUAGCUUAUUUAAAAUUUGCUUUUGGCAUGCCAUCUAGCUAAAACAUACACCAAUGUGUGUUAUGAACAUAACUGUGUGUUAUGUGGUACCAAUUAUCUGUAAGAUACCAUUUAUAAAAAUGAUUUACCCUGGAGGUGGACUGGUAUGUUUUGCACUCUAAAAUUGGUGAGCUAUUCUGUUGCCUGAUCUUCAUGACACAUGUAAAAAAAUACAUUAGAGAAGAAAUGAACACGGAGAAAGUGUCUUACCGAUUAUAAAUUUGGACAAACUACAGAAGUUAUGGACAUCAAUGUAGCAUAUUCAAUUGUUCGUGAACGUGAAAAAUAUGGUUUGAACUUAGAUAGGACAGGUGGCACGGAUGACAGAACACGUGUUUCUACAUUCAACUAAUGUGAAUUGAUAUGGGCUAUGUGUUCUUUUUCCCACUCCUUGGACUGUAUGUCACGAAUUAAGUUACCUGUGCAACCUUAAGAGUGGUUUUCAUUAGCGGUCCUCAGAGAAUCCUGGUCUUGUAUAAUGUGUCUUAUACAUCUUUCAGCAUGCCUUUCUUGCCUGUGAAACUGUGCGUAUAUCUUGUUUAAGUUGGUAAUGCACGAAAGUUCCCAAGGAGUUUCUUAAGAAACAAAUACUUUCUUAAAAUUCGUAUUCUGUGUAUAUUCUUGACUUAUGUUCAUCAAUAGCAAACAUAUUUCAGUAUAGAAGCUGAAAAAAAAGUGGCGCAGAUGUACUCAAAUAGGAAUGUAAAUUUGAAUGAACUCUUGCUCUUCACUCUUUAUUCACUAUAGAGGUUCUUUAGUCAGUUGGACUCCAGUUUUUUAUACUUCAUGCAAAUAUAUACUAGUAUAAGCUUGUUUGAUGAUUUCUAGCAUCUAUGCUCAUUUGGUGCUUGGAAUAGAGGGAGUCCUGUACUGAUGUUUAUGCAUUUCUAUUUUGUGUGGUGGUUGCUUGCUUCCUGCUGUUAUGAAAUGCAUCUGAGUUCUGAAGGAGUUGGUUUGAUUCUUCUUUCUCUCCCUUCCUUUUCUUUCUUUCUUUCUUUCUUUUUAAUUAUUUUAAAUGGAUGGAAUGCUUUCUAAAUUCCAACCAAUGUAUUUAGUUUUCUGAUCUACAUUUAUUUUAAGUCAGUGUGACAAAGUUACGAUGAAAGAUAGCUUUGUGUCGGCUUUGUAUGGAAGCUGAAUUACUUGUGGUGUUGGUGGGAGCCAGUUUUACUCGAUACUAGCAACAUUGACUUUUCAUGCAAUCAUAUAUCUGAGAAGGGCACUGAUGAAACAUAUGGUGGUAAGUUAAGUCAUAUGGAAGCGCUAUAUAACUCAUGCUCAAAAUGUGGUGUUGGGACUCUUAUACCUGCUUUUUAUUUGGGGCUAGUAUCAUGGCCUCUUAGUUCUGUUAAAUACUUGAAUGUUUGGGUCAUUUGGAUGCUGAGGGAUGAGAUCAAUUGAUGAACAGUUCUUAGCUAGCUUUGUUUCUUGGCUUUGCAGUGUUGGAGGAGGCAUGACUGAAUGAACCAUUUCAUGCUGAUGAUUUCCUGAUGUAAGCUCACACUGCCCCUAAGAAGGUGGUAUUACCCUUGGUCUGUUGGGUUAGCUGGGGGGACCUGGGUGGAGCAUCUUUAUGAAAUUUCUUAUGUGCUCCUUAUAUGAACUGAAAGUCAUAUCACCUUUUAUUGUUUUGCAUUUGCACCUUAUAAUGCCAGUGUGCCACAUAGAACUAUUGAGCCACACAGCAUUGUGAUUUGUGGAAUGAUAUGGGUAAUGUUGAUAAAGGUAUCCAUUAUGCUACAACCUAUUUUAUGCAUUUUUAUGUUGAAAAGCACUGUUACUAAUGUGUUUGUAUUUUGCUAUAUUUUGAACCCUUUAGGAUAUGAACCUUACAUACAUGUCUAUUGAAUAACACUUUCCUUGCCCCGCAAAAAAAAGAAUAACGUUAACUUUUCUUGGGCUUAGUGAUUUCUAAGCUUUAUGGGAUUCACACUUUCUCUGUCGUGUGUUUCUGUAGUAGUACUUGCAUUUUUCUACCUACUGGUUCACAGGCGUUUAAAGGCUGGUCAACAAACAGUAACAUACCAUGACAAGAAUAACUAGGCUAUUGGUAUUUAGUUGUGAGAUAAUUUUCUGUAAAUAUAUGCAUUUUCAUUUUUUUUUGUCAAAUCCUUCUCUUUGCCUUCCUAGGUUAUGGAUAUUUAGAUAAUUUUCCAUUUUGAUGUCAAAUCCUUCUCUUUGCCUGACACAUUCAAAGAUGACUUUAUUUGAUGACUUUUUCAUGCUUACAUAGCUACUUAUGAUUGUUCUCCAAAGCACAGUAAAAUAUCGUUACAUCCAGAACAAAUUUGAUAUGCCAUGUCAUAAUUUCUGCAAGUUAAUCCAUACUUCUGCUUUAUAUUAAUAUAGAUUCUUGGGUUUUUAUCAGAAGUUGAAAGCAACGUUGAGAAUUCCACCGUUUAAUGUUCAAUGCCUAUUGACUCAAGGGGUUGUACACUACACUACACUAGAAGCACCUGUACAGAUCCGAUUGUGGCUGGGAGGACCAAGGAGAUUUAGUUGUUUGGUAACCUAUUGCACACAAAUACUCACUUUAAAAUCCUAAUACUUUUGGGGUGAUUUGUGUUUAAUUAGACAUUUUCAUGCAAACCUAAUCAUUUCUUGAGAAAUAAUUUAUGGUAGCACCUCCAUUGAUAAAAUUUACCGUUGGUGAUUUCUCAAUACUUGAGAAAUAAUCUAUAUAUUCUUUUAUUUUAGUCUGCAAUCUAUCUAAAAUUAACUUUUCAAAGAUACAUGAGCUACAUAUAUCCUCUACUAACAGUGCCACCUUGCAAAAAAAUCAGGAAGGAGGAGCAGCUUACAAGAUCUCAAGGAAUGUGAUUGGUUACUUGGAACGCCUUCACAUAUGUCGGUGAGGAAAUGAAGGGAUGUCCUACUUUUUGUGAUCUAUGGUGGCAUGGUGGGCCUACUGUGAUUGCCCCUGUAGCAGAGGUACAUGAUUUUAUUAUUGAAGGUCUCCCACAACUUUAAGUUAUUCAGUCUGCAUGUUAUGUUGAAUAUGUUAGGUACAUAUUUACAUAUGACAACCCCUAUUUUCAAUACUAGCUACAAUUCUUUUUCAAGAUGGCUACUAACUUGAUUAAGAAAGACUGGGUAAAGAAUUUCCUGUUACAAGUGUAUACCCAGCCUCGUUAAUAUUUCUUAUAUAAACUGAAGUCAGCCUUUGCCAAUUAGAAUAACAUCUUAGUAGAACACUAUACUACCUCUGUUCUUGAGCAAUAGACAAUUUGACCAUUCCAUGUAGAACAAGGCAACAAAUUUUGUGACCAAUUUGCCCUUGGCAAUUGUUAGGAGAUGGUAUUAAAAAAAAGAAUAAAUGGGAGGUGGGGGGAAAGGAAUGGAUCCAAAAUAGAAGUAUCUAGAGGUUUUCUCUAUGGUGGAAGAUUGAUUUAGACCCACAAGUGUAGCCAUGGGAAAGUAGGGGCAAAAUUGGAUUUUACCAAUGAAAGUAUGGUGGUGACAAAUAUUCUGAAACAAAUGAUUUGGUCAAAUUGCCAGUUAUUCAAGAACGGAUGGAGUAUUAUUUGCCUCUGAUAAAUUCUUUUCUUAUAUCACUCAUUUUGUUCAGUUAAUUUAAUUACAUAAUUUUAAUAAUAAGCUAGUAUUACUUCAUGCUAAUUUUGGGCUUUGAGCUUUAUAGGGUACUUUGUAACAGAUGAGUUGUUCUGGAACAGUAGAUGACUAAUUAGCCAUUAGAAACCAAUGGUUUGGUUUGGCAGUCAACAUGUACAUACUAGACCAAUUCCCUGGACCUUUUGCCCUAAAAUAAUAUGAUGACCAUUGACUAUAUACAUGGUAAUACCAGCACCCUGUCCUUUUGGCCUUUUAUACAAGGAGCUGAAUGCAUUUUUGGUCUUUUACUCCAUAGUUCGAUAUUUUUCUGAUGGUACUUCCCUGGUGUCAAAGCAAAGCCUGCAGAGGAAGCACAAUUCUUAUUCUGUAUGAUAAUGAUCAACUGCGAUGAACUCAUCAAACAUCAGUUGGGGAAACUUAUUCGAGGCUGUUGUUUGGGCUGCUGGUCUUGGAAUCACCUCUUUUUUUGGAUUUCAUUCAUAUAAAUGCCUUGUUGGUGAUCAUAUAUCAUAUAUGGCUCAUCAAGACAUGAAUUGGGAAAGGUUUGUUGCCCAACAGCUCAGGUGGUUUCUACAGUUCUAUUUCCAGUCUUCCAUGAGUAUUUUCAUUGUUCCAUACGUCUAUACUACUGACCUGUAAUAAAUAUAAUAAUAAAUAACCAAUUAUAUGUCUGGUACAUACAUAUGAAUGCUCUCUCAACGUCUCUUAAAUAUUUGUGUCCUUUGCAGUACCUUGCUUUUCUUUUGUCCUUCCAUUUUUCACUGUAUUGUUUGCCUAGUAUACCUGCCUUUUCAUUUCUCCUCCCAUUUCACUGUACCAUUUACUUUAUGAUGAAUGGUAUGUGCACAUCUUAUUUAAAUCAGUGUACAGCAUACGUGCUACUGUGCUAGUGGUGGUCUAUGUUGAAAGUUGAGACUACUUUUUAGUAUUUGUAUUCCUUGAUGUCGAGCUAUGUUGCUACAGGGACUACAGGAUCAAGUUAUUUGAAGUGGCGAUUUAGAGCCAUAAUAAUAAUAAUAAUUAGUCCCCUCUCUUCCAGAAAGUGGUGCGGGCAGGUGGACAUGUCUGGGUAGUGUUCACAAUUCCCUUAAAAGGUGGGCUACAAAAUCAUGGGGAAACUUGUAAAUUAAAAAGGCACAAGCAAUUAGCCAAUUACUGGUAGUCUUUGAGUCCUAUUGGUGCUCUUCUCUUUCUUCACUUGGUGACCAGUUUUUGUAUUUUAUUUACCUUGCUCUUCAAAGGCUCAAAGCUACCAGGUUUCAGCAUGAAGGAGAUGUAUGUUACUUCCAAGUUCAUCCAUAUUAUUUUGGGGGUUUAAUUUUUAAGUAGUGGCAGCUGGAGAAGGAUUUUACAAAGACGACUGGGUAUAUCUUGUUAUCCCAUAUUGGGUUCUUCCGGGAGCAAAACUGCAAAAGCACUGUAUUGCUGAUUGGAUGGCCCCCAUUACAAUCCGUAUGACCUUUUAAUAUCUGAUUCUGGAGGUAGCUGAGAGUAAUAACCUUUGAGUAUCUAGGAGCAGCACUAGCACGUACACUGCACGCUGCAAAUUAUUAUACUAAAAUGAAAUGCAUUUUCUAGGUAUAAACAUACUUCUAUAAAAUAAUAUAGCUGCAAUUUUCUCCUAUGGAUUUCCUUUGUAUGGAGAGGAUGCACCUUUACUUGUUCUUUAUUUACUUACUACCUCUGUCCUACUUAGACUUCAAUUUUUUCUUAUGAAUCUAGACAAAUAUUUGUCUAGAUGCAUAUAUAUCUAGAAAUAAAGUGUGGUCUCAAGCUCCUAGUUUUUUUUUAAUUUGUUCUACAGGGUUAGCGACGACAGUAUGUCUAGCUUAUCCAAUCCUGAAUUUAGGAGGGUACAUCAGUAGUACAUCACAUGGGAGGUGGUGUGCCACUGGGAUAAUUAGGUACCACCCGUACUGGUCAGUGGUCGUACAGUCUCUACUACUCCAGCAUGCUGGUCCAUUUUCCCUGCUCAAUGCUCACACCAACCAAUUAGCUCUUUUCCAGCACGUGCACUUGCUCUUAUCUUAGCUCUCCGUACCGUAUCUAAUCUCUUUGUAACUACCUUUAUAAAUGAAUGCAGUACACAGCUAAACCUGCUGGAUACAGACGAGCAGAGGGCAGCAUGGGGAGAGUCUGAAACAGGUCCAGUACCUCAGGUCCUAACAUGUGAUAAACUUCUUUCACACCCUCUUAUCAUUUCACAUUUGCAUUUUACAGCCUAUUACUGUUAUGCAUUGUUCACUUGAACUGUGAAAGGACUGGUCAUUGGGCCAUGGCUUGAUGCAAACAUUAAUCUUUCCUUUAAUACUUCCAUUCCAAGUUGCUUUUGUCAUGCAUAUUUUUGGGGUCUGUAGGUCCACCAUGCAGUAGCGCUCAGAUUCUGCAUCAUAGAUGACCCCAUUAUACAGUGUUUCUUUCAAUGCAAGUUUGUAUGGUACUACUGCAAUCUGAAAAAAAAGGGAAAAGAAAAAGAACUGUUUGUUUGGUGCCAGCCAGCUUUUUUUCCAUAGGACAAAACAAAGAAGGGAAAAGGUAAAUUGAAUAUUAAUAUUUUACUAAAUAAAGGCAUUUAUGGAAGAGUUGAUGUUUGCACAUAUCACAAUGAGAAGCAGUUUAUAUAUGAUUAUCAGGUGUAAUCAACCCUACCGAGGUUUAUAUUAAGGAUAUGCUUCACACCCCAGCACUCCACCCACCUAUCCCACUAAAUCUAACCCACUUCGGUGCAGCAAAAGAUGCCUCGAGCCUGUGGCAGGCAGAGCAGUGCAAAAUUCCAAUCGAAGAAACCAAAAGGAGGCAGCAAAAAGACAGAUCAAAUGGAUUCACCAACUGAUCCAUUCAUCUGGCCAGGCCAGCUGGGCUUUGCAUAUACAUUGCAGACCACUAGAGCUAUAAGAACCUUAUCAUUAUCAUUUACUAAACAGAAAAACUACUAUCUGCAUAUCUUCAAUUCCAUGUCUCCAACUCCAAGAACCAGUUUUGAUCCCAACAGGAGUGCAGGAAUGGAGGUAGCAGAAUGCAGUGAGAAGCUGCAAAUUUUAAAGGCAUCGGCUUCAGCAUCAAUGGCUUAUUCGAUUGUUCAGUUCCCAGUCAAGUGGCAAUCCAUCAAGUACAAGCUUCAGCAACUCUGUUCCAACCUGAAUGCGCCAGGAGACGACGGCAGCUGCAACGAAAAUGUGAUUCUUGUUCAGUUUCUUCAGACGGCUACAGCAACAGUAAGUCAUAUUCAAGCUAUUGCUUCUCAAUGCAGCGAUGAAUCUUACAAUGGUGGAAGGCUUCGUCUGAGGAGUGAUUUGGACAGCAUCAGCUCCAAGCUUGAUAUCCACCUGAAGGACCUCAAGGAGAUGGUUUCCUCCAGAAUUUCUGUGCGUUCUCAAGCUGUCAUCGCAACGAGGCCUGCCAUUGGUGCAAGCCUAAGCAACAAGAGGUUCUACAUCAAUGAUCUCUUCUUGAGGGUGAGGAUUGGGGAUUUGGCUCAAAGAAAACAAGCCCUGGUCACCAUUGGAGAGCUCCUAUCUGAAGAUAUCGAGUAUGUCAAGAUUGUAGCUCUUGACAUUGAUAAUAGCAUCACUCUCCUGAUCAGCUUUCUUGAAUCAGGGGAUGCAUGCAUUCAAGAACAGGCUGCAAGAAUUGUCUCCCUUAUUGCAGGCUAUGAUUCUUACAGAGGAAUGCUUGUGAAAGCAGGUGUGGUUGCUCCACUUGUCCAGUUACUGGAUAGUCCAAGCUGCACCAGCACUACUGUUUCAUCAAGGGAGAGAGCAGCUCAUGCAUUGAGGGAGCUGACGAGCAACUCCGACAACGUCUGGGCCGUCUGCGCACAAGGCGGUGUCACCGUGCUCCUGAUCGUCUGCGCCAAUGUCGAUAGCAGGGGCAAGCUGGUCAGCUCCGCUUUCGCGGUGCUGAAGAACCUGAGCAGGGUGGAGGAGGUGAAGAUGUUCAUGGUGGAACAAGGUGCAGUUAUGGAGUUGGUGAAGCUGUCCCGACAAAAGGAGGAAGAACGCAAAGUUGGAUCAGUUGAGCUGCUCCAUUACAUGGCCUUGGCUGAUGCCAAUGUCAGACAAGCAGCAAUCAGCAUGGGGAUGAUCCAAUCACUCACUCAGCUGAUGAACCCUGAUCUUCCAUACUCAUCCAAAGCCAGGGAGGUUGCUCUCUCAGCCAUUGCAUUCUUCUGCCUCCCUUCCAAAGCUCUGACAGAUGAUCUCAUCAGCUCCAAUUUUCUUAGCUGGCUUCAAACCUAUCUCAACAAUGUUGACUAUGCUGUCCUGGAAUGCACCCUCAACAUUCUGGUACGGCUAACGAGGAUCUCCGAGGAAUACAGCAAGAUGGUUGGCAGGGCAGGGUUCAUGACUGCCCUGGUAAGCUCACUUGGAGCCAAAUCUUGUCAGGUCAGGGAGAUGGCAGCACAAGUACUCUGCAACCUACUGUUGCUUCACUCUAACCGUGUAGUUUUCAUCCAAGAUGGUGAUAAUCUGAACCGGCUGCUGCAGUCGCUUGAGCACGGUGACGGCAAGACGAUGGCGAAGGAUUUGGCCAUUUCUUGCCUCGUGUCGUUGGCAGAGACCAGUGCUGGAAGGAAGAAGAUCAUAUCGUCUCAACAUUUUGUCAGCUUGAAAGGACUCGCAGACUCCGGUGACCUUCCUGCCAAGAAGAUCGUGAAGAAACUCUGUGCUAACAAGUUGCAAAGCAUUCUUACGAGAAUCCGGAUCACAUGACUUCCUUCUCGCGUUUACCUGAUCGCUCUUCAGUUUUGAACCACAGAAUUCAUUGAUUCAGCUUUUGCUACCCUGCGUGGCUGCGUGCUGUUCAUAGUUCCUCUUUGCCUGUUACAUUCUUGUUCAGUCCUCACUACUCAUCCCUACAAUUCUUUUGUACUAUCCAUGAAAUUCUUUUGUGUAGAUCGCACGGCCUAUAAUCAAUCAAUCGUUUGUUUGUCACAUCCAACUUAUGAUUUUUGAAGCUUUCUGUAGUGUUUCAUACUUUAUUGCCCCCAAUUCUUAGGUGCACAAAAUUGAACACAAGUCGUUAUGCCUUACUGCUAUAAAGCCACAUUCAAUUCAUGACCAGGUGAUUUUACAAAACCAAACUAAAAUAUAACACAAGCUAGUGUUCCUUGGUACAAAUAAAUAAGAACUAAACGAAAUUUCAUCUUCUUUGCAGCAUCCAGCAAAGAUGCUAACUUGUAAACUUGCUAAGAAUGGAAAUCAUUUUUUCUGGUUGACCUUGAAACCAAGGAGACGUCCCUACGAUUUAGGGCGCUCGCGCUCGCCAUGCACCCACCAUUGCCGUCGCGCCGUUCGCCGAGGCCUCCCCUCUCUUAAGUACUCCUCUCUCUCUUCUCUUCCUCCAUUGAUUCCCUCCUCCGCGCAGCUCGCGGCUUCGAUCGAUCGAUCGACCGAUCUCCCACGUCGCCGCCGUUCGAUCGAUCCGCCGCCGCCGCCGCCGCCGGCCGGCCGGGCAAGAUGCCGGGGGCCGUGAUCGUGCACCACCACACGCGGUACAAGACGUACCCCGGCGAGGUCACCGGCUUCGUCUUCUUCUGCUGCCUCAUCGCCUCCGUCGGCGGCUGCAUCUUCGGCUACGACAUCGGCCUCACCGGUACACGCAACCUCACCGGCCGCCGCCGCCGCCGCCGCCAUUACAUACGAUUCUUCUUGGUUGUGGUUGACUGAUCACGUCCAUGGCAGCCGGGUUGACGUCGACGGAGUCGUUCUUGGCGAUGUUCUUCCCGGUGAUCUUCGAGCAGCAGCAGGAGCGGGUGAUCACGAACCAGUACUGCAAGUUCGACAGCCAGGUGCUGACGCUGUUCGGCUCGUCGCUCUUCCUCUCCGCCAUGGUCGCCGGCAUCUUCGCCUCCCCGAUGUCCCGCGCCUUCGGCCGCAAGUGGACCCUCUUCGUCGCCGCCGUCGCCUACCUCAUCGGCGCCAUCCUCGGCGCCAUCUCCUUCAACUUCAUCGUUCUCCUCACCGGCCGCCUCCUCCUCGGCGUCGGCGUCGGCGUCUGCAUCCACGUACGUUGUCAUGUGACAUCGAUCACCUGCAUACCAUAACACUCAUUAUUAUUUGUAUGUGAAUUAAAUAAUUAUAUUUAUUUAAAUAAAACAAUAACAUAAGUUGAAAUGAUAUAAAUCUAUAGAUAAGCAUGUAAGAUUAAAUUUAAUCUACAAUUAGAAAAAAAAAGAGUAAAAUCAAACAGUGAAUAGUACAUUGUAAUUGUAAUGUACAACCCAUAAAAAUUUGUUAAUUUUAUUAUUGAAUUUUAACUUACAUGUUUCUAUAGUGUCUUAUAUCAUUAUAAUCUAUCUUAUCAAACUUUUUGAAAAUUUUAUAUAACCAUUUAAACCGCAUGUAUACAGCUAAGGUGUAGAAAAUACUCAAAAUUAUAUAUCAGUUGUUGAUCGAUCGCCGGUGAUUGGCCUGCAGGCGUCACCGCUGUACAUAUCGGAGAUGGCGCCGGCGCAGCAGCGGGGGAUGCUGAACAUACUGUUCCAGCUGAUGAUCACGGUGGGGAUCCUGUCGGCGAGCCUGACAACGUACUGGACGUCGAAGAUCGCCGGCGGGUGGGGGUGGCGCGUGGGGCUGGCGUUCGGGACGGUGCCGGCGGCGGUGAUCGCGCUGGGGUCGCUGGCCAUCCCGGACACGCCGGUGUCGCUCAUCGCGCGCGGCGAGGGCGAGGCGGCGCGCGCGACGCUGGCCAAGAUCCGCGGCGUCGACGACGUGCGCGCCGAGUUCGAGGACCUGACGACGGCGAGCGAGGAGAGCAAGGCGGUGGCGCACCCGUGGCGGGAGCUCUUCUUCGGCGGCAGGUACAAGCCGCAGCUCGCGUUCGCGGUGCUCAUCCCCUUCUUCCAGCAGCUCACCGGCAUCAACGUCAUCAUGUUCUACGCCCCCGUCCUCUUCAAGACCGUCGGCUUCCGCCAGGACGCCUCCCUCGUCUCCUCCGUCAUCACCGGCCUCGUCAACGUCUUCUCCACCUUCGUCGCCGUCAUGACCGCCGACAAGGUCGGCCGCCGCGCCCUCUUCCUCCAAGGUGGCACCCAAAUGAUCAUCUCCCAGGCAAGCAAGCAACCACCCAUUUCAUCAAACACCUUGACUGCAAAACCAAAGAUUUAAUUUAUUCAGCAAGCACUCACCCAUUUCAUCAAACACCUUGUCUGCAAAACCAAAGAUUUAAUUUAUUAACAAUCUUGUUUGAUUUCUUUGCAGAUCUUGGUGGGAACAUUCAUCGGAUUACAGUUCGGGGUGAGCGGGACGGGGGCGAUGUCGGAGCAGUACGCGAUGUGCAUCGUUCUGUUCGUGUGCGUGUACGUGGCCGGGUUCGCGUGGUCGUGGGGGCCGAUGGGGUGGCUGAUCCCGAGCGAGGUGUACCCGCUGGCGGUGAGGUCGGCGGCGCAGAGCGUGACGGUGGCGGUGAACAUGUUCUUCACGGCGUUCAUCAGCCAGAUCUUCCUCACCCUCCUCUGCCACCUCCGCUUCGGCCUCUUCUACUUCUUCGGCGCCUGGGUCCUCCUCAUGACCGUCUUCAUCGCCACCCUCCUCCCGGAGACCAAGUGCGUGCCGCUCGAAGAGGUGGCGCACGUCUGGAGGAAGCACUGGUUCUGGCGCAAGUUCAUCGUCGACUCCCCCGACCGCGGCGGCGCCGAGAUGAGGAAGAGGAUAGCCCUAGAGAUGAGCUAGAGUUCUCUACUAAUAUACUGACGUGCAAAGCUUUUACGCGUUCGCGAAAAAGAGAAGAGAAUAAAAGCUUAGCUAACAUGAACAAUGUUGAUUGAUUGAUCUAUCAUUUCAGUUAAGCUAAUUGAUUAAUUGCCUGAUUAUGAUAGAAGAAUACACAUACUCUCUUCAUCAAAAAGCUCAUCAUAGUAUUUGGAUAGGACAUAAUCUAUAAUGAAUUUGGACAGGCGGCCUAUCUAGAUUAUGUUGUAUCUAGAUACUAGGUUGGGUUUUUUUUACAGAUGGAGUACUUUUCAUAGCUAGGGGUGCAGCAUGGGUUCACUCAUUGAUUAGUUGGUAAUUAAACUUGUUGCCGAUUCUGAUGUUGUUUGUACUACUGGUAUGUACUCUCUCUAUCUUAAAAAAAAAGGCAAACCCUGAGUUUCCGUGUCCAGCAUUUGGCCGUCCGUCUUAUUUGAAAAAAUUAUGAAAAAAAUAAAAAGGUAAGUCACGCAUAAAGUAUUAAUCAUGUUUUAUCAUCUAACAACAAUGAAAAUACUAAUCAUAAAAAAAUUUCAUAUAAGACGGACAGUCAAACAUUGGACACGGAAACUUAGGGUUUGUCUUUUUUUAUUUUUUUGACAGAGGGAGUAGGACUGAUCAUAGCAUGUCGUUGUAAGUGUACCAUUUUGUUUGUUGUUUUCCAUGUAAGUUUGUCACUUUGAUGUCAGCUUGUUUUAAUUUGUAAAUGAAGAAUUGAUGACAAGUUUGUUUUCCUUGGGGCUUUGGUCCAUAAAUCAGUACUCUCAAUUGAGCUUGUCCGCAGUUUAUUGAUGACAAGUUUAUUUUCCCAUGGAGACCUUGUCUGGCCCAAUUUUCUCAGCCCAUAAUUUCUAUUGGAUGAUUAAUUUAGCUGUAAGAAUAAAGAAUAGAUUUAAAUUAAAAAUAUAUAUAAAUAAUUACAAAAAUGUUGCUUUUUCACACUGCAAUUUUUCCCAUGGAGACCUUGUCUGGCCCAAUUUUCUCAGCCCAUAAUUUCUAUUGGAUGAUUAAUUUAGCUGUAAGAAUAAAGAAUAUAUUUAAAUUAAAAAAAUAUAGAAAUAAUUACAAAAAUGUUGCUUUUUCACACUGCAAAUAUUGGACCUAAAUUAAUUCGAUUUUGCUAUAUCUCACUCGAAAGAUUUUUUCUUAUCUCUCACUCGAUUUUCUCACUCAAAUUUACAGUGCAUUUUCUUGUAAGUUAUAGUGUAAUUUAUGAAACUUACAAUGUAACUUUUAUAAGUUACACUGUAAUUUUUGAAUCUUCGCAUGUAAAUUUUAAAUUUUGUAUUGGAUUUGGUCUUUUUCUUGAGGAUAUGGUAAUUUAGUGUCCAUUAUAGUGUUUCUUAAUUGCUUUUUGCUUUUAUUAUAUCUAUCGGAUUUUAAUCCAAAGAUUAAAAAUAUGUGUGAUACGAUUAUAAAAAUCUUUCGAAAGAUGUAUAGGUACUCCCAAAUUAAUUUAUUUAAGUAUAGUCAGGCCUUUUCUUUUCUUUUACUUUUUUUUUGGUGCUUUUCAUUGUUUCUGUGGGCUUUGGCCUCUCAGAGUAGGAGAUGGUGAGAUGAGAUAUUGCCUCCAUGAUUCGUUAUGUAGCUGUUCCUGCUAUCACAAAUCGGCCCAAGCCCAAGAUAUUUACCAUCCCCGCCUUUUCGCUUUUGCUUAGCCCCUUUUCCCUUUUGCAAGUAAAAAUCUGCCACAAAUAACAGGGCCGAAAAAAUCCGACUGUAAAAGAAGAAAAAAAAGGGUUUGCAUAUGCUCGAGGUAUAAUAAGGAGCACAUAUGUCCAUCGCAAACACAACUGUGCGUAAAUCAGCUCACUGGUAGGCAUGUUUGUAGCUGAUGCAGGAUGAAUUAUUAUAAGUGAAACUGAGUUUAUAAUAAUUAUUUCAAGACAUAGCUGAGUAAAUUAAAUAUUUAACCGUAUACAUUUCUUUUCACAAAAAUUACCGAUGAAGAAAGUUUUUACAAAAAUCAACAUAUACUCUCUUCAUUCAGAUUUAGGACUAGAUUCGUUUAUUAGAUCUAGUAUUAGGUUCAUUUAUUUUCAUUCAGAUUUAGGACUAGAUUUGUUUAUUAGAUCUAGUAUUAGAUUCGUUUACUUUAGAAUGGAGGAGUACUAAUGAUGAACCCUGAGUUCCUCUCGACACUCAAGGCUGUUGUUGGCCCGAUCUUUCGGUGAGUUGAUGAAAACUACGAUUUGGAAGAAACGUUGACGACCCGACUACAACCGUACAAGACGUUGCGUUGCGCCUUAGCGAUCGAUACACCUCUCCGUGAGUUGUUGAUCUUGCCGGUGCAAAUCAACCUUAUUCCUACAAGCAAAUCGAAGAAACAAGCAAGAACAAGAUAAAAGCAAUCUGAAUUGCAAAUAGGAGUUAAAUACGAAUGAUAAGUUGGGGUUCCGAAGAACAAGCAGACGGACGGUCUAUCCGACACGCGCGCUGCAAGCAAGUAGCAAUGGCUAAACUUUAAUCUAACAAAACCCGAGAAACCCUGAAGGGGUAACUAGCUAUAUAUAGGGGUGGGAGGACGACCUAGGGGUGCCUAGGGUCGUGCUCCACCAGCUUAGGGCGCACCCCACAUGGGCCCCACCUGGGCCGGGGUCCCAAAUGAAGUUACAAGCCCAUAGGCCCAUUAUAGGUGAUGCAACACCUUGUUCCUGUGAUUCUGGCCACACGAGAUAGAAUUCAGAGAAGAGGCUGGAUCCGUUAGAAAGAGGGCUCCGAGAGCUUUCCAUCAAGUACUCACGGGCCGAAAACGGAGGUCGUAUGCAGAUUCGGUGGCCGUUUGAAGUCAGCAGUGUAGUAGGUGGCCGAAUCGGAUUCCAGCACUUGGAGUACUUGAUCUCGAUAUCUUCUUGUUCAUCCAUGAUGUGAGCAAUGGUUGCAUCCGUGGUAGCCAUGGUCACAUCCAUGGUAGCCAUGGUCACAUCAACUAAUGUACCGUUUAGAAGCCUAGAAUCGUCCGUGUCUGCGGUUAUUUGUGAUUCUGUGAAUCUUAGCAACCAAACAAAAAUUACCCAAAAUUAAAAGUGGCAGUCUUACACGAUCUGAUCAUUACUUGCCCCAAACUCAAGGCAAAAGUUUACAAGGUAGUAGUACAUGAUUGAUGAUACAUAAGUUUUGCUCCAUAAAAAAAGGACCGAUUAGAACGCAUGUGAUUUUCACGAGGAAAACCACUUGAUUCGUAUGUACAGAAAAACGGUGGAAACCCCUGUAGACUGACCCGGCAAACAAGCAUCAUCAGUGCAUGGAUACUGGACCAAAAACACCAUAAGAAAUUAAAGAGAACGGAGCAAGCGAGCAAUCAGCCAGCUAGUACUAGUACAUAUAUAUUGUACAGCCGUGAUCUGGUCGGAGAUGAGACGAUGACCCGCCGGCGGCGGCCGGCCGGCGCGGCGGAGGCCCAUCGAUCGAUCACUUGGGCCCCCAAAGCAGCAGGUGCAUCACCUUGUCCGCCUUGCCGCCGCCGUCCGCCGCGCGCCGCCCCGCCGUUGCCGCCGGCGUGGCCGCGGCCGCGGCCGCGCGGGGUACCCGCAGCUGCUGGCCGGCGUCGCGCGCCAGCGCACGCAGCGUCGCCGGGAGCUCCCACCUGCUCUCGCGCCCGCUGCUCAUGGCGAAUCAACCACCGCUUUCUCCUUGGCCCUUCUUGCUAUGCUAUCUAGCUCGUGCUGCUCAUCCUCAGUCCGGUCUCUUCUCUCUCCCAGCCACCUCACCUAGCCUCUUAUACUGCCACUGCACUACUCCUGGUCAUGAGUCACACACAAUUUUACAUUUUAGCCUUUUAUGAACAUUUAUUUUAUAAAUAGAUCUUUAAAAAAAACUUAAUCUUUCCAUCCAGAAAUAUAAUAUGGUACUGAAUAUGACACAUUCCAGCAUCAUGACGAGUUUGGACAGAUAUCUUACAACUAAAAUAUAUCCAAUACUACCUUCAUUCUAAAAUGUAGCUAUUUCUAGCACAGUACUUUGUCCCAAAAUGAAGCUAUUUUUCUACCUACCUUCCCCUCUCAACCAAUCACAACCAUUCUUUUUCACCUACUUUCUCUUUUCAACCAAUCACACACCUUCUUCAAUUAUUCUCACAUACUUUCUUAAUACCCGUGCUAACCUCAAAAAUACUUACAUUUUGGGACGGAGGAAGUAUGAUACAAGAUUGCUAUAUCAUGUAACAGAUGAAAUAUUCUGUCACCGAGCUACAGGUUUGAAUAUAACAAUCUAAAGAUGAGAUACUAGUACUAUAUAGUUAGAAUAGACUCCUUUCCGCUCUCUCGGAGAGACUCAUAGCUCUAGUUCUACAUUUUUAUAAUAUGUAACGAAGAGAUUAAGUCCUUGGUUAGUUUGGGAAAAAUUUUAGAUUUGGUUGGUAUAUUGGAUAUACGGACACAUAUUUAAAGUAUGAAACAUAGUUUAAUAAUAAAACAAAUUACAGAUUUCGUCAGAAAACUGCGAGAUGAAUUCUUUAAGUCUAAUUAAUUCAUCAUUAGCAAAUAUUUACUGUAGCACCACAUUGUCAAAUCAUGGCGCAAUUAGGUUUAAAAGAUUCGUCUCGUAAUUUACACGUAAACUGUGUAAUUGGUUAGUUUUUAUCCACAUUUAAUAAUUCAUGCAUAUAUCUAAAUAUUCAAUGUGAUGGGUGAAAUUUUUUGUUUUGAGAGCUAAAAAGGGCCUAAGUUUUUUAAGGAUUUAUUUAUAAAAUAUGUUUUCAGAAAAUGGCUAGUGUGAAAAGCCCAGUCCUGAGUCACCUCCUGCAAACUGCAAUCAACAGGGGCAAUAAUAGUCAGCAAUAAAUAUCAGCCACCAUGAUUGAUGAACCCCUCCAAAAUCGAGUGGCCGAGAGAUACCCAAAGACGGGAUUUUUAUCCCGCACCCAACGCCUCGGCGCGGGAUCACCACGCGCUUGGCGAUCAGUGCGUACAGCGAUCGCGAUCGCCGGUGCGCGCGGGGGUGUAUAAUUUUCCACGGCGGCGAGGGGAGGGGAGGGGAGGUCGUGGAUGCGGCGAGGCGGGCGGUCGGUGUCGGGAAAGGGGCGUGGAGUAAUGCGCGUGUUUGAAAAACGGGGUCUCUCGACCAAUCCGGAAUGAACCAGUGGUUGGAUUUGGGCUCGUUCUUCCGGUAAAGGGCAUGUUAAGAGAAGUUUUUAACCAGCUGCAGGUUCUCUCGGAUUCUUUAGCUAUCCCAAAUAGUCCGCAUUAUUAUUUGGAUUCAGAUUCUGGUAAUAUAUAAUUGUAAAAUCUAAAAAAAUAAAAUAGAAACUGUAUUAAGCUGAAAAACCAAGUUUCUUCAGGUUAUAAGAAGCUGACUAUCAAACUAAGCUGGCUAUCAAACAGUAGAUUUAAGCUCCCUGAACAGGGUUUUUGUUGUGGUAGGGUUUUUGUUCCAUUGUUUGUUAUAUGUCACAUAAAUAGUUAGAAAAAUAACAAGUUAGAUUCAUACAAGAUAUAUCCGUUUAAAUUCAACUUCUAUAAGUUAUAAUAAAAAAACACAAAUAUAAUUGUGAAUUUACGUUAACUCGUUUGAAUUUAAUAUGUUCUUUUAGUUAUAACUUGAAGAAGUGAAAUUUAAAAUUGCAUUUUGUGAGACGAUAUAUCCCAUAUUAAUUUAUUUUAUAAUUUUUUUCUUAAAUUUUUCAGUGUCCAUUUUGAUGAGAUACAAUAAACAAGCAGAUGUUUGGAGUAGGGGUGGACAUUCGGUCUGACCGAAAAUUUCGGUCUCGGUCUUUGGUCUUUAAAAAGUAAAGAUCAAAUUUCAAUGCAAAAAUAUCAGGACCGACAAAUUCAGUCUCGGUCUCGGUCCUGACCCAAAUUCAACAACACUUUCAUAUACGCAAAGAAGCAAUGGAAAUUUUCAAUACAAAAAUCACAGAAAAAAUGUAAGCACUUAUGAGUAAAUACUCUUAUUAGGUUGUAUGCCUAGAAGAAGUAGGAUGCGAAAAAUAGAGUUUAAUCCUAUUGAACAUAGUGAUUGUAUGUUACAUUUAUACUUUUUUUUUUGUUAAUUCAGUCUUUUUGGUCUAUUCGGUGAGACUAACCGAAUUGACCAAAUAAAAUUCGGUUUUUCACUUUCUAGGAUUGAAUUUUUCGGUCUCGGUCUUUUUGGUUCGGUCUUUUUCUGACCACCGCUACUUGGAGGAUGAAAAUCCAUCUCCCGACACAAGUCCCAGCCAGGACGCACUAAGCACUGGAAACAGCUGUGGGAGCUGGAGUACCUUGUAGUCUCGUCCUUUGCUCUAUGCCUGCGGUGACAAUGUGAGGCUAUGAGCAGUAAGCUGGUGUAAAUAAUUGAGUUAGACAAGUCAAUAGAAAUUAGUAGAAUUAAGUAGUAGGAGUAAUGGUAUGUAUGCUUCCGGUCAUAAGGAUUUAACUUGUAAGAUAAAGGCUAAUCAAACUUUUCGUAAGAUCUUGACCAUUAGUAUUGCCGUAAACCUACUAUACUUACAAACUUUUUAAAACAUAUAAUUGUUGUUUAUAGUGUUUGACAAAAUGUCAUCCUAAACGUCAAAGCAACAACUUGUUUAUUUGGUUGACAAAACAGUCUAAAUGCCCUUCAAAACUUUGACCGAGGGUGCAUGUAGCCUCUUUUCUGGAUAAAUUAACAGGAUCUGCUUAUAUGUAGGAGAGUUCACUGGCCUGUUAGAGCCAAUGUGCUUGAGAUUGUUGAUGUGCUCCGUAUUGAAGAAGUGGUUUCGGAUGGUCCAAAAUGUAACAAAGAAAAACUUAUCUAAUCCAAAUUAAAAAGACUGAGUAAAUAAUAGUUCAAAAUAAAAUUUUAAAAAUAAAAGAUGAUCCAAAGUGUAAUUCGCUAAAAAGAAGAAGAAAUCAAGAGGAGAAGAAGAAAAGUACGUAUAAGAACCGCCAAACCUGGAUGCAUAUCACUACCAUUCAGGUAAUACCGCCUUCCUAACCUAUAUGUGUGUAAGUACGUACGUGCGUAAAAGAAAAGUAGAGAAACGCUCAAGGGUUUUCCGACUAGUUUCACAAGGUGGUGGACUAGACGACCUAGAUUCGAAGCCUUACCCAUUCUAAUUAUUUGACAUUAUGUCCUUCCCUAAUAUUCGACCUGAGUUCAAAGCCUCACAUCUUCUAAUUAUUUGAUAUUAUUAGGUCCUUCUAUAAUAUUCGACCUGGGUUCAAAGCCUCGCUCAUUCUAACUAUUUAAUAUUAGGUUCUUCCGUAAUAUUCGUGAUUUUUAAAAAGAAUAGUACGUUUUGAAGAAGAAGAAGAAGAGAGUAGUACUUAGGAACCACCAACGAUCCCCUCCUAUUCGUCCCUAGACUUCUCUCCUCUUUUUUCUCUCUAUUUAUUUUUAAAAAGUCUCCUCUCCUUUUUAUGGUGUAGUUGGCUCAGCAAUAACCAUAGCUGCUAAACUACAAAUUUAAUUUCUAAUUUAUUUCAAUAAUUGUAUUUCUCAUGAUUAAAUCAAUAAUUUAAGAUUAUGAAAAACAGAAAAUGAACCAACACUAUAGCUGUGUGUACAUCAUCCAAUUAGUCUAAAAAAUUCAAGAUAACUUUGCCAGAGUAGACGGCUAAAUUACCACAAUUCAGGACACAUGUAUGUUUUGAAAAAAAAUAGCUUGUAGAUCUAAUAAUUAGAGAAAUUUUAUAACUUCUAAGGGAAAAAAACAAAUAUUAACCAUUGGUUUUCACUUAAACCGGUGGACCUAUAGUUACCACUAGAUUAUGUAUCUAGGAAACAACCGGCUAAUCCCACCUUCUUAAUCCCAAUCCUGUACGUAAGUACAUAUUUAUGCGUGUAAAAGAAAAGUACAUACUUACGAAGUACUGCCAAACCCCAUUCCCGUGCAAUUCGUUCCGUUUGACUCCCCUGCUUUCUAUACGGCAUAGUUGGCUAGUCGGCUAUUUUCUCGAGUAAGUAUCUUCUUGAGUAGGUAAGAAAUAGCCAACUUUGCCAUAUAGAUAGGAAGGGAGUCAAAGCGAGCGAAUUAUUUGCAUUGGCACGGACUAUGGAUAAAGGCGUCGCGGGGUACACAAGGACGACGACGAACAAAAACGGAUUGUGACGAUCGGAAAAAAUGUGUAUCAUUCAAUUUUAAGAUGAAUUCCAAACUAAAAUUGGUAACUUGCUAAAGAUUCGAUGUAAAUUAUAUAAUACAAGAAAAUAAUAUUAUAUGACUUAACUAGGCUAGAAAAAAACUUAGUACUCUAUACAACAUAAUUUUAUCGUGGUAUUAACAUAUUCGUUAUAGUCAUCCAUGUGAGCGGUUUAAUAUAUACAACUAAAAUUGCCUUUCCCCAUUGCAACACACAAACUUUUUUCCUAGUCUUUUUUUUAUUAAUUUAGUAAAAUUUAUCUGAAAAAUGACUGCAUAUUAGUGUUUUGUAUAUAUAUUAGUGAUUUUAAAUGUUGAGGUUUGAUUUAUGGUACGUCUCAGAUAUACACAAUAUCGUAUUAAAGAGAGGGAUACGUGUGAGAUUACAUAGCUAUAAAUACGAUUUGGACCGUUCACCUACAAACUACUAUACUUCCACUAUUUGAUUGCAUGGCUCGGGAUAAUAAGGUUGAAGGACAACAAAUUGGCCUGUGAAACAACAGUUAAUUUGAGUUAAUUAAUCUUAGUAUUUUUAUUUUUAAAACGAAAUUAAUCUAGAUUUUUUAACCUAUAACAUGGCUAGCUAGUGACCAGCGACAAGCUUGAACGGAGUAUACAACCGCUUAGAGCAGGUACAAUGCUAUAAGCCACCUAUAAACACAUAUCGAGAAGAUAAAUGAUGAUAGAGAAGAUUUUUAUCAGUGAAAUAGUGAAUGACGCUAUGAUUAUACAUGUUAAAAAAAUAUGAAUUAUCAACUUCAAAUUAAAAAAAAAGAGCAUUGCCGAAACAUAAUUAGGAUGUGAGUCAAGGAUGAAAAUGAGUUGGAUUCGGACAACUAAUUGAUGUAUCAUAUUCUAUUCCACAGUAUCUUCAUGGAGAUUUAGACAAGGCACAGAUAAUAGAAGGUGUGAAUGUCCGAAACAUUAGUUUUUUAUAUAUAAGUUUUUUGAAAAACAAAUUAUCUAAUUUCAAGUUUAUAAUAAUUAAUAAUUAAUUAAUGAUACGCUAAUAAUUUGUCUCGUUUCAAGUGUUGGCUAAGAUCAAACCGAUGUCCCGAACGCAGCUUUUAGAUUCUGAACUCACGAGAGUCUUUAGGUUAAAAGUCAUGCUGUGGAGCUAUAGCCUAAACAAUAUCGCUAAAUAUCUUUUUUUUAAAAAAUAAUAUAUCCUACAAAUUCUCAAUCACCAAGUAUCCUACAAAAAAUCAAAAUGGUUCUACACUGAAACUGCAUUUUUCUACGUACCCUCACAUAACUGUGGUAAAAACAAAUUGAGAACAUAAAAUACCACACAAUCUACAUUCACACCAUAUGCCCUGAUACUUUUUGAACUUUGUUUUGGAAGCACUCUACUACUCGUCUACUGCAAAAGAUAAAGAAAGAAAAACAAAUAUAGCCUAGCCACAUAUGCUGAACUCAACUCACGUUAAAAACUAAAACAUUUGUCUUUUUCGUUUACCUAGAUUAUGUUUAAAUAUAAUUCUUGGUGGAAUAGUACAUGAUAGUAUAUUUACGUAAAACUCUAUUAUAAUUUUUCACGAUUAUCUUUACUACUUUAACCUCUCCUAUUAUCCAUAAAAAAAGAACCGGCACACUCAAAGGAGUGAAAAAUAUUAUUCUACAUCUUAUUGUAACGUAAGGAUAUGGUAUUAGUUUACAUUAGACCUUAUUCGUUCAAUCAAAAAAAAAUACCGAGGAUGAAAUUUUCACAUCAUAUAUGUGAAAUAAAUUCUACUUUCUUCAUUCUAAAAUGUUGCAAUAUAGAACGUGAUUUAAUGAUAAUAAAUCUGAAACAGGUUACUUCCUCCAUUCUAAAAUAUAAUAACUUUAAAAAACGGAACACAUUAUAAUACUCCAUCCGUCCCAAAAUAAGUGCAGCUAUGGUUUUCCGCGUCCAAUUUUGAUCGUUCGUCUUAUUUGAAAAAAUUUUGAAAAAAAAUUAAAAACAUAAGUCACGAGCAAAGUACUAUUCAUGUUUUAUCAUCUCAUAGCAAUAAAAAUGCUAAUUAUAAAAAAAAUUUAAAUAAGACGGAUGAUCAAAGUUAAGAGUGAAAACUCAUGACUGCACUUAUUUUGGGACGGAGGUAGUACUAGAGGUCACCCCGCGCGUUGCUGGGGAAAUUUAAGCAAUUACAAAUGUCAAAAUUUUGGAUGAAAUAUAAUCACCUUAAAAGGAAAAACCUAACCCAAUUUAUCACUGCGCGUGAGGAAUAUUUGUACAAAUAAAAAUAAUCUUCAACCGUACCAAGUUCAUAGCCUGCAAAUAAUAUUUUUCAAACGUAUGGCUUCGAUAUUGGUACCAUUAAUUGGAGGGAAACUCAACUGGCACUCCCUUCCACUCAUAUUAUACAAAACAAAUUAAGGGAAUAAGUAACAACAAAUUGCUAAAAGAAAUGUUGAUCCGCUGGAGCAUGAGCAUAUAUAUAGCGGCAAAAUAAACGCAGCAGCAUGGCUAACGGAAUGAAGGAUUGAUCGCAACGAUCAAGUAUAGCAACUGGACUCUGGACAGGAGGGCUUGUGGUCAGCAUGUCAAUCCACUGCGAUGGUGUUUUCAGAGGAAUCAGGAAUAAAGGCCGAGUAUUCACCUAAUUCAUUUAGCUAGAGGAUGGAAUAUAUGCAGUGCAAGUGCAGUGGAAGAUGGAAGGCCUGCUGCGUGAGCCAAUGAAUGAAUAUCCAACGUUUUGGUUUCAAUCAGGAGAUGACCCGUCAGGAACAAACGGUUUAACUGUUGAAUAGGCCCCUUUGUUAAUUACUGUCGUGCAUGAUGAUCGGAAUUAAAAAAAAAACGAAGAGGUGCAUCCCACUAUCGCUCUUUACACCCUCAUUUGCAAUCUAGCGGCUAGGUGGAAUCUAUCUGCAAUCCAACGGUCAGGUGGAAUAGAGGUGAUGUGGAUCACUCCUGGAGAAGGAAAUUAGUUUUAAUUGUAGUUAGUGGGAUGACCUAUAUAGAUAUAUAUAUAUAUAGGAUACUGUUCUUAUUCGCAAUAUUAAAAUAUAUUUCAAUUAUUUAAAAAUUGUUUAUAUUUCUGGACAGACGAAAACAAACAAUAAUCCCCGUGUCCUCGCAGUGAGGCUCGCACCGCCCAGCAUCCUUGGAAACAGAGUGAGCGUCCAAAACCGGCGGCGACGCGCUCCCCGUUUCGCCGCUUUCCGCUCAUCUCGCGUAUAAAAACAUGGCGUCUCCCCUGACCACCACGCCUCCACCACCUCCGCAUCACUAGCAAGCGCAAGCGCCGCGCACUGUGACCGAGCGGAGGCGGAGGCGGAGUAGCCGGGUCGGGAACUCGGGAUGGCGAUCUGCGGGGCGAAGGCGGCGGCGCCGUCGCUGGUGGUGGCGGCGAGCAUGGGCGCCGUCGAGGCGCUCAAGGACCAGGCGGGCCUCUGCCGCUGGGACUACGCCCUCCGCUCCCUCUACCUCCGCGCCGCCGCCUCCUCGCCCAGGCUGCGUUCCCCCCUCUCCAACACCGCCGCCGCCGCCGCGCGGCCGCCGGCGGAGGAGGCCGCCGACGUGAGGCUGCGCAAGGUCCACCACCUCGUCUGCUGGGGCCCCAACUGAUUUAUAUUAUAUAUACUCAUCUCACAUCUUCCUGAAGAACAUAUGCCACUCGUCUCGUCGUCUUCCUCUGAUCUCUGUGCAGUGUAGUGCUCUUCUCUUCUCUUUUAGCUGUGUUGCAUCUCGAUCGAUCGCUUGCUUGAUUGCUCCAUCCUCCGUCUCUGUGAUCUGCAUGUUCAGUUUCGUGCAGAUUCGACCCGUUUGUGAAAAUGUUCUGCCGCUUACAUGUAUCUUCAUCCUUAUGCAUGGAGAUCUAGCUAGCCUCCUAUUCCCUCUGUUCCGAAAAUAAAAUCAACUUCGUACGAGAGUAGACUGGAGUCCUUGUAGCCCUCCAUUUUCUCAUUUACUAAUUUUGGAAAAAAAAAUCAGUACCAUCUUGAGAUCUUGAGACUGGACUUAAAAAACCAAAUUAAAGAGAAAGAGAAUAUGUUAGUUAAUUGCAUGGAUAUAUACAUGCUUGUAUUAUAAGACAUCUGAAAAAAUAGUUACGUCUUAUGUUUAUGUUUUGAGAUGAAAGGAGUACUAAUCAAGUCAAGAGCGCCUUAAUUUCAGUUUUGUCAUGUCUAAUUACCAAAUCGAGAUGACAGUAUUUGAAGACAAGAAGGGAUGUGAUAAAGCUACAAACCUGGGACAAGAACGCAUCUUGUGAGAGUGAAGAGAGCUAACUUACCAAAUGCAUCCCUGCAUCCAUCCCCUGGUUCUCAUAUGAACUUUGUCGAAUCUACAAUGAGAAUUGAAAACUAAUAGUACUAUAAGAUUUAUGGAUAUGGAUAUGGAUUGUGUGUGCAUCUGAUGAACUAGCACAAACUAAUUAAUUUCCCCUCAGAGAGAGCAAAGGCGUGAUUGGGUGCAGUGCUGGUGAACCUUUGAGCCAGUUUCAGACUUUCUUGCUAAUUAAUUUAGCCGGCCGGCAGGUUCAUCAACGCUGCACUCAAUAAUGCCUUCCCUUCUCUUCCAUCACCCAUCGAUCUCAUCAUGAAUCUGCCAAUAUUCCUAGCUCUAAAUCUCUAAUCCCAGGAACAGGAUGCAUCACUUGGCUAGGCAGCUUCCAUGCUUGUGCGUGUGUAGCUGCAUCUGCACUGCAUUUGUGUGUGUGUGUGUUGCUUUUCAGACAGGUCACCUCCUCCUUUUGUACUACUGCAUCUGCACCGUGCCUAACGGUGUUGCUUGUACUACCAUGGGAUGCAGCAGCAUCCUCGGAUUGUACUAAUUUCUAUGUGUUGUACUUUGUCACGUCCUGAUCGAUCAGGUAGUACGUACUACUAAUUCAGAGUUCAGACUUUAGAUGAGCUCUCUAAAAUUCCACAUACAUGUAAUACUUGACAGAAAAAUGGGAUUUUUCUUAUGAGUGCAGCAUUUUUCAGAACAAAAGAAUCAUGCAUACGCUUCUCUCCAAUAAUUCAGAGUUGUGGAGAUGAUUUGACCAAUACAACGAUGAAGUUUUAGGCAGGCAGUACAGCAUGACCGUGACCGUCCUGAACCUGGGCGGACACGGCAAGUACAGACUAUAGAGCAGUACAACUACAAACUGUACUGCAUUACAAUUUGCAAGUUCAGAAUAUGAGUGCCUGUCCUUUUCUGAUUAAAGAUGAUUUUAUCUCGGUUUCUGUUAGCAAGCUUUUUAAACUACUAAACAAUGUAUUUUGUACGAUAACUUUCCAUAUAUACGUUGUUUUAAAAUAUCAAAUAUAUUCAUCUGUCAAAUUUGUAGUAAUUGGAACUUAACUAAUCAUGCUUCCGUUUUACAUGCGCUAACUAAUCUUUAUCAAUAAUCUCUUUGAUAGUGCUAGUAGCCUAGUACUAAUACUUUGUCAAGCAGUGUCGCAAACGAACACGUAAAACUAUGAAUACGAUAGUAGGAGUACAGAAUAAUGUGGUACUCGCUGCAUUGAAGUUUCGGGUUUGUAUAGGCUAAACUUCUUCAAAUUUGACCACGAUCACAAAAUAUAUAGUCUCUUCUAGAAGACGUUUUGACUUUGGUCAAAGUCAAACCACUUUAACUUUGAUCAAGUUUGUAGAGAAAAGUAGUACUAAUAUUUUCAACCCAAGACAAAUUUAUUAUGAAAAAUAUAUUCAAUUAUUGAUUUGAUGAAACUAAUUUAGUAUUAUAAAUAUUAUUAUAUUUAUAUAUAAACUUAGUUAAAUUUGAAAUAGUUUGACUUUGACCAAAGUCAAAACGUUUUAUAACCUGAAACGGAGGGAGUACUAUAUAGCAGCAUCUAACCACACCGAAUUAGUUUCAUCAAAUCCACAAUUGAAUACAUUUUUAUUGUGUAUUUGUUUUGUGUUGAAAAUGCUGCUAUAUCUUUCUAUAAAGUUAUCAAACUAAAAAGUAGUUCGACUCCAAAUUUCAAAUUCUAUAUAGAAGUUUAAUAAAAGGAAAUAAAUCUAUUUUUCAAAUUUAUAAUAGUUAAUAUUUAAUUAAUCAUGUGCCAGUGAGAUUAUUUUGCUUCGCGUGUAGUACAAAUCUUCCUCAUCCAGGAGGAAUUAGCUCCAAAGACCUUCUUUUCUUUUCUUCCCACAGAAAAGUUAGCUCUACAGAUUUCAGAACUGCGGAUUUGCAGUAUACCUCAGUCUUGGGUCCAGUACACAGAAAUGAUAAAUAACUACAACUCCAAAUUUGAAUGUGCAAACAUCUCGCUAUUGCCACCAGGGCAUGGAAGAUGCAGAAUUGGUGAGCUUGUACUUAUCUGUUGAGAAUUUACACGAAUUUCCUUUCAACAAAUAAAAACAGCCGUAUGCUAAAGUAGGCUUCUGAACAAUAUACUAGUUUUAAAGUUUCAGAUUAUCUGUAUACUAUGGUCCAAAUACAAAUCGUGCCCAUUGUAAUCAGGAUGUUUCAAGUACUUACAAAUAGUCCCAAUAUCAGAACGAAUCCAGAAGGGGAAAAGAAAAUUCUCAAACGUUAUUAUUGACAAUUGAUAUCUCUGGCAUGGAAGUGUCAGCAGCACCCAGCACAGCCAAAGAAAGUAACUAAAACUAAAAAGGCUGCUAGUUCAUCUAAAAAAAAGACUGCGAGUUGCCCUCAAAAAGGGGGAAAAAGGACUGUUAGUUGAAAGGUAAGUUAUAGAUGGCCAGAAGCUAAUGGUGCAUCAUUUGAACACCUCACAUAGCAAAGAAAUUCCUUUUGAUGCACCAGAAGAUGAUCCUGUUUCACUGUUUGGCACAUAUAUGAACAUACACUGUCACUUAGAUCCUAAAAUUAUGCAUGAAUGAUAAACAUGAAGAAUUAGACUAUGAUGCUGAAUCCUAGUGAGAUUUGGUACCCAGAAUUUGCCCAGAUAUUUGUUUGUAUGUGAAGAGGUCUUGAUGACAAAAGGUUAAUCACAUUACAAUAAUUAUCUACUUCCUAGGCCGCCUUCGCCAUCAACAAUCUACAAAUAUGGUAUCGGUUGCAUGCAAAAAUUUACAUUUGGACUGGCCAACAUCGUUGGUUACACUGAAACAAACUCCUGUAGUGCACAGUUGCUUGACUCAUAUAUACAUGUUCCAAAAUUGACUCAUAUAUACUUUGUAUCCUUAGUAAAAAUGGAAUAUACAAUUAUCAGAAGAAAUACUGAAAUGUAAAGAAGCUAGGGAACAAAAAAAUUAAGCCAAAUGGUACGAAAUGGAGAAACUAGAACAGGGUAAACCUGAACAACGAUCCAAUGUAUGUGAACAAGUUGUGACUCUGGCCUCUGAUGGAACAAGCUCUGCAGCUGAAGUUGUAUUGUAAACCUGGUCGUGGUAUUUGCAACUGGUCACAUGUUUUACAGGCGGCAACUGCGUUGGCAGCCUGUCCUGGCUUUUGUCGGCAAUGUAGCGGAUUAAUUAGCCCUGUGGCUGCUGUGAUGGUAAACGUGACGGCUGCUGCUCUCCUUGCAUUCCUUGCAUAGAUUGCUCAGGUUGCUGGUGCUGACCUCCUUGCCAUGCCCAAACUAUAUCCUUAAGUGCAGGCCUUAUAUCUUCCUUCAUGAGCUUUUGAUAUUCUAUAGUGUCCCCAUUGGACUUUUUAAAUUCAACUAAAUGGAAAGAUGGAGCAAGCUCAAAAACCUCAGCAUCAAGCUCAAGUAAUCCUUUUAUUCCUUCCUUUGGUGCUACCAACCUCAGAACCCCAUUUUCUUUUUUCUUAAUUUUGAGCUUGAAGCGUCUGGCCAAUUCAUUUAGCUUAGCAAAUAUAGCUGCCGCCGGUUGCCUAGUGGUAAAUCUCUCUUCCCUCCGGCCAUAUCUUUCUUCAAACAAAUUGGAUAAGUCAAACCCGGUAGACAGAGAAAUGAUGUCAAACGCGUUCAAGUUCGGGAGGCUUAAUGAAGCUUGCUUUCCAUCGGAAUUACUACAUUCUGGUGAGUCAGAGGUUGUGGCUUCACCAUUAGUGUACACUUUGUCUCUUGAUGACGCACGAUUUCCCUCAAAAAUACUGCAUUCUGUUGUGUCAGAGGUUGUGGCUUCACCCUUAUACACCUUGUCUCCUGUUUCAUGUUUGCUCUUCAGUGCAUUUACAUCACUGGAUUUUCUGUACCAAGCGCUUCUCUUUAUCUUCGGGAUAGAAAUUCUAGUACUUGGAUCUGGAUCAAGUAUCUUAUAUAGCAGAUCCUUCAACUCAGCAGAAAAGGAACGAGGGCAUUUGUAUUCAGCUUUGGCAAUCUUUCUAUACAUCUCUAUAAGAUUUGUGUCAUGGAAAGGAAGGUAGCCAGAUACAAGCACAAACAGAAUUACUCCACAAGACCAUAUAUCAGCCUUCGCACCGUCGUAGCCUCUCCUACUAAGAACUUCAGGAGCAACAUAAGCUGGAGUUCCACAGGUGGUAUGAAGGAGGCCAUCAUGUCUCUUGGACUCAGAAAGGGCACUUAAACCAAAAUCCGAGACUUUUAAGCUCUCAUUCUCAUCUAGAAGUAGGUUUUCUGGCUUCAAAUCACGGUGAUAAACACCCCGGCUGUGGCAGUAGUCUAUACCACUGAUCAACUGAUGGAAAUACCGCCUCGCAACAUCUUCACUGAACUUUCCCUUGGAUAUUUUCUUGAAAAGUUCACCGCCUUUAGCAUACUCCAAAACAAAGUAAAUUUUGCUCUUGCUUGCCAUCACCUCAAAAAGCUGAAGAAUGUUUGGAUGCUUUACUAAUCUCAUUAUUGAAAUCUCCCUCUUUAUCUGCACCAUUAGCCCAACCCUUGUUACCUUCUCCUUAUCAAUCAUCUUUAUUGCAACGGCCUGUCCGCUUGUGAGAUUCCGAGCAUAAUAUACCUUGGCAAAAUUUCCCUGUCCUAACUGCCUACCUAUUUCAUAGCGAUCCAUCAAAAUUGUCCUCCUGUCAUCCAUUGUAGCAAUCUAUUUCAAGAAAAUCCUCUAGGCACUACUUAUAGAACAAUAUAUUUCAAAAGGGAGGGCUUAUAAAUGACUAAAUGAACACUAUCACCACCAAGGUCGUGUCCAUCAAAGAUAUAAUGCCACGAUCUUCAGUGGUUCAGAGACCAGGGUACAGAAAAAAUCAUUAUAACAGCAUGCAGGCACUGCUCUUAUUUGAACUCAACCGGACAGUUGGUGCAAAGCUUUCCGGUGCACUAGCACACAAUUCGGCCUUUUCAAGGACAAAUAUCUUCUAGUGUCACCUGUUGAAAACAAAACGGAGAACGAACAAACUGAAUCAGGGCAAACAUAUAAUGUGAAUGUAGAUCCAAUCAUCCAAAGGUAAAUCAAAUUGAAAACAAUAAUUCACUGUAAAUGCGCAUUCACAUUCCCUUUUUUUUAUACGCAAGGAGCGCAUCUUUGUAUUAAAGAGUAAAAUUAUUUAUAGGCACAUUCCCAAAGUUAGGAUAGCAUUACGAAUUUAGUAAAAAAAUUGCAGGAUUCCCCAUUUCACUAUGAUUUUGAAUACCCACCAAGCAUUCCUUGUAAGAAACCUAAAAUCACACCAAACAAAACAUACUCCAAAACGACAAAAUGACAAGUACUACAAACUAAGCAGUGAUUCAUCCUAAAAAGGUAGAUCACACGACGAUUGAUCUAGUGUUCUAGGACUUCAGGCUACUCCGAUAAAGGAAUCAACAAAUAAAAACCUGCAGAAUCCAUUCAUUCAUCAAUCCCCGGUAGCAGAGCAAUCCAUCAUACUAGGGCGAACACCCAGCUCCCCAAACCCUACCUCACCGGGACACAGAGCUACAAAUCCAGCCAUAAACCAAUCAAACUAACAAGCAAUUUACCCUUCUCAGGCCUUAGCCGCAGAGAUCACAACCACAAAUAACCUAACCAAACCAAGAAACCGCAGGGAGCACAACAUCAGCUGCAGAUCUCUUUGCGGCCACAUCAAAAACAACCAAGCAAUCACCAAGGCUGAUACUACCAACCUGAGAUGAACUGGCCGCGGAGGAGAGGCGGGGAUCCCGAAUACUCAGGUGAAGUCUGCUCCAAUCCAAGCCGGCGCAGCCACAGCGCAGCCGCCCUGCGCUUUGACCUAUUUGCAAGCACAGCCUAUUAAUAUUUUAAUUAAUUUUUAAUUACCUUUUUUUGGUUAUUUUAGUAGAGGAGUGGCAUCUCCGCUCCGCGUCGCAGCCACAUGCUCUGAUGCCUCCAGAGCACAGUCCACGUUCGCACGGCAGCUCAGCUCUAAGCAGCGCAACGCGUCAUCACGCCGCCCGGUGGGCCCCACAGCCGCCACGGGCCUGGUUGGUGGGCCGUAGCCCACGUGGGCCCACCGGCGGCAAGGUGGGCUUUCUCCUCGUGGCCCAACUGGCGGUGGUGGGCGGCGGAUGGCGGAGGCUGGCGGCGGCGGCGUAACAGAAGGAGAAGGUGGCGGCGGUGGGUGCGGGAGGCGGCGGUGGAACCGGCGGCGCCCCCCAACGGCGGCGCACCCACGGCGGCGUCGGCGGCGCACCCCACGGCGGACCAACGGCAGUUGGCGGCGGCGAUAUGCACGGCGGCGGCGGCGGCGGAAAUCUCGCUGGGGCGGUUAGGAUUCUAACCCUAACCCGCCCCCUCCCCCACCUUUUUGCCUGCCGGCCAAAUUGGGCCGGCCUAGUACUGUUCGGUGGUGGGCUGAAACCUAUAGUUUCGGCCCACCACCCAAUUUACCCUUUUUUUGUUUUAAAUUUUUAUUUUUAGCAGCCAUUACACUUUAGUCCCUAUGUUUUAUGCAAUUUAAUAGAAACAGUUCAUCAGUUGUUCACAUUAUUAUGUAAUGGUCCUAUAGAUCACUGAUGUUAUGUGUUAAUUAACAUAGAUGUUUAUUCAAAUACCCCGUUUCACUAAAUUUAUUUGUUGUCUUAAUAACAUGCCUUUUGCAUAUUAUUUCAAGACACACUCUACUUUCUCGCUUCAUUAAUUUAUAAAAUUCUAUAAAUUUUGUACUUUGAUUUAGCAAAUUCUCUUAAUUAUGUGCAACAUGAUUAAUGGAGGAUUUAAUGCAUGUUCCACUUCACAUUUUGACUCGGAAAUUAAUCACAUGUAGAUGGAGUCCUAUACUUUGGUCAUCACGACCAUAAUUUAGGCAGCGAGUAUCUUGCUCAUCAUCAAGUGGUCUACAUUUUGAGAUGAUUACCCGAUGGAGCCCUACAAAUUGGCCGCACUGGUUAUAACCUAGGCAGCGAGCAUCUCGCUCAUCUCACAGAGGUUUACAUCUCAUGAUGAUUACCCACAUGUGUUAUUUUCCGAGCAUAUGUUUUGAAAAAUGAGAUUAUUUGAAAUUUGAUUGAACACAAGGUAGUGGAGUCCUAAACAUUGGCUGCGGUAUAUUCACCAGAAUAUAUUUGCCUGGAGACCAUGUUUUAGGCAGCAAGUAUAACUUGCCCACUAUUAAGAGAUCUACUCCACUGUUUAAUUACUUGGAGAUUAUCCACAUUGUGCCACCUAAUUUCAAAUCCUAACUCAAAUUGUCAGGUCUAUAACCUACAUCUUUUCGAAACAUUACAAGAUAUGAAGUUUUACAUUUCGCAUUGAGAUUACAACCUCAAUAUCAUGUUUUUAUUAAUUUACCUCUGUAAAUUAAUAGUGUUAAUCAUGAUUAUAGGGACACGGCAACUAUAGAGUUCACCGAACUCGCCCUCGAUGGGAGUAACUACCCAAUUUGGGCUUCUGAUAUCAAAAUAAAUUUUUCUUCUAGUGGGAUUUCACAUACAGAUUAAGAACCCAAUGAUUGGGAUCCACCAGUUGAGAACAGAAAACUAUAUAUUACCUUUUUCCUUCUGAGGUUCUAUAUCUAUAAAGAUCUCAAAUAUGAGUACAUGUUGGAGACGAGCCCUCUCAACCUAUGGAAAGCUCUAAUAGAGCGUUAUGAUCAGCAAAAGGAACUCAUUUGGCCAGAGGCUAAUUAUGAGUGGAUUCAUUUACGCCUACAGGAUUUUAAACUGUGGCCGAAUACAAUCAUGUUGUACAUAACAUUUGCUCCAAGUUGAUAUUUUGCGAUAAGAGCCAACGGAAGCAGAGAAGAUAGAGAAAACUCUAUCAACUAUGUUUCCAGAGGACAAGAUAUUGAACCAAUAGUAUCGCACUAAAAGGAUUUAAGGGAAAUUCCUCGAAUACCCCUACGAAUCUGACUGGAAAACGCAAACGCAACAACAGGCGCAAAUCCAAUGGUCGACAGAAAGGAAAUAGGAAGGGUAAGGCACCACAACCUCGUGGCAAUAGCAACAUGCAUUGCAACAGGUGUGUAUCUGACUAUCAUGUCACUAAAGAUUGCCGCAUCUCAAAAACAUCUUGUUCUCCUGUAUCAGAAAUCCCUAAAGGAGAAAAAGUCUUCUGAGGAACUAAGAUUUGAAGCUCACUUCAAUCUUACAAAAGAAAGACCUGAGGUUGAAAGUUCUCACUAGGCUCCUAUUGAACCAGAGAACACCCUCGUUCUUCUCCCAGAGGAUACCACUGCGCUUUCUGCAAUAGAUGAUAUGCUCAUCGAAUACUGCUCAACGGACCCACUUAGAGAUUUAUUGUAAUCUCAGUGCGUCCCACUUAGAGAUAAAGCUGCUUUAAUCUCAGUGUGUUUAAGACAUUAUAUUGAUAUCCUAUAGUUUGUCAAAACAAUAUUGGUUGUAAUAAGUAGAUAAGUACAAACUCCCUUAUAUUAUAAAGUUGUAAGACUUGAUAGUCAUUAGAGUAUGUACUAUUAACCUAUGUAAACGUCAUACUAUGUAUCUGAUGUUUUCAUUAUUGUAUGUAUGUAUAUAUUGUGGAUAAAGAAUUCUUCACUAAGCAAUUCUUCUUUCACUAUAGAUGUCUAAGGAUAUCGCUCUGAAAUUGUCCUUCUCUCAUCCAUUGUAGCAAUCUAUAUCAAGAAAAUCCUCUAGGCACUACUUAUAGAACAAUAUAUUUCAAAAGGGAGAGCUUAUAAAUGACUAAAUGAACACUAUCACCACCAAGGUCGUGUCCAUAAAAGAUAUAAUGCCCCGAUCUUCAGUGGUUCAGAAACCAGGGUACAGAAAAAAAUCAUUAUAACAGCAUGCAGGCACUGCUCUUAUUUGAACUCAACGGGACAGUUGGAGCAAAGCUUUCCGGUGCACUAGCACAUAAUUUGGCUUUUUCAAGGACAAAUAUCUUCUAGUGUUACCUGUUGAAAACAAAACAGAAAAUGAACAAACCGAAUCAGGGCAAACAUAUAACGCAAAUGUAGAUCCAAUCGUCCAAAGGUAACCUAAAUUGAAAACAAUAAUUCACUGUAAAUGCGCAUUCACAUUUCUUUUUUUAUAUAUGCAAGGAGCGUAUCUUUAUAUUAAGGAGUAAUAAAAGUUAUUUACAGGCACAUUCCCAAAUUUAGGAUAGCAUUACGAAUUUAGUAAAAAAAAUUCAGGAUUCCCCAUUUCACUAUACUUUGAAUACCCACCAAGCAUUCCUGGUAAGAAACAUAAAAUCACACCAAACAAAACAUACUCCAAAAUGACAAGGACUACGAAACUAAGCAGUGAUUCAUCCCAAGAAGGUCGAUCACACGACGAUUGAUCUGGUGUUCUAGGAAUCUAGGCUACUCCUAUAAAGGAAUCAACAAAGAAAAACCUGCAGAAUCCAUUCAUUUAUCAAUCCCUGGUAGAACCCGUCAUACUAGGGCGAACACCCAGCUCCCCAAACCCUACCUCACCGUGACACAGAGCUACAAAUCCAGCCAUAAACCAAUCAAACAAGCAAACAAUUUACCCCUAUUAGGCCUUAACCGCAGAGAUCAUAGCCAUGAUUAACCUAACCAAACCAAUAAACCGCAUAAGCACCGCAUCAGCAGCGGAUCUCUUUGCGGCCACAUGAAAAACAACCAAGCAAUCACCAAGGCUAAUACUACCAACCUGAUCGAGAUGAACUGGCCGCGGAGGAGAGGCGGGGAUCCCGAAUACUCAGGUGAAGUCUGCUCCAAUCCAAGCCGGCGUAGCCACAGCGCAGCCGCCCUGGGCUUUGACCUCUUUGCAAGCACAGUUCUAUUAGUAUUUUAAUUAUUUUUUAAUUACCUUUUUUGGGUUAUUUUAGUAGAGGAGUGGCAUCUCCGCUCCGCGUCGCAGCCACAUUCUCUGAUGCCUCCAGAGCACAGUCCACGUUCGCAUGGCAGCUCAGCUCACAGCAGCGCAACGCGUCGUGCCGCCCGGUGGGCCCCACCGCCGCCACGGGCCUGGUUGGUGGGCCGUAGCCCACGUGAGGCCCACCGGCGGCAAGGUGGGCUUUCUCCUCGUGGCACAAAAGUCAGUGUGUGGCCGUGGCGAGGCCGGCGGAGGCAGCGGCGGCGGAGGAGGAGGUCGUCGUCGCCGGCAGCUCAGCUCAGCUCACAGCAGCGCAACGUGUCAUGCCGCCCGGUGGGCCCCGCCCCCGCCACGAGCCUGGUGGGUGGGCCGUAGCCCACGUGGGCCCAAUUGACAAGGUGGGCUUUCUCCUCGUGGCCCACAAGUCGGUGUGCAGCGGCGGCGAGGCUGGCGGCGGCGGAGGAGGAGGUCGUCGCCGGCGGCCGCGCGGUGACGGGUGCAGUGAAGUUCGGCGCGAAACCUCAAGAGCACCGCAUUUUCUACGCUUUUUCUUUGUUUUUUUUUUUGGCUCGAGUGCGCCUUCGCCGAACAGAUAAAGGCCACGUCUUUUCUUUUGCUUUCUCCUCUCCAAGCGAAGCCACUGCUUCUACUGCGUCGACUUGGAAUUUUGCCGAAUCUUUUUUUCCUAUGCAUUUGGCAAGACCAAGAAAACAAAAAGAAAAGAGAUUAUUAAUCAUGGCGACACGAAUGGAAAUGGUUAAUAAUCGCAUUGAAAUCUAAAUCCGAUCCUACUAAAGAAUUAAUUAAAAAAUAGGAGUACUAAUAAUGGGCAUAGAUAGAGGGAGACCUCACUCUCAGCAUAAAAAAAUUCCAUCUUUGCAGGCAGACGCAGGUGCACUUGCUUCAGUCACCACCUCCUCUUCUCCUUUGCCGACUCCUGAGCCAUCAGUGUGGCCUAACUCGUGUGACUUUCAAAGUAAGAGUAUCUACGACUUCGAUUCUUUUAUUGCCUUUCUGAUUAAUGAAUAGUGGUAAACGAAGCAAUAGGAUUUGACUCCUGGAGAAGGAGAAGCUAAGAUAGCACUGAGCUCUUUCUAGAUACACAUCCUUCUCCGCGGCCAUUUCUUGGAGCAAAUCUCAUUUUGCACAGCCCCAAAGAUUUCUUCAUCUUUGAAGGCAAAAAAAAAGAUGGUCCUUUUUCGAGGGAAAUAGGGGGGAAGAUGGCUAUGAAGAGAGUGGUGUUUCUGUUGCUGCUUGUGGCGGCAUCUGCAUUGGUGAAGUCGUCAAGAGGAGGAGGAGGAGGGGAGGAGAAGUUGGGGAAGUUCUAUGGAUGGCGGCGCCAUCUUUCUUCUGGACCAGCUGCCUCUUCGUUGGUUCUCAGUGGGGAUCUCGUAAGGCGUCCAUAAACCUUCUCCUUUGCAUGCUAGAUAGAAGUAAUCGAUUCAAUAGCUCUAGUUUACUUUGCUUGAUUUGGACUUGUUAUCUGCCAAGAACUUCGAAUAUGACUUCCAUUUUGUCUUCUUGAAAGUGAGGCAUUCAGGCCUUUUUUGUUAUUUACCGUUGUUAUGUUUAGUAUAUUUCGUUAUAACAGAAAUAUGACUGAUUGUUUCUUGAUCUUUAUUGUGCUCACUUUAGUCAAUCAGGAUGAGCAGUAAAUUUUACUUAGUUCAUAUAUAUUAUAUGAGAACAAUUUAACAGAUAGCUUGAUGCAUUAACAAAUAAUCCUUACUGUGAUGCAGGUAGACAAAAUAUGGUCAGUUUGCUUACAAGACAUAGUUAGCCCAGAGGAUACAUUUGGCUUUGGGGAAUCAUUUGCCUGGGAUGAGUUAUCGAGUCAUUCCACGGAAGAUGAACUGAAGGCAACACUGUUCAUGGAACUUAUGGCUCUUCUUCCACCUGAGAAAUCUUCUUUUACUUAUGAUUGUAUCCGUGCAAACUGCUUCAGCCUGGGUGUUCCACAAAUAUUCAGUGUUGCACUGAGCAACUAUCUUGAGAGCCAGAAAUCAUUGGUCGGUUCAAACUUCUAUCCGAGACGGCGUUUGGUAGAUAAACUGAUCGGAGAUGCUCCUUCCAUGGCUCCAGCUUUCGCACCAUCCAUGUCCUCUGGCGGUGAAGUUCACUCUCCCCUCUCUGUGGCGGAGGCACCACUUACACCUUCCAACUCUCUGAACAUGGAACCUCCCAGCCCAUAUUAUCCCAGUAAAUCUGCACACAAGCAUCAGGGAGUGGCACCUCCAGUUUCACCUUCAGAGGAGUAUCAUGACUACAUGAAAGUAGUCUUGAUCGCUGUUCUUCCAACAGCCGCACUCUCAUUCCUAGCUGCAUUUCUAUGUUUCUACUGCUGUGGAUGCAACAAAAGCAAGGUCUCGGUUGGCGAGCAACGAGAUGACCAUCCUCUUCUUCACUUGCAGUUCUCUAACUUGCCUGGUGAGGAUACAUCCCUUCUAUCAACAUGGUAGAUUAUUAUUGGUAUGGUAGUAUAUCAUCUAUCAUUUGAAUGGCAGGUUCGUCACCUGAUGUGCAUGUUCCUGCCAGCCCGCUUCAUAAGGAUGAUCAUGGGGUUAGGCCAUCCAAUGCUGGUGUAAGCAUGAGCAAGUGCUUUCCAUGUUGUUUUAAAACCUCAAGUGAUGCCACAACACCUACACUAGUAACUGGAGGAACACAGGAGAACAAUGCCACAAGUGAUGCCCCUAAACUGAUGCCUCCGCCACCCCCACCUCCUCCACCUCCACCUCCACCUCCCCCUCCACCUCCUCCGCGUCCACCUCCUCCGCCUCCACCUAUCAAGAAGGGUGCUCCACCACCUGCACCUCCUAAAGCCACCAUGGCAAGAUUUCCUAAGCUGUCACCUACAGAGUCAAGUCGUUCUGAAGAGUCAUCUGCAAGCGAGCUGGCCAGUGAAUCGUCUGAAACUGAGGUGAAUGCUCCAAGAGCCAAGCUCCGGCCUUUCUAUUGGGAUAAAGUUCUUGCUAAUCCUGAUCAGUCAAUGGCCUGGCAUGACAUCAAAUUUGGUUCUUUUCAGUAAGUUUUUAAAUUUAGCAAUGGCAUGUAUUCUAAGUUCAUUUAGGCUUGCAACUGACGACUGCAUUCUGCAGUGUGAACGAGGAGAUGAUAGAAGAAUUGUUUGGUUAUGGUGCUGGCAACCAAAACAAUGUCAAGGACAAGGAAAUUUCCAUUGCAGAUCCUUCACCUCAGCAUGUUUCUCUUCUUGAUGUUAAGAAAUCAUGCAAUCUGGCAGUUGUUUUUAAGGCAAUGAAUGUGAGGGCAGAGGAAAUUCAUGAUGCUCUGGUUGAAGGUAGUUGAACUAUUGCAUAUAUUUACAUGCAGCCUACUUACCCAUUUGCCAAAAAAAAAAAAAGCUCCUAAAGUUUCCAUUAUCGCUGUAAAUACAAUAUGUUUGCACCGCCAAAGAUAACAUUGCACUUAUAAAUGAGCCUUUUGAAAAAAUGGAAUGCUCGUUGCAUUCUAUUUAACUGAUACAAGAAUUCGACUGCAACUAUAGCAAGUUUACUUAUUAAACUAUAUACUGUGCAUUUCUAAGCACAUGUAUUUGUGGCCAUCCUCUUUUAGUUUCUUGUCUGUCUUUGUGAUUGUGGCCCAUCUCAUUUCAUAUCAGGCAAUCACAGUGAAAACAUGUUUCAUAUUGUGUAUGCAUUGGUCAUUUACUAUAUCAUAUGUUCUCUUGUUCACUAGAUGUAGCUGUUGAGGUCUAAGUAGUACACACAAAGUUGAUGCUGUGCUGGUUCACUUCAAUAUACUUCUGACAUUGUCUUCUGUCACAUUAUGUUAUGAAGGGAAUGAACUUCCUAGAUUACUUCUUGAGACAAUCUUGAGGAUGAAACCGACUGAUGAGGAGGAACAGAAACUCAGGCUUUAUAAUGGGGACUGCUCGCAGCUAGGCCUAGCAGAACAAGUGAUGAAGGCACUAAUUGAUAUUCCUUUUGCUUUCGAGAGGAUUAGAGCUUUGCUUUUCAUGUCCUCUUUGCAGGAAGAUGCUUCAAGUCUAAGGGAAUCAUUCCUCCAAUUGGAGGUAAUCCAUCUGAAAGUAGUUGACUUCUGUAUUAAAUCUGCGAAGUAUUCCAACCUUUUUUCUCCAAGUGUUCAGUUUUUUAUCUGUUUGUGCCAGGCUGCUUGCGGUGAACUCAAGCACCGCCUUUUUCUGAAACUACUAGAAGCCAUUCUCAAAACUGGAAAUCGUUUGAAUGAUGGGACGUUCCGUGGUGGUGCUAACGCGUUCAAACUUGACACUCUUCUUAAGUUAUCAGAUGUCAAGGGAGCUGAUGGGAAGACCACAUUGCUGCACUUUGUUGUUCAAGAGAUCAUUCGAUCUGAAGGUGUUCGCGAAGCAAGACUCGCCAUGGAAAAUGGAAGAAGUCCACCAUUUCCUAGUACUUCGGAUGACAAUUCCAAUGAAUCUCUACAGGAGGAUGGCAAUUACUACUCCAACCUUGGCCUUAAGAUUGUAUCAGGGCUUAGUAAUGAGCUGGACAAUGUCAAGAGAGUAGCAGCACUGGAUGCUGAUGCUUUGUCUACAAGUGUGGCAAAUCUGCGACACGAAUUAUUGAGAGCCAAAGAAUUCCUGAACUCCGACAUGGCAUCGCUAGAAGAGAACAGUGGAUUCCACCGCUCGUUAGAAAGUUUCAUAGAACAUGCAGAGACUGAGACCAAUUUUCUCCUGAAAGAAGACAAGAGAUUGAGGAUGUUAGUGAAGAGAACGAUUCGAUAUUUCCAUGGAAAUGAUGAGAAAGAUGACGGUUUUCGCCUGUUCGUCAUUGUAAGAGAUUUUCUGGUGAUGCUAGAUAAGGCAUGCAAGGAGGUUGGUGCUUCACAAAAGAAGGCAACAAAUAAAUCUCAAGCCAAUGGCAACUCUAAUAACCCAUCAUCCCAGUCAAAUCCUCAGGAGCAACAGUUUCCUGCUGUUUUGGAUCAUCAUUUUGAUAGCUCAGACUCUAAUGAUUGAAGAUAGAUACAAUCUUAGAUACUAAGAUACAUACAUUAUGUUAGAUAUUUUAUAUUUUUUCGCCCGAGACCAUGUAAAAAGUCCCAUUUGCAGAGGCAUUGUUCAUACAUAAUCACAUUCACAUAGAUAGAUUUGAAACUUCAUACAUGCUAUUAUGCUAUAACAUUCAGUAUCAAAUCUGAAGUUCUGAACUCAGCCUAUCGUUAGAUUCUAUUUUCUUUGGUAAGAGUAUUCAUAUCCCGACCCCUCCCCACAUGUGUCAUUUCCCAGAUAUUUUUAUUUUAUUUUUAAAGUCAAACCUUUUCUUUUCAUUUUUUGAAAGCCAAAACAUUUUCAACCGUGUGAUGGAAACCAAAACCUUCAGCACCCUAAAGACGAAAAAAUAAUUAGUAGGAUAUGGUAUAUUUCAGAAAACUGGAUCUAUUUUAUCAAUCUAUCACUUUGCUACAAUGUUAUCCACGUAUUUUAAAGAAUUGCAAUAUUAGUGUAUGGUUUUAUCAAAAAGAAAGAUACAACUUAAUUUGUGUGACAAGUUUAAGUCCACAUACACUGUCCAUUAUAAAUUGGGUAUAUGUCAUACUAGAAAUGUGGUCCCGUGACCAUGGUAGGUUUUUACUCUUUUAGUAGCUUUAUAUAGUCCAGUUCUUAUAAUCAUGUGUAUAGUGUUGGGCAAAACUAUAUCCCAUCAGGUAGAUGAGUUUGGGUCCAUUCUAUGAGCACCCGUCCCGUCUACCAUGGGUAAAAAACACUCGUAGAUCUAGCGAAAAAAAAUUACAGUGGCCUAAGACCAAAUCUUAGUAUGAAAUCAUCUCACCUAACCACCUAUCAAUCCUACCAAUAUUCUCCAUUGCCACACAAACCGCAAGUAAAAGGCAGUGCUCGUGGUGGCGGCUAGAACCACUCAUGACUCAUUAUGCUCGUGAGUUGCUAUGCGACCAAGACAAGACAAGGGAGGUAGCGGGGCUCAUGCGGUUAUAGGGGGUAGGGAAAACGGGAUUGAGGAGUCACACUCUCAUCACAUCUCUAGUCUCCUUCACAUCAGUCUCUUACCAUUUCCCAUUCCAAUCGGUGGUGGAUCCAGGUACGGAGGAAAUCUUGUACCCAUGACAAUUGUGGGUGUUAGAGCAAAAUGUUUUGACUUGCAUAGGUGUGUGCGGGGUAUUAGAACUGGCGGGUGUAUUUGCUAUAUUUAGUCUUACACACAUAGGGGAUAAAUUAGUAGUUAUAUGAUAAAUUCCGUUGCUAAAGUUACAAUUUUAUGAAAAAUAGCCAGCUAAAGUUAUACAAAGUGAUGGUGUUUGCCAAAGGGAGUAUCUAAAGAAUUGCCACAAAUUUUUUGAGUCAAAAACUUUCAGAUAUAACAACUUAUAUAAAACUUGCAUUCAACUAUGGUUUAGUUAGCUAAUAUUGGGAUCUUACGUGUGAUAUGUGUGAAAUUUUUUUUCCUUCAUGCACAAAUCGUAGGACGAUCCGAUGGUCACAAAUUUGGAAGUUUUGGGAGUAGUUAUUUUAGCAAAUCCGUUACCAAAUAAGGCUGUGUUCGGAGGAGGGGGUUGGGAACCCCUCCUCCUCGGCACGCAAAACAAAGUUCAUUUUAUUGCAUGAUCAAUUAAGUAUUAACUAUUUUUUUAAAUAGAUUAAUAUGAUUUUUUUAAACAACUUUCAUACAUAAAGUUUUUAUAUAAACCACACCGUUUAGCAGUUUGAAAAGCAUACGUACGGAAAACAAGAGAGGUGGGUUGGGAAAAUGGGGGAAGAACACAGCCUAAGCAGUUUUGUGAAAUUUUCUCGAUAAUAGGAUAAGAUCUUCUAGGAUGCACAAUCCUACCCGUCCAUUUCCGAUCGGACGGCACCGGUGACACCCAAGAGCAACCCAGGCCGCCUCCUCUCCCCCAAAACGCGCACUCGUGUGCUUUCGCCUUCCAUUCUCCAAACCCUCGCGGGAGAUCGGAAUUCCCCACCCCGGAGCGCCGGAUCCACCACCGAUCGUCGGCGGCGGCGGCGGAGGAGGCUGCGACGGCGGAGGCGGAGAUGCUGGGCCCUCCUCGCCGCGGGCCGGCGUACAAGACGAAGCUGUGCGCGCUGUGGCAGCGCGGCAACUGCAACCGCGACACCUGCAGCUUCGCCCACGGCCACGGCGACAUCCGCCGCCCGCCGUCCUCCCGCGGCGCCUUCACGCACCACCCGGGUAUGGAUUGCCCCCCUCCCCCCUCGCGCGCCCCCCUGUUCGUUGUUUGUCUUCGAGAUCCCCCGCCCCUGGGUUUAGGGUUUCUGGUGUCUAGUGCAGGAGGCGGAGGGCGUUGGAUGUCCUAGAAUUUUUUAUUUUAUCGUCGUGAUUGUCGAUAAGCUUAGAUUAGAUGUAUGCGUUGCUAGAUGGCUAGAUGUGAAAUGGAAGUGCGGAAACCGGACUAUUGGAUUAUGUCAAGAGUAGUAUUUUCACAAAAGCCGAGUGAUAAUGUUAUAAGAGUGAGCAUUGGAAGUUUGGAACUAAGCGGCUGGUUCUGGAGAACGUGACAUACUGGGCGGUAAGCCCGAAUGCGAUGUUUGGCUUCCCAUGCAAAAAAGGAAUGUCAUAAAAAGUGGAAAUUGCUGGAAUGUUGCCUUUUAAGAGGACAUUCGAUACCCAUGAAGGAGUUAGGACUUAGGAGAGAAUCCAGUCAUUGCUGUAAACCUUCUUUAUGAUUCGCGCGAUAGUUUGCUGGCUUUUUUGUCUUGUUCUAUUGCGUUUGUGAUUUUUACUGUAUUUCUUAUACGAGUGCUUGAAUUCAACCACCAGUUGCUGCAGAUAGAAAAUAAUUCUAACAAGUGGAAGCUUGUUGCAGAAUUAGGUGGCAUUCUUACUGGUUGUCUUUUGAUUUAAUUAUCAUUCAAACUAGCAGACUCUGCAGAUAUGUUGACUCAACUGCUGCCAGAGGAUAGCAUGACCUUUUUCAUAAAUUCUUCACUUGGUAUUUCGACGAUUUGUGUUGACGAUAAUGCUUGUGCUGUACCAGAAGGUGAACUUGUGAGGAUCUUGGAUGAUGCCUCCAUUGAAUGAUUGCCAAUAAUAUAUUCAAUGUGAUACAAUCAUGCCAUUAGCUGGCUUUGCAAUUACUGGGUCACACAUUAUAUGAUUAUGGUGCAUCAGCUAGUUCCAUUGGAAGUAUUAUUCUCACUGGUGAUUCAAACAUUUUGUGAUUCUUCACAAGUCGCCAUUGAAGAUAUCUGAGCAAAUGCUAGUAUAUGUAUGGGAUAUUGGGACUAUGCCAUUAUGGAAGACCUUUCUUCAUCAUACUUGCUAUAUGAGGUUAUUUAUGGAGCACUCAUCCAUUUCACUUCAGACGAUCAACAUUAUUAUAUUAAUGGGUGAAUCAGUGGUUUCUUGUCGUAUCUUGGUAUAUGCUUGUGCAUUAUUUUUUGGCCCUACUUUUUUUGUGGCUAAUGGCAUUAUCCUGGAGCCCCAGCUACUUAUUGCUAAUUGAAUAAUCUUGUAGCUCAAUGGUCUUGGUAAGCUUAACAGGAUUAUGGGUGUCCUACUAUCUAUAUAUUACUUCCUUUUUGUUUUUUGUUUCAUAAGUUGCUUCCUUUGUAUAAAACUUGCACCUCCCUGACUUCUAGGGAGAAGAGAUUAUAGAGCCGGUGAUUUCAGAGGCAGGAUUGAUAGGAGGUUUUCACCUCGGAGGAGGCAUUCCCCUGGAAGAGAGUCCAGGGGUCAUCGUCCCCUUUAUGAUAGAAGGCCAUCUUCUCGAGAAAGAGGUAAUAACUGCUUUCUUUCUCUGUCGUGUGUGUAUUUGCAUGUGUGUAUACAACUGUUUCUGGUCGCUUCUACAUACUGAUUGCUUUUAAGUUUAUGCUAUUUAUAAACUCAUAAAAAUGUGAUUUCUUACUGCAGAUUCUAGCUAUUCACGAUCUCCUAGCAGGAAGAGGUACAUAUUUCAUUUCAUCAUAUGAGCAUGAUCUUUUGAAGUUAAAUUCUAAAUAUGCUGUGAGUGCAUGUUAAAGCCCUGAUCAAAGUUCAAUUUAUGGUGUCUUUGCUUAUCUUUAUCAUCGAUUUAUUAGUAUAUUGCCUUGUCGUGUUUCUAUUGGUCUUGCAUUUUAGUUUUUCAUCAUUGUUAAUCACCAUUUGAUAUGCUUGAGUUAAGAUCCACACAAGCUACAAUUUUAGUUCUGUAGUUUUAUAUUAAUGGUGCUGUAAACUAUCAUCAACAUAUUUGUUCCAUUAUAAUGCUAAAAUUAUCUUGCUCAGAAUGGUAAGGUUUUGUAUUCUUCCUGCAGAUUGUACCUGGUGAUACUUACUAUCUAUCACUCAAAUUAUUUGUUUUGUUUUCAUAGUCAUAAGCAUGUUUUCCUAAAGGUCAUGCAAGCACUUGUAUAAGCUGUAUUUUGCGAUCAAAGUAGAACUUGAUAUUUGAACACUGGCAUUUCCGUUGGAAUUGUGGUUGGGUUUACUAGAUUUAUUCUAGAUGCCUUGAACAUGUUGAGUCGUGCUGAACUGGUAAUUUACUUUUCCACAAUCUAUCCUUUAUUUCCAGUGAGAGGAGGCAUGAAAAGAAGACUGACGAUGGAGAAACCAACUCAUCUAGGAGUUUAAGUCUCUCUGAUAACAACGAUGAAAAGAAAAAGGACAAAUUCUCAAGUGGUGAUGAGAAAGAAGACCACGAAAAGCAGGUAUGAGAAAAAUGUAAUCAAAUUCAUGGCUUAUACAAGCACAUUUGGCACAAUCUUCAUUGCAUAAUUAUGAAUAUUGUGCAGCUGAAACAAAUACGGCUGGAUAUGGAGGCUUUGCGUGACGAUAAAACUCAGAUGGAGGUCAGUUUCUAUUUGUCUCGCUAUAUUUGUUACAAUAUGGCACAUGCUACCAUGUUAACAUUUUGACUGCCACUUUUUAUUCACUCAUAAAAAGGAGUUGGUGGUUGUGAUGAUAGGUUCCACCAUCCCAUGCCAUUUUAAAAGAUCUUUUGUGGAUGAAUCUACCUUAGUGUGUGUGUGUGAAUUGUAGGAUCUUUUGUAAAGGAUUACAUCUUCUGCACAUGUAGACAUGCAUAAGAUGAUCGAUUGACGCAAGUCAUAUAUUCUAUUUUAAAUUUGUUACUAAUUUGUCAUAUGUAGACAUGUAUUUUUAUAAAAAAGUUCAAAACUAAUGGCUUAUUUAUCUGUGGUAUGCUGCAAUGAAUGAGCUUAUGAGCACUAUGCUAGUAAUGUGUAAAUUGAGAAAUGGUAAUGCAUGGAUUUCAUCAAGUGUUCAAAGCGUAGGUGACUUUUCACUAGUCCAGUACUGCUGUGCCAACUAUCAACUAAUAGUGUUUGCAUGUAGAACUUAGUAUGUGGGUAUUGUUUAUCAUCUUUAAUUUCAGACAUAUUCUCCAUUCUGUUCAUGUUUGGCACAGAGAUUGCACAUCUUCCAAUCAUUUAAUAGUAGUCAUGCUUGACGAAUUGGUUGGCAGUGCGUCUUUCCAUGAAUAACCCCAAGAGUACCCUCUAGUCUUGUGUCCACUUUGGACCUUCAUUGACUUAUUGUACUUGAGUUUAUUUAUUUUUGUCUUCCUGUCAUGUUAUAUUUUCCGACUGAGCUUUGGAGCGGGUCAGCACUCAGCAGGCACAUUAUUAUAUGGUGCUUGCGCUCUUGUUUCAAAUGCUUUCUAUUUUAUGGCUGUGCUAAUAUUUCAAAUUUUCAAUGGUGCUGCAAGAAUUUGAUUUCACAUUGUUUUUAGCAUCUCGUGAACACAGUACUUGCUAACUACUACUUUAGAAAAGACUCCUGCUUUUUUUUUUGUUUCAUGGAAUGAUAUUACAAAACAUCCUACUUGGCCAUGUCUCUCUUUUAGACUUUUAGAAAAAGUCAAGCUCUUAGAAAUGUUACAUAAAUAAAUGUACACUAAUUUAUAAAUGGUUCCUUAUAAUUUGAAAAAAGUUUGCAUUAAAGACACCAUUUAAUAAUAUUCCUACUUCAUCACUGUUAUGAGCAUGGGCCAGGCCGAUGCAGCAGUUUAGGCACGAUAAAUUAGGAAUAAGUCAUAUAAUGGUAGGAGAUUAUCUAGUUAGGAAAGAGAUGAAGUUUAUUAUCUAGUUGGGAUUGAUUUCUAUGAUACUAUAGACUAUCCUUGGAUGUCAAGCCUGUCCUCCCUAUAUAUAAAGGGACCCCAUGUACUCUAUCAUUAAUCAAUCAAUGAAUCUCUAAAGUUAGCCCUAAUCCUCAGAGCCUCUUUUAGCUGAGCAGGGAGAAGCCUUGCCGCUGCUAUUAGUGAGCGAGUGCCCUAUCACUGGGUCUUCGGACCCUUACCCUAGCUACUCCAUAACAGUCACUACCCAUUGCUUGUACUUAGUUCCAUUCACGUCUAUAAUGUUAGAUCAUGCUGAAUCUUUGCUCCAAACUCUUAACUCUAGUCAACGCACUUACCUAUUUGUAGGUCAUUUUGGAUGAGAAGAUAGAUGAAGUGCGCAAGAUCUCUAGCAAAGUUAAUGAUCUUGAGGUGCAGCUUAGAAGGGAGAAAGAUGAAUGCCAUAGGUACUUAAGCAAUGUUUCCACAUGACAAUGGCACAUUAUCUUGACAGUAUUAUCCAAUAGUUCUAUAUUGUUUUUCUAUACCUUUGUAGGAUGACCUCAAAGAUGAAGAAGUUUAUUAAAGCUCAUGCUCGGUUUUUGAAGGCACAAGAAGAAGUGAAAAGGUGCUUUAUGUUUUCAUCAUGUUUGGCCUUGUAAUGCUAGUACACACCAGAUUACUCCUUUUUGCAUAACUAUCAAUCAAUAAGUGUUCACCAAUUGGAGUUAUGCAGGUCACAAGCUCGUUUCGAGAGGCUUGGUGAUUUGCUUGCUUCAGAUAUUUUGAAGCGUGGUGCUAAUGAAGAGGGGUCCAGUGUCAAUGAAGACCUAAACGAAAGGAGUCCUAAUACUGCAGCAACUAAAAAGAGAUCAAUCCCAUACUCAACAAGUGAAGAAGCGAAAGCUGGUAUGUAGCUUAGUUUCUCGGGACACUCUGAUUGCCAGGUUGUGAUUUGUACAAUAUGGAUCUUGGUGUUAUGCAGCAUCCAACUUUCCCCUUCUGUUAAACUGAUAUAUGUACCUCUUUAUGGAGUAACCAGUCGAUCCUAGUAUGAAGUAGUUCAAAUGUUCCUUUAUUUAAUAUUAAGCAUUAAAAUUGAUGUGCUUAGUUUUCUUACAGUAGCACUGAAGGAUGCCUAGUUUCUUUUAUAAUUGGAUUUUAAUUCUUUCUGCAAAUUGCUGAAGAAGUGUCUUAAUUAUGUACUUAAACCUAAUUGCUUGUCUCCUCAGUGAAGAAGAGAAGAGAGCGAGACUCUGAUACAAUGACUAGGUCAGAUAAAUAUAGGUCAGAUGUUACAGAUUUUGAUAAAACAAGUAAGGGGACUGAGGCAACCAAGUCUUUAUAUUUGAAGAAGAAAUUAUGGGAAGAUGAAAAAAGUAAGCUAGGAGCCAACAUUUUCACAGAAAAGGUGCACCAUUUCUCCCGCCCGCUCUCAAUUUUAUGAUGAACUACAUAUCAUACUUAGUACACUCAGUCCAGUGCUUUGUUUAAACAUUAUCACAUAUUGCUAGCCUAUGCAUUUGAUUGCACUGUAUAUAUCUCUACUAGUGUAAAAGCAGAGUUGUCCUUCCUUCCCCUCUUCCCACCUACCGCGUACAGCGAGAGAGUGAAAAACCGAAAGGCCAAACUUAUUACUUGUCUAAACAAAAAGCCUAGUUGAUAUUUGGAAAGUUCGGUCAUUGCCAGACCUUGUAUUGAAACUGAUAGGCUUCCUUGAUCAUCAGGUCCUAAAGCCCUUCUUGGCUAUGUUGGCAUCUGUAUUUAUCUUUGUUUGAUUGUGCUUAUCACAGGCAAAUAUUUUGUUAACUUGCAGGUCAAAGGUUCUCCCGUCAGACAUGUUUUGCCCUCCACUGGCAUGGCUGCUCAUGCUAUUGAUGAUCUCAACGAAGCUAUUGAACUGGAGGACAGACAUGAAUCCAUAGACGCAUUACUAGAAAAUGAUGCUGAUGACAAAACUAGAUCACCUGCUAUUCCCCUGCAGCCACCACCAGUGGUACAGAAUGCUUAUGAGCAGGUGAUUAAAUUUUCACCUUUCCAAAAAAAAAUAUUGGACCUGCUUACAUGCACGGUCAGCGGCAUGGAACUGGACAGUGCAUUUUGUUUAUAAAAAAUCGUUGUACUAAAAAAGCUCCUUUUUUUUCCCUGUGCAUUUGCUAAUUUGCUGAAAAAGCAAACUCAUAAUUUGUUUCAUCUUUUCCCAGUAUGAGGGUGAUGACGAGGAAGUCGAUGUGGAAUAAGUGGAUGGCCUCGUUUCUAGACAAGAGGCCUCUGAUGAAGCAAUGGCGAGAUUAGCAUCUUCCCCAGCUCCUUAUAAUUAGUACUAUUAGCAUCUUGGUGUACAAAGUGCUAUCUAUUUGACAUUGGGAAUUCAGCUUAUAUUUAUCAAGAAUCCUUUUGUAGUAACAUCCUUGGCGCUGAGACAGCCUUAGUCAACUAUGUGGAGCAGCCGUAUAAAUACUCCAUAGAGUGUCUGGUUUGGCUAAGCUAAUGACGUAUGGUAUGUGCGCUCCUUCUGCCCUGGGGAUUGCGACGCCAGAUGUGUCUACCUUCUUUAUCGCUGCAUUCAGUUAAGAAGAAGAAAUGCCAAAGAUGAACAUUUCAUGGUCAUCUGGCUAGUCGAGCUGAGCGUGUAAACUGGGUAAAGCAAGAUAUCCUGAAUUGAAUUCCUGAUGCCUUUGUACAGCCUCCCCAAGACCCGAAAAAGCUAGGGUUUGCUGCUGGCCUGGUGCUGCGGAGCGGGCAUGAGCGCCAGCUUUCUCCCUCGCUGUUAAGGGUGUAAUAAGGGGUUAAUUUGUGAACCCGCUUAUAAAUCAAAAUCUUCUCAUGGCUGGUCGUCCUCGCUCUCCUGUCGUCGGCUUCUCCUCCAUCGCCGAUGAUCAUCACUCUAUCAUCAGCUCUAUCGUCAAUUCGUCUCCUGUGUUUCGGCCUGGCCAGAUUAACCUAAGCAGAAAGAGCAGUAGUUUUAUCAGUUGGUUAUAUUGACCCAAGCCAGAAAUAGCAGUAGUUUUAUCGGUUGGUUUUAUAAGUCGUAACAAUAUGUAUCUCACGACUUAAAAAAAUAAUAUAUAAAAAUAUCAUGUUGGAAAUAUCCUAAAAUUAACUUUAUAAUUUAAAAUCGACUCAAAUAUCUAAAUUUUAAGUUUAUCAUACCCGGGAGGUUAUCCUCGUCGAGAGAAACCGACCCGGUUGAUUUUCCUGUGUCUAUAUAUAUCGACCGAGUUGAAGCCUCAAGAGGAGGAAAGGAUCGACCCCGACCCGACCCGAAGUCCCGACCCCAACCAGAGAGAGGCGCGCGCGUGCGGGUGCGGUGCGGUGCGGAUCGGAUCGGAUUGGGCCGAGUCCCCGACCCCACACCACACACCCCCUCCUCUCCCCGUCCGCGAGGGCUCCGGCCUCUCCUCCCUCCCGCGAUCCCCUUCCCCUCCGCCUCUCGCCGCCGCGCCGCGCCUCGCCGCGCCUCCAGCCAUCGCCGUCGACCGCGCGCGCGCGCGAGAGGUUCGUCUCCGUCCUCCUCCAUCCCAUCUCUCUCCCCUUCCAUGGAUAUUUCCUUCCUCUUCUCUCGGGUUUCUUCUCUUCUACUUGAUGAGAUUUUGUAUGCAUGUAUGUAUGUGUGUGCGUGGGGGGAUUGGAUUGAUUGGAUUUGGAGCGCGCCUUAGAAAUUCGAGGGGUUUCCUGCGCUCUGUUUGCUUUGCUCCCUAGAUUUGCCACUCCGAUUUCAAACUCUUCGAGUACCAACCAACCCUUGCGGUAUUUUUGCUCUUCGAAUGAGGUUAUGAGAUCUCAUGAGCCACUUAGUUUUCAGACAUGCAGAUGCGCGCAUGUCGCCUCCAUGUUGCCGGCGUACCAUCUGUUUUUUUUUUCUUCUGUUAUUUUUUUCGUUUCAUAAGAUUACCAUGUGCUAGUAAUUACUGUGAGUGAUUUUAUCAGAGACCCACUAAUUUUUUAUGCCUUAAUUUGUUUUCUCUCAUUUUUUGCAGAGCGGCUGUACGCGAUUCACAUGUGCGGUAAUUUACCUGCCUACUGCCGCCAACCAGAAGUGGAAUAUACCCUAUCCUAAUUUUCUUUCUUCGGAUGAAAGGUCUGCCAGUCUGCGUCAGCUAUGGCACAGAGUUCGUCCCGGCUUCACCGCCUGCUCACAUUGCUAGACAGUAUCCUUUCUGCAAGACUAUGGUUCGCUAUGCUUGCAGUUUUACAGAUGAUCACACGCUAUGCUAGGUUAUACUCUGUACCGAUUCUCUGAUAAACUAAGCAAAUUGCCUCAUGAAAUGUGCAAAUUAGCUGGGCUAAAACGUACAGUCUAUGCUUUUGCAGUCGAACAUAUAUCAUUUGAUAUCCCCUUUGGUUUAUCUAUCUAUUGUGCAAAGUUUCCUUUAACACAACUAGCUGGUUCCACGCAAGCGACAAGGUUCGCUGCUGCACGGCAAAUUGGAGAAAUUGCCAAGUCCCACCCCCAGGAGCUAAAUGUCUUACUCAAAAAGGUAUACCAACAAUUCCACCACCUGCUAGUUUUGUGGAUCCUUCUACCUGAAAAUGUUUGCUUAAUAUAAUAUGUGUAAGCUAUGAUGUGUGAUGUGCGAAAUGCCCAACUUUUAGUUUCUUCAAUUCAUGCUUCGCUUGCUUGGUAGCACAAAAAUGAACCCUGCAGUUUUAUGUUAUGCUGAAUUUUCAGUGGUGUUGAAGUUAUAGAUUUUCCUUUUCUCGGACAUGCAGGAUAUCUGCAUUAUCAUUAUAUUAAGAAGGAAAAGGGUAAAAGAACCCUGAUUACAAAACACCCACACACCCCAGCUCUCAGGCUACAUGCCUGUCCGUGCUAACAAGGACCACACGCAGAAAAGAAAACAGCGACCAAAACUGCCCCUCUUCAACCUGAAACUAAACACGAGGCUGUAGACAGUUAAGAAGGAUAGCCCUCUAGCCUCAGCCAAACACCAAAACCGCCCCUCCUCUUCAGCAAGCAGGAUGGCACUAGCCAAGUUUGGAGCAGCACUAUUGAGGGCACAUCGGUUUCGAUGCUUCCAAAGCGUCCAAGCACCAAGAAUGACUAGAGAAUUAAGGCCCUGUUGCACUGGACCGUUGGUUGCCUCGUUGGUCCUGUUCCACCAAAAUACCCUGACCAAAGCGCUGUCGGAGUGAGAACCAAAAUUUCCUCGCGAAGACACAACUAGUGAGUAGAUAGAUGAUUAUUUCAUCAGCUUGGUCGCAAUGAGGGCGUUGAAGUUAUAGAUUAAAUAUCAAACUUUGAGGGAUAUAUGAUUUUGUGUGAUGUCUGUUGUAAGAUGCAAUGCCCUCCCAUGCAUUGAUUGAUGGAUGUUUGUUCUAUGAGAAGUAACUAUUACUGCCUUCAUUAUCUAUUAUAUCAAGGUAGUAACAUGCUCAUCCACUGGAGAACAAGCUUGUUUUCUUUUUACACAUGUUCUGCGGAGAAUGGCUGGCUGAUAUUUAUGCUUUUAUGUUAUGGUUUUAGGUUUCUCCAUAUUUACGUAGUAAGAAUUGGGACACAAGGGUCGCAGCAGCCCAUGCGAUUGGUGCCAUAGCAGAGAACGUCAAACACACAUCGGUGAAAGACUUGUUCGCAUCUGCAGAAGCAGAAAAACAUGCUUCUGGGUUGUCUGGAAUUGGUGAUGUUGGGUCAACGUUGCGGCAUGCUGAUACUACUGCAACAUCUGAGCUUGCUUUUGGAAGGUUUGUUGAGAAUUCUUUGAAACUUUCCUAGUGCUUAGUAGACCUUCCCGCUCUUCUUUUUUGCCUAAUUGGAAAUGGACAAACUAAUUCCGUUUAACUUCUUUUUACAGCUUCGAUAUAAACAGGGUGUUGGAAUUUGGAUCUCCUUUAUUGGCAUCAGGUGGACAGGUGUAUUUUCUUCUUACCAUUAUUUUGCCUUGUCAUAUUUAAUGAAUACAAUUAAAAUACUGUGGUUUUUUUUUCAGGGCAAUGUUAUUUUCAGAUUCAAUCCAUUUUUUUCUUUUCUGAUAGUGUCAUGCAUCCAUCUAUUGUUUGUUUUUCUUUGCCAUAUGUCAACUUCUUGAGGGCUUUCUAUUUUUCUUACUAGGAACAUAGUGAAUCGAAAGCACUUGACACUUAGAAGUAAAAUAGAUCAAGCCUCUUCCAUUGCACUGAAUUUUCGUUUUUGACAUAAAACUGCAUUGAAUAUUGUAAUGUAUAGGUUACUUACUUUGCUGCUAACUCGAGGAAAAGAAUUUUAGUGGAUAAUGUUUAAAUCUAGGAACAUAUUCUGAAGCUCCUCAAUAUAAUUAUUUCUCAAAUUCUGGAGAUACACACAAAAUAACCUCGAAUUUCUUUGUCUAUACCAAGAUUUUUUUAAAAUUUUUGUUUUAAGGUGUACUUGGCAAUUCCAUUCCAUUUCUUAUUUGUUUAUGGUUUCAUGGUAUGCAACAUGUGAAAGCUAAUGGGGAUUAUUGCUUUUGUGCUUGCUACUAGGAAUAUGACAUUGCAAAUGAUAACGGCAAAAAUCCAGCAGAGCGUUUAGCUCGCCAAAAGCAAAAUCUCCGGCGUCGUUUAGGUUAUACUUCUCUCUUACAUCUUAUUGUUGCUACUUUUUAAUUUUCACUUUAUGGCACUCACCGCACCACUGCCACAAGGUUCUUUCUAUAGUGAAGACUGCACCUGUAUUCUGCAAAGUAUCGUUGUACUCUGAUAUAUCUUUGAACUUUUUGUUGUUGUGUUGGAUUUCUCAUUCCUUUCAUGUUUCUGUUCUAGUGCAGGUCUGGAUGUAUGUGAGCAGUUCAUGGAUUUCAAUGAUGUUAUCAAAGACGAGGACCUUCUUGCCCAAAAGAAUUAUUGGGGUGCAAAUAUGCAAAACAAUGGAUUCUAUUCAUUUAAUACUGGUCAGAAUAUUCAGCACUUGGUUGCAUCUAUGGUUCCCAGGUAUCCCAAACAUUCCAAUUUUCGCUCCAGGCGAUUAAGCGCCAGGGAGCUCAAUAUGCUGAAGCGUAAAGCAAAAAGCAAUGCAAAAGAUCAUACAAAGGCUGUACCCGAGGAUGAUGACGUUGUGCCAAAAAGUUCUGGACCGUCUAACGGGGCCUCUUCUGAUCAAGUUGGUUCACACAACACAUGUUCUGUCAAUUGUACUAUAUUUUUCUAAGAUUUUAGUAUCCUCCCGCACAAUUUUUUAUUUUUCUGGGGUCAUUUAUGAGAUGGUCAUUAAUUCCACAUUCUUAAAUUAUCGGGAGCCUUGGUAGAGGUUGUAAAACUUUGUUUCUGAUUGUUCUCAAUUGCUAGCACAAACUAUCAUGUCUGAAUAUGUGGCGCAGUGCAAGUAAGUUAAGUGCAUUUGUGGGUGUGUGUUCUUCCAUGCAUCAUGCAUGUGUGGUUUGUUGACUUGUUAUUGUUGGCAUUCCUGUUUGGCAAUUUACGCAGUUGCACUGGAGCAUUCUGUUGGGAUGGCUUUGUCUUCAAUCUGUGAUGAUCUAAUCACCCCACUUACAUUUUUUCAGGAUACAGUUGAUGCAAUCACAGAUGAGGACAAUCUGGAGUACAGUGAGAAUGGGAGAUGGCCUUUUCAACAGUUUGUAGAUCAACUUAUUCAUGACAUGUUUGACCCUAGUAAGUUCAUUAUCUGUCUUGUCUCUGAAAUUUGUCCCAUUCUUAUCUCGCUUACAAUCUUUUUACUGAGUGUUGUAUUGUAGUUUGGGAAGUUCGCCAUGGCACCAUUAUGGCUUUGAGGGAAAUUUUGACGCAUCAAGGUGCUUGUGCUGGAGUAUAUUUUCCUGAUCUGAACUCACCUUUCGCUGACCUUGAUGAUAAAAACAAUUUGGACUCCCUGAAAAGAGCACAUGGUAUUGAUCUUAAUGAAGACAUUGAUUCGGGACAGCUCGAGCCAGUUUUGAAAAGACAAAAGAAAGAGGAGUCUAAUCCAGAGGUUAUGGACAUUCAGUUGGAUAAGGAGCCAAGUAACGGUGAUUAUUCCAAAACAGAGGCAAGUCUGAGUACUGAGCCUACUGUAUCUAGUGGUGAACCAAAUCUUGCUCAUGCAAAGGUUGAAUCACCCUUCCAGGUUGAUGGUUCAGCUAACCCAUCUAAGGUGGAUCCAUAUUGUACACCACCUCACGAAACACUCAACUCCAUGCCCAAACUGAGUUCUACCCAUCUCCCUGAAAAUUCAAAAUUUAUAAAGCUGAUGAAACUAGCGAACUACUCAGCGGUAAAAAAUUGGGAAUUUCUUCAAGACUGUGCAAUUCGUUUCCUUUGUGUACUUUCAUUGGACCGGUAUGUAUCUCUGGACUUAUAUACUUUUUGUGUGUAUUUGGUUGUCUUGGCUAUUAGUCUUAUUAUUUUUUUUUGCCUUUGUUCUUCCUGUAGCUUUGGUGAUUAUGUAUCUGAUCAAGUGGUUGCUCCUGUUCGUGAAACUUGUGCUCAAGCUCUUGGUGCAGUUCUGAAGUACAUGCAUCCGACUCUAGUAUGCCAUACACUGAAUAUUUUGCUGCAAAUGCAGGUGUGUCCUGUAGUAAUUAUUUGUCUUGCUGUUGUCAACUUCAAAACAGUACAUUCUCUGUUGUCAUCAUCAUCACCAUUUCCGUCCUUUUCUUUGUUCUUUCAGCGCAGGCAGGAGUGGGAAGUUCGUCAUGGGAGUCUCCUUGGAAUUAAGUAUUUAGUUGCUGUUCGUCAGGUGAUUGCUAAUGAGAAAAACUAUAACCUAAUAGGCUAAUUCAAUCGUCUUUGUGCAUAUAUGACCAGAGGGGCAGUAGUAGUUGGCUUGCUACCAAGUCAAGUUUUGCUUUUCAUAUCUCUACACUAGAGGAACUUAGGAGUUCUGAGAAACAUCCUCUUCUGUUUACUAAUAUUUGUUUUUGACGCCUAAUUUAUGUGUAAAAUUGCUAUAAUAUUGUUUCCUUCCCCACCAGGAAAUGCUUAAAGACUUGCUUAAUUAUGUUCUUCAUGCCUGUAAAGCUGGUCUGGAGGAUCCAGAUGAUGAUGUCCGGGCUGUGGCUGCAGAGGCUCUGAUCCCAGCUGCUGCUUCUUUAGUUAGACUAAAUGAUCAAAUGCUACAUUCAAUUGUGAUGUUGCUUUGGGAUAUAUUGCUUGACCUUGAUGAUCUAAGCCCUUCUACAAGCAGGUAUGUUCAAUCAUGCUUUCCUCAUUUAGUAAACACAUUGUUUGCGUAAUGUUGAACACUGAGCCCAUGUUAUACAUUAUAUGGUCCAUCUACUUCCGAUUUCUAAUCUUAUUUUGAAUCCAGUCACCUGUUCCCAGAUAAGGAAUUUAAAAUGUUGGAUAGUUGUUCGUUGCUCUUUUAUUCCGUUUAAAGUUGACUGUACUCAUGCCACAAUAAAUAUUCUGUAUUUCUCAUGUCCAAAUUUCAUUUUUGUUUCAGUGUGAUGAAUUUGUUAGCUGAGAUAUAUUCUCAACCAGAGAUGGUUCCAAAGAUGCUUGGCACAACAGCCAUAGGUGGAGACAACGAAUUUGAUCUAAACAGUGUAACUCUGGUUGCCGGUGAAGAAAAAAUGGGUUCUAAUGAUAAUCCUUAUGUCUUAGCCGCUCUGACACCCCGAUUGUGGCCUUUUAUGAGACAUAGUAUUACAUCAGUCCGGCGUUCUGCUGUACGAACAUUGGUAAGAAUUACAUGGAAUUUGAGAUCCACUGUAGUUUGAUUGUGCUGCAGUAUCAGGUGCCCAUUCGAGUUGAGUAUGAGUUAUAUAAAUGAGAAACAGAAUUGUAAUGAAAAAUAUCUGCAAUAAUUUACCGGGUGAAAUAGCAGUUUUGAGCCAUCUUGUGUAUGUUUUCUACAUUGUUUUGCCAAGAAAAACCAACCUAUCCUUGGGAUUUUGCCAAUCUGGAGUUGGAUAUUCCACUCUGUUCCCAUGUGCAAUUGGUUUUUGCUGUAAGCUUCUGAAUGCCAUUUGUUAUGCUUUCCUAGUUAAAAACCGUGAAGUUCAAACUUUUUGUAGGAGAGGCUUCUCGAGGUUGGGAACACCAGGAAUUCAGCUAAACUAUGGCUUGCAUCUAUAUUAGGUGAUGCGCUGCAAGUUGUCUUCCAGAAUCUUCUUUUGGAGUCAAAUGAUGAGAUUAUUCGAUCUUCUGAAAGGGCUUGGAAACUUUUACUUCAGGUUACUGAUGUUCUGGCUUUCCGGGUGUUGUGAAUUUACUCAAUUCAUAGAAAUUUAAUGAUCAUGUCUAUUACAGGAUUAUAGUAACAAACAAAAAUAUUUCUAUGCUUGUAGUGCCCUACGGAGGACCUUGAGUCUGCUGCAAGUUCAUAUUUUAGUAAUUGGGUGCAACUUGCCACUACUCCAUAUGGCACAGCAUUGGAUUCUGCAAAAAUGUUUUUGCCAGUUGCACUUCCACGAGGAAGUCGUUCAAGAGCUGCUGCAAAGAUCAAAUCUGCAAGGUUAGAACAUGAAAAUACGAGAAUGAUAUCUUUUGGUUCUACCGGAGAGAACACUUCACAGGAAAAGCAUUCUGAAGCUUCCUUGAGUGUUUCAAAAAUAAUUGUGGGGUCUGAUUCGGACAAAUCUGUUACUCAUACGCGAGUGCUGACGUCAAUGGCCCUUGGUCUGUUUGCCUCUAAGUUGCCAGAGGGGUCGUGGCAAGUUGUUCUUGGUCCACUAGCAAGCGAUCUCAUGUCUCUCUCAGGAGUCCAGAGACAGGUAAGAAAAAACCUUAUGUUUUAGUGCAUAAAAGCAUUCAAUUCAACUACUUGUUUUGCACUCAUAAUUUUCUAUCGCUCCAGGUGGCUUCUAUGGUUAUUGUUUCUUGGUUUAAAGACCUCAGAAAAAGUGAUCCUGCUGCGGUGGGUACAUUGCUAGCUUUCUUAUCCUCCCUGAAAGGGUGGAUGUUGGACUUACUGGCUUGCUCUGACCCUUCAUUUCCUACAAAAGAUUCUCCGCUUCCAUAUGCUGAGCUUGCAAGAACAUACAGGAAGAUGCGCAAUGAAGCCAAUAAUUUGUUCCAGUCAAUAGAAUCUUGUGCUCUUCUUAAAGAGUAUACAAGCAACUUAAACUUUGAAGCUGACAUGCUGAGUGUUGAUGAUGCUAUUAACUUCACUUCAAAGCUUUUGUUACCAUCUGAACCUGAUUUUAGUUUGGACAGUGAUAAAAUUGUCUUGAACAAUAUAGAGUCAGCAAAACAAGGUCUAUUGUCUACGUCAGGCUACUUGAAAUGUGUUCAGGUAUGUGAAAUUUCUAAUUAGGGUGUCUUCAGAUUUAUAUUAAUGUGUUAGAAUUACUUGUUGCAUCUGUCUAGUUCUGAUUUUUUUUAUCCUUUUUAUUAGCAAUAUCAUAAAAUAGGUUUCCUUGUUUGAUGAUGUUCUGCAGAAUAAUUUGCAUGUGACAGUUUCCUCUUUAGUGGCCUCUGCUGUAGUCUGGAUGGCAGGGCUGCCUAGUAAGUUGAACCCAGUCAUUUUGCCUUUAAUGGCUGCUGUAAAAAGGGAACAGGUACGACAUAGUAUUCUUAUGCUCUUAAAUUUUGUCUUAGAUGUAAGCUCAAAUGGUUCCAUAUCAUUUAGGAGGAAAUACUUCAGGACAAAGCUGCAGAUGCACUUGCUGAGCUCAUUUUUAGUUGUGUUGGCCGCAAACCUGGCCCAAACGACAAACUAACAAAGAACCUCUGCACGUUAACAUGCACUGAUGCAAGUGAGACACCUCAAGCUGCAGUUAUAAACUCAAUUCAGGUUAUUGAGGACCAAAACUUGCUGUCGAUUGGUAAGCGUUUUAGCAAUCACAAAUCCAGGGGCCAGAUGACUUCCGGUGGUGAAUCGAAGUCGGAGGGUUUUAUAAGCCGGCGUGGAUCGGAGUUGGCUUUUAAGCAUCUUUGUGAGAAAUUUGGAGCAUCCUUAUUUGAAAAGCUUCCCAAGUUAUGGGAUUGCCUUACGGAGUUUCUUAAACCCGUCAAGACUGGAGAUGAUCUUAUGAAAGAAGAUCCAAGUAUUGCGCAGUUAGGAAGAUCUUGUGAGGACAAGGAACCGCAGUCCCUUAUAAAUAAUAUCCAGGUUUGUUUUAUAAAUUAAUUUGAAUUCAAUUGGUUCCCUUUUGUUUUGGCAUAAAACUGCUACAUGAUGUUGGAUUAGACCAUCAUGUCAUAUCAAUAUGAAUCAAUAUAUCUUUGGUUACUUGCUACUAUUUAGUAUAAACUGGUUUGGUUCCAUUUUCAUCUCUUGCCAUAUUUCUAAUGCCAUUUCUGCUCCUCCUCACAGGUUGUUCGUUCGGUUACACCUCAUUUGGCUGAGCCCUUGAGGCCUCAAUUGCUAAGUCUCCUUCCCUGUAUUCUUGGUUGUGUGCGCCAUCCUCAUGUCGCUGUCAGGUUAGCUGCUGCAAGGUGCAUCACAUCAAUGGCAAAAUCAUUGACUGCUAAUGUAAUGGUAAUUGUGAUAGAAAAUGUCAUACCGAUGUUGUCAGAUUCAUCUUCUGUCUGUGCAAGGCAAGGAGCUGGGAUGCUUUUGAGCCUUCUUGUUCAGGGUUUGGCUGUGGAGUUGGUUCCUUAUGCUCCUUUCCUUGUUGUUCCUCUUCUAAGGUGUAUGAGUGAUCCUGAUGGUUCUGUUAGACAGACUGUAACUCACAGUUUUGCUGCUCUGGUUCCUUUGUUGCCAUUAGCAAAAGGUUCUUUGUUACCGGAUGGACUGAGUGAACGCUUAUCUAGCAGUGCAGAAGAUGCGCAGUUUCUAGAGCAGCUCCUCGACAACUCCCAAAUUGAUGAUUACAAGCUCAGCAUUGAUCUCAGUGUUGAACUGCGAAGGUCUGUAACUAUCUUAAAAGCUCCUUUAUUGGAAUGUGGCUUGACGACGUUAUUCUACUUAGUUUGAGAUAGUGUAUUGAGUGCUAUUGUGGAUACCAUACAUAAUAAUACUUGUUAUAAUGAUUAUUAUUUGAUGUUCUUUUAACAAAAUGUUGUGGAUCGCUACAGGUACCAGCAAGAAGGAAUUAACUGGCUAGCAUUCCUUAGACGGUUCAAGUUACAUGGAAUUUUAUGUGAUGACAUGGGUCUUGGCAAAACACUCCAGGCGUCUGCUAUUGUAGCAGCUGAUAUUGCUGAGUCACGUGCACGGAAUGAUGAGCAAGAUCCGAAAUCUUUGAUUAUCUGCCCUUCUACAUUAGUAGCACACUGGGAAUAUGAAAUAGAGAAGUACAUAGACAGCUCUAUCAUGAAACCUCUUCAGUACAUCGGUUCAUCACAAGAUAGGAUUAUCCUCCGUUCUCAGUUUGAUAAGUUCAACGUAAUCAUAACGUCAUAUGAUAUUAUACGCAAGGAUAUUGAUUUUCUUGAGAAUGUCUUUUGGAACUAUUGUGUGCUGGAUGAGGGGCACAUAAUAAAGAACUCAAGAUCUAAAAUAACAUCUGCUGUGAAACAAUUGAAAGCACAACACCGUCUUAUCCUCAGCGGUACUCCAAUUCAGGUAAAAUUUCAUUCAUGAAUCUUGUUGGUAUGCUUUUCGUCUAGCUGUUGCGGUUCGCUUUACAUUGCACUUUUUAUUUCAUUGUUCAUGUUCUUUGUAGAUAAUUCCAUCGAUCCAGUACUGAAAUUGGUAUUACUAUUUAUUUGACACAUUCCACUAUAAUUGCAGAAUAAUGUAUUGGAGCUCUGGUCUCUAUUUGACUUUCUUAUGCCUGGAUUUCUUGGGACAGAAAAACAGGUAAAUGUGCUAUGAAUUCAACUUUACUUACAGAACUGAAAGCUAAGAAUUUGGUCGUUGACAUGAACCAUGCCUUUUUUGUUCAAGAACUUAGUUUAGUUUUUAACAUGUUCCUGAUUUACUCUUACGCUAGCUUCCAAGCUUAUUAGUUAGUUCAGGAAUAAUAUAUGGAUCUAUGGACUUGCUAGUUAGUUCCAAGCUUAUUAUUAGUUAGUUUAGUUUUUUUGUUAUUCACUGUGGACUUGCUCAGAGCGACAGGUGAUAUAUGGAUCUGCCUUAUCUGGGCCGUUACACUUUCUUACAUAUGAUGCUUGCAAAUGAUAUCUAUGUUUAGUUGUGUUAUAGGUGCUAGGCUGCUUGAUAAAUCAUUAGUAGUUUGAUGACAUGCAUCUGUAGAAAAAGACAUUGGUGACUAUAUUGUAUUAAUGUAAGUGGACAUAUAUGGCUGUGUUCGGAUGAGGGGGUUCCCAACCCCCUCUCCCUCGCAUUCCGUGCGCACGCUUUUCAAACUACUAAACGGUGUGUUUUUUGCGAAAAGUUUAUAUACGAAAGUUGUUUAAAAAAAAUCAAAUUGAUCCAUUUUUGAAAAAAAAUAGCUAAUACUUAAUUAAUCACGUGCUAAUGGACUGCUCUGUUUUCCGUGCGGGGAGAUGGGUUCCCAACCCCACAUUACAAACACACCCAUAGAAUGUUUUAACCAACCAAAGAUGAAAUUGUUUCUGCUUUCAUGAAGGGGUGGAUUUUUACUAGUCCUGACUCUUGAUAAUUACCUUGGUCUAUUCUGAUAUGAAGUAUUUGUGCUGAAAUUAAAUACAAUGUUAAUUAUGCAGUUCCAAGCUACAUAUGGAAAACCAUUGCUAGCAGCAAAAGAUCCAAAAUGUUCAGCAAAGGAUGCUGAAGCUGGCAUUCUUGCUAUGGAGGCACUGCAUAAACAGGUUUUUAUCUUCUGUAGUAGACUUGAAGUCUUUAAAAAUAACUGGGGGUUUUGAGUCUUGUGACCUUUGUUGACAAGUAAAAGUCAUUUUGCUAUACUAGGUCAUGCCGUUUCUACUUAGAAGAACAAAGGAUGAAGUUUUAUCUGAUCUUCCUGAGAAGAUUAUCCAGGAUAGAUAUUGCAAUCUCAGUCUAUUGCAGCUCAAACUUUAUGACAAAUUCUCCAACUCCAAUGCCAAACAAGAGAUUUCCACUAUAGUAAAAGAAAAUGAAUUAGAUCAAUCCACUUCUCAACCAAAGGCAACUCGUCAUGUGUUUCAGGUACUGCAGUUAGACAAACAUUUUAGCUUUCUCAUUCUGCAUUUCUUAUGUGGUAUCGUGUUUGCGUUUUAAUUGAAUAUGCUUUUGUAAUGCAGGCACUGCAAUAUCUAUUAAAACUUUGUAGCCAUCCUUUACUUGUAACUGGGGAAAGCCCACCUGAUUAUCUUGUGGACCUUCUAAAGGAAAUCGGUAUGGGAACUGGUGAUGAGCUUCAUGACCUACACCAUUCCCCUAAACUUGUUGCUCUCCAAGAGAUACUUCAGGAGUGUGGUAUAGGGUCAGAAAUAUCAAGCCCUGAUGCUUCUGCAGCUAUUGGGCAACACAGAGUUUUGAUUUUUGCUCAACACAAGGUACUGAGUCUGUUCUCUUAUUGAGACUAUGUAUCCCUGUUUCUUUUGGUAUAUUUUCAUCCUUGUCAUGUUUAUAAACAUUCUUUUCUCCAGGCUUUGCUUGACAUUAUUGAGAAGGACCUGUUUCAAUCCCAUAUGAGAAGGUGAGUUUUAUAUAUUGUGAUGUACAUCAGCUUCAUGAAGAAUUCAUCAUGCCAGUGUGUUGUCUGUGUUGCAACAGAUUUGAAAAAAAUAUAUCAUGAGUUCUAAACUGAAAAAUUAUAUAUAUAUAUUUAUAUAUUUUGAAAAAUCAUAUAAUAUUCAAUCAAACAUCAAUCAACAAAAAACUCAAUCCAUAUGCACAAAAGACAUUUAUCCGGUCCUAGAAGAUACGGUGAGAUCGCAGUUUCACCACCACCACCAGUAGCAGAUUCUUUUAUAUAGUAGAGAUUAAUAUUAGCUGAUGCAAAUUAUUUUAAGCAUCUUGCUUUAUGUUGUUUUAUCUUGUGUUUUAUUAUGCUUGGAUAUUUGUACUUUCUAGAGUACUGCAGUGCUGUUUUAUCUUUGAGUAACUGUAAAUAUAAGGUUGUCGUUGGCCUAGUUGAUAACUGACUAAAAAUACACACUUCUGUUUCUCAGUUUCCUGCCUGUGCUCAUCUAAUCAGCAAACUUUUGAUAUUCAUUCAGCGUUACAUAUUUACGGUUGGACGGCUCUGUUGAACCAGAGAAGCGAUUUGAAAUUGUGAAGGCAUUCAACUCAGAUCCAACCAUUGAUGUGCUCCUAUUAACAACUCAUGGUAGGUUUGGAGAAUGCCAUAUGGAUCAGGGAUUUACUCCUAGAUAUAUAUACUAGAAAAGCUAUAUCUGAUUCUUUCCUGUUGCAGUCGGUGGGCUUGGAUUGAAUUUGACAUCUGCUGACACAUUGGUCUUUAUGGAACAUGAUUGGAACCCAAUGAAGGAUCUUCAGGUUUGCUUUUGCAUAUUUUAUCAACGAUAAGGCUACCAUUAAAUUUCCUCCACCAUUUUCAAGCUAUCCUCUGUGAAACAAACGAACAAUACUCCCCUCUUACAGGCAAUGGACAGAGCACACCGUCUGGGUCAAAGGAAAGUGGUAAACGUGCACCGUCUCAUCAUGCGCGGUACCCUGGAAGAGAAGGUGAUGAGUCUUCAAAGGUUCAAGGUGUCGGUGGCCAAUGCGGUCAUCAAUGCUGAGAACGCCAGCCUGAAGACAAUGAACACUGACCAACUGCUUGAUCUGUUUGCUUCGACGCCUGCUUCCAGAAAAGUAAAUCCCUUGUGACCAUAUAUCUCGUAUAGAAAAAACUUUUGUAAUUUUUAUUCUUUAUUUGGGUUUAUGAUCCUUUGUCUAUGGCCAUACGCAGGCGUCUGUACUCCCAAGCAGUUCGGGUGGUGAUCAGAGUAAAGAUUCCAAGGGGAAAUCUGGUGGGAAGGGUUUGAAGUCCAUUCUGAAUGGUCUGGACGAGCUAUGGGAUCAGUCUCAGUAUGCAGACGAGUACGAUCUCAACCAGUUCUUGGCGAAGCUCAACGGCUGAACACACGAUCACCGGUCCUGUACAGUGUAAAGCGAAUUGGGGCGUGUGAUGAACAGGUUGGCAGAUUUUGUUGGCAACCACAGGAGUCAGAAAUUUUUUUGUUGUUUCAUACGGAAGAAGGGAAAAAAAAAGGAAGAUCGCAAGAUCUAGAGCAAUGUGGCUAACAUAUAGGUGCUUGAGAUGGUGAUCUCAAAUUUUUGUCUUUUGAGCUUUUGGUUAGGAGGGUUUAGAGAGAGAUAGAGCUAGUCUUGAGAGGAGUUGUAUAUACUAUCUGCUCAUUAUAAUAAUUAAUCAAAGGCUGCAGCUCCUUGUAAAUUUUGCCUUGAGUUGCUUACUGUUUCUACCUUUUACUUGGCCUAGUAACUGAGCUAUCCAGUGGUGUAGUAAGCCUGCCUACUGGGAACGCGGAUCAUUUUUGUCUCGCUAACAUGUGAAAGUAAUAGUAAGAUCGGGUAAAAACGGAAAAGGGGUGAUACAUUCUUGCCUAUCAAUCCUUGCUCGUCUGAAUCCCGUUUUGGCCGCUAAGGAAGUUCCCAAAAAUUUUUCCUGUUCAUUGUCUGAAUCCCGUUUUGGCCGCUAAGGCCGUUUUGGACAAAUGUAUAGAGCACAAAAUAUAUAUUAAAAAAACUAAUUGUACAGUUAUGGAGAAAUCGUGAGCUUAAUCAGUUCAUGAUUAGCCAUAAGUAAUACAGUAACCCACAUAUACUAAUGACGGGUUAAUUACUUAAUUUGGCUCAAAAGAUUCGUCUCGCGGUUUCCAAGCGAGUCAUGAAAUUAUUUUUUUCAUUCGUGUCCGAAAACCCCUUCCAAUAUUUAGUCAAACAUCUGAUGUGAUACCUAAUUUUUUUUUCGUGAACUAAACGGUCCCUAAAAGGAAGUCAUCUCAGCCAAUGUGAAACUGAUGACCUUUCAUUCCCUUCUAUUCUUUCAUCGUUGUAAUUGUGACAUGUUAGACUAUAACUUUCAUCAGUUAGAAAUUGAUCCCUUGGUCUCCCUUUAUUAUUAUUUUUUGUUCGACCCUUGCUUAGGCCAUGUUUAGUUUCAAAGGUUUUCUUCAAACUUUUAACUUUUCCAUCACAUCAGAACUUUCCUACACACAUAAACUUUCAACUUUUCCAUUACAUCGUUCCAAUUUCAACCAAACUUCUAAUUUUGAUGUGAACUAAACACAACCUUAGAUGCAUAUCUUUUCAAUGUCCUUUGUUUCUACAUAGCCUACAUAGUAAGGGUAGAAGCGGUGUGGAAAUUUUCUAACCAUACCGAUACAGUUUCCCUAAAAUAUUACAUAGUCAUGCUGUAGCAGCACUCGGAAUAUAUAUGAUCUAGUUAGACUAGUUCUUCUCUCAACUUUCUCAGUCUCCCCUUUAUUUUUCACACGCACGUUUCCCAAACUACUAAACGAUAUGAUUAUUUUUUUUUGAAAAUUUUCUAUAGGAAAUUUGAUUUAAAAAUCAUAUUAAUCCAUUUUUAUUUUUAAACUUAAUACUUAAUUAAUCAAGGGGGUCAAUCCACUGUUUCAUUUUUCGCAUAGGGAGGAGUUCCCAACUACUCCCUCCGUCCCUAAAUAUUUGACGCCGUUGAUUUUUUUUAAUAUGUUUGACGGUUUGUCUUGUCAAAAAAUUUAAGUAAUUAUUAAUUCUUUUCCUAUCAUUUGAUUCAUUGUUAAAUAUACUACUAUUACUCAAGUUUUUGAAUAAUAUUCACAAAAGUUUUUGAAUAAGACAAACGGUCAAACAUGUUUAAAAAAGUCAACGGCAUCAAAUAUUUAGGAACUAAAAGAGUACUACAAACGAACGAAGCCUAGGCUUCUCCAUAUAAGGCUGUGUUUAGUUCACAGCAAAAUUAAAAGUUUGGUUAAAAUUGAAACGAUAUGACGGAAAAGUUGGAAGUUUGUGUGUGUAGGAAAGUUUUGAUGUGAUGAAAAAGUUGGAAGUUUGAAGAAAAACUUUGGAACUAAACCAGGCCUAAAUGAACAUUCGAUGGCUCCUCUAGAAACAUUCUUGAUCUUAGCAUUCAGUUUGGAAGAUGAAAUGGCAUUCACACGAGCAUUGCAGAUUUUCAUGGUCCAUCUGGCUAGCAGAGACCAGAGCGUCGUCUGCAAAUGCAUGAUCUGAGCAAACCUUUGCAGUCUUUGCUGCGUUGCGUUGACGGUCAGUCAACCCACACACACACGCAUCAUGCAACACAUUGACAGAUUGGCCUUAACUUCACUCGGUAAUUUAUUUCAUCGCUGUAACUAUGGCAUGUUAGACUACAACUUUCAUCCGUUAGAGCAGGUACAAUAGCAGGCUGUAAACAUAUUUUAAUAAGAUAAAAGAUGAGAGAGAAUAGCAGUGGGCUAUAGAUCUAUAGCCAGCUGCAGCGUGGACUCCAAGACACAAUGUGUGUAUGACAGGUGGUACCAUAUAUUAAUAGUAUAGUAAACAACUAUCGUAUAAAUUACCUAUUAUAUUGGCUAUAAAUAAAUUAAAGUUAGUAGUGGGUUAUACUAUUAAACUUGCUCUUAGAAAUUGAUCCCCUGGCCUCCCUUUAUAUUAGUUGCAUUCCUUUGAAUGUUCCACACUUGUUUAGCGAAUUAAAUUUAAAAAUAUACUGUUAAUUUAUUUUUUUUUCUCGAAAUUUUCAGGAUAUAUUUUUUUAACAGAAAUAUAUCGUCGUUCUGUCACAAACAUUACACGAACAUGACGACGCGGGCGAGACGGCGCUACCUCACACGAUGAAAUAGCUAGACCGAGCAGUACCAGCGAGCGAGACCGAAUGGCUGGCCGAUUCAAACUGUUUAAUUAUCUGAUAUUAAUUAAUCGCUAAUUAGAAUGAUUAAUCACUUGUUAUUAUUAAUUAAUUGCUAAUUGGGUAAGUCUCUAAUUAUGCGGCAGCUCACUGGGCAAGCCGUUCGCUCUCUGCUCAUUCAUUGUGCGAGAUUGCUUGGUCUCGUUGUUUCGUCACGUGAGACCGCGCGAUACGCUAUGGUUGCGCACAGUCACCGUGCAAGACCGUCCGCGUCAUCACACCUCACGUUGUUUGAGAUCGACAGUUUAUUUCUAUUAAAAAAAUAAAUCAACAGUAUAUUUUUAAAUCAAAUCUAAUUACUUGUUUAGCUGUAUAUCUUUUCAAAAUCGAUUAUCCCUACAUAGCAUAUGUAGUAGGGGUAAAAACGGUGUCGAAAUUUUCCAACCGUACCAAUACCAUUUCUAAGAAAUAUUACAUGGGGUGUGUUAUGUUGGGCUUUUCAACCUGCUUUUACUUUUGCUUUUGCAAAAGUUAAAAGCCAACUAAAGGGCUCAAAAAUCAUAAGUACUUUUGCUCCAAAGCUGCUUUUAGUGCAGUACAAAUCUAAAAGCACCCCUACCCCUGCUUUCAUUGGCUUUUGAGUAAAAAAAAAUUACCCGCCUCUCUCAUUAUAAAGAAAACGGUUCGACAAAAAUAAAAAUUAAUUACACAGAUUACGUGUAAAUUACAAGACGAAUCUUUUAAGCUUAAUUGCUUCAUGAUUUGACAAUGUGGUGCUACAGUAAACAUUUGCUAAUGAUGGAUUAAUUAGGCUUGAUAAAUUCGUCUCGUAGUUUACAUGCGGAUUCUGUAAUUUGUUUGGUUAUUAAACUAUAUUUAAUACUUUAAAUGUGUAUAUGUAUAUUUGAUGUGACACAGUAAAAAACUUUACCCAUAAAUCUAAACACAGUCUUAAUAUUCUACGCGUGUCACAGUGUGAAAUUUUUUGUUAUGAACUAAACAGUUUGGAAGAUGAAAUGGCAUUCGCACGAGCGUUGCAGAUUUUCAUGGUACAUCUGGCUAGCAGAGACCAGAGCGUGGUCUGUAAGCCAGACAGCCCAUAUGCAUGAUCUGAGCAAACCUUGCAGUCGUUGCUGCGUUGCGUUGACGGUCAGUCAACCCACAGACACACGCAUCAUGCAACGCCAUUGUCAGAUUGGCCUUAACUUCACUCGGUAAGGCCUGGUUUAGGCCAUGUUUAGUUCCAAAAACUUUUUUUCAAAAACAUCACAUCGAAUCUUUGGACAUAUGUAUAAUAAAAAACUAAUUGCACAGUUAUGGAGGAAAUCACGAGACAAAUUUUAUGAGCCUAAUUAGUCCAUGAUUAGCCAUAAAUGCUAUAAUAACUCACAUGUGCUAAUGAUGGAUUAAUUAGGCUCAAAAGAUUCGUCAUGCGGUUUCCAGGCGAGUUAUGAAAUUAGUUUUUUCAUUCGUGUCCCAAAACCCCUUCCAACAUCUGGUCAAACGUCCGAUGUGACACCAAAAAAUUUUCUUUUCGCGAACUAAACAUACCCUUAAGUUUCCCAAAUUUUUUUCCAAAAAACAUCACAUCGAAUCUUUGGACACAUGCAUGAAACAUUAAAUAUAGAUUAAGAAAAACUAAUUGCACAGUUAGAGGAAAAUCGCGAGACGAAUCUUUUGAGCUUAAUUAGUUCAUAAUUAGCCAUAAGUGCUACAGUAACUCACAUAUGCUAAUGACAGAUUAAUUAGGCUCAAAAGAUUUGUCUCGCGGUUUUCAGGCUAGUUAUGAAAUUCGUUUUUUCAUUCGCGUCCGAAAACCCCUUCCCACAUCCGAUUAAAUAUUCGAUGUGAUACCCAAAAAUUUUCUUUUCGCGAACUAAACAGGCCCUAACUCGACUCAUUCACUCGCGAACUAAAUAGGCCCUAACUUGACUCAUUAAGGCUGUGUUUAGAUCCAAAGUUUAGAUCCAAACUUCAGUUCUUUUCCAUCACAUCAACAUGUCAUACACACACAACUUUUCAGUCACAUCAUCUUCAAUUUCAACCAAAAUCCAAACUUUGCCCUGAACUAAACACAGCCUCACUCACUCUAGUCCCAGUCAAUCUAGGUGGCUAGCUGACAGCAAAAAAUUUUCGCCAUGUCACAUCGAACGUUUGAACAUCUGCAUGAAGUAUUAAAUAUAGGUUAAAAAAUCACAUAUUGCGACUAAUUUGUGAGACGAAUCUUUUAAGCCUAAUUGCUCCAUGAUUUGAUAACGUGGUGCUACAGUAGACAUUUGCUAAUGAUGGAUUAAUUAGGCUUAAUAAAUUCGUCUAUCUGUUUACUGACGGAUUCUGUAAUUUGUUUACCUGAAUACCUCAUAUGACACCCCGCCAAAACUUUACCCCCUCGAUCUAAACACCCCUGAAUUUGCUAUACUAGUAUAUAAUAUUCUCCAGCCGGAUCCUUCCUCUCGGACGCAGCAAUGGCAAUGACGAUGCUCUUCAGUCUGCUGUUUUGCACAGCUAAGGCUACUGAUGAUUCAGGAGCAGAAACUGAAGCAGAAGCACUCCUCCGAUGGAAGUCCACUUUGAUCGACGCCACCAACUCGUUGUCGUCAUGGUCGAUUGCCAACUCCACCUGCUCUUGGUUCGGUGUCACCUGUGACGCCGCCGGCCAUGUCACUGAGCUCGACCUUCUUGGUGCCGACAUCAAUGGUACGCUUGACGCUCUCUACUCUGCUGCAUUCGAAAACCUCACCACCAUCGACCUCAGCCACAAUAAUCUUGAUGGUGCCAUUCCAGCAAAUAUUUGUAUGUUGCGCACCCUCACCAUUCUGGAUUUGAGCAGCAACUAUCUUGUUGGUGUUAUCCCGAUAAAUAUUUCCAUGUUGAUUGCUCUCACCGUUCUAGAUUUGAGCGGCAAUAAUCUUGCUGGUGCCAUCCCGGCAAAUAUUUCCAUGUUGCACACCCUCACCAUUCUGGAUUUGAGCAGCAACUAUCUUGUUGGUGUUAUCCCGAUAAAUAUUUCCAUGUUGAUUGCUCUCACCGUUCUAGAUUUGAGCGGCAAUAAUCUUGCUGGUGCCAUCCCGGCAAAUAUUUCCAUGUUGCACACCCUCACCUUUCUGGAUUUGAGCAGCAACAAUCUUACUGGUGCAAUUCCCUACCAACUCAGCAAGCUCCCUAGGCUCGCCCACUUAGGUCUUGGAGAUAACCACUUGACAAAUCCAGAAUAUGCCAUGUUCUUCACACCCAUGCCUUUUUUGGAAUUCCUAUCUCUAUCGAGACCUUUUACAGUGUUUACAUUCCUAAAAUGGCAUAGAUCUAACGGUUCACGAUGAAAGGUACCUUAUGAAAGGUAUCAGAGGUAGAAAGGUACUAAGUAUUAAAAGGUAAUUGAUAACAGGGCAAUUAUGUCUAACAACGUAUGGACGUACCGAAAGGUACGGUGUAAGUGGAUUUGAAGGUACCACAAGGUACCACGUAAGUAGUUUUUAAAGGUAACGUAAAAUAUGAUUUAUGUGGUGGGGACAAAAAUUACAUUCUCUUCUAUUCGGUUUCCAAUCUUCGGUCGUUCUGUUUGCGUCGGUUUCCAAACUUUGGUCCGAUUUACGUGGUACAUAUCAUAUUCGCAUGAUCUUGAUAAUUAUUUCCAGAUAGUCAUUAAUUUACAUAGCAAUUUGGUGAUCCAUCGUUUGAUGAAUGUAAUCAAAGAUCGAAAGGACAACAAAUUGAGAAGAUUUACGCACCUAACAAGAACAAAACAAGUUCAAUGAGGAAGAUUUGCGAAAAAAAACUAAACAAAUCGUCUGACAGAUCGGGACCGUGCGGCCGCUUCUAGCUCCGGCGAACAUAGGCAGUCCUGGACCACUUCCUCCGGGUCCUCUUCCUCCACCGCCCCUCCCUCCAACCACCGCCUCCGGCCACACGUCCACCGCCGGCCCUCAAUUCUCCUCCUUUCAACUUAUCGAAGAACACGUAAACCUUACGUACGAACAGAACGUAUCUAAGAAUGAUGCAACGCAACAUGCUACAAGCUAAUUCCUUCGAUACCUUCUCAUACCUUUUUAUAUGUGUAAAAGACACAUUUGUCAUUCUAAUAUCAUCAUAUUUACAUUAAUGCCACCUAUUACAAUAUUUUCUUUCCAUACCUUGCCCCUCGCAGAUCAACGGCUCACGUCGCCCCACCUCCUUUACCUCGCAAACAUCGUAAAAUCCCUCAUCUCUAUCUUACAAUUAUCUCAACGGUACUUUUCCAGAAUUCAUCCUCAAUAGCAAUAGUUUGAGGAUGGAGCACCUCGAUUUAUCGUAUAAUGCCUUCUCAUGGUCCAUACCAGAUUCACUACCAAAUUUGAGGGUUCUAGAACUGUCGAACAAUGGAUUCCAUGGGACCAUACCACAUUCACUCUCAAGACUACAAAAGCUCCAAGACCUAUAUCUGUACAGAAACAACCUCACCGGAGGAAUCCCAGAGGAGCUUGGGAACCUAACCAAUCUUGAGGCCCUGUACCUGUCCAGAAACCGGUUAGUUGGAAGUUUGCCUCCCUCUUUUGCCAGGAUGCAACAAUUAUCAUUUUUUGCGAUAGACAGUAACUACAUCAAUGGUAGUAUCCCGUUGGAGAUAUUUUCAAAUUGUACUUGGCUCAACUGGUUUGAUGUUUCCAACAACAUGUUAACUGGAAGCAUCCCACCACUAAUCAGCAACUGGACAAAUCUACACUACUUGGCCCUCUUUAACAACACAUUUACCGGUGCAAUCCCAUGGGAGAUAGGAAACUUAGCACAAGUAUAUUUAGAGGUGGACAUGUCACAAAAUCUAUUUACUGGAAAGAUACCAUUAAAUAUCUGCAAUGCAACUUUGGAAUACCUUGCGAUCAGUGACAACCAUCUAGAAGGCGAGCUCCCUGGAUGCCUGUGGGGUUUGAAAGGUCUCGUUUACAUGGAUUUGUCAAGAAACACUUUUUCUGGGAAAAUUGCACCCUCAGACACUCCUAACAAUGAUUCCGACCUACUCGCCCUGGACCUGUCAAACAAUAACUUUUCGGGUUAUUUCCCAGUCGUACUGAGGAAUCUCAGCAGACUAGAAUUUUUGAAUCUUGGAUAUAAUAGGAUUUCUGGUGAGAUUCCUUCGUGGAUAGGGGAAAGUUUUUCUCAUCUGAUGAUUCUACAGCUAAGGUCAAACAUGUUCCAUGGAAGUAUUCCUUGGCAGCUAUCACAACUCCCCAAACUACAAUUGCUUGAUCUAGCUGAAAAUAAUUUUACAGGCUCCAUACCAGGUAGUUUCGCCAACUUAUCAUGUUUGCACUCAGAAACUAGAUGUGUGUGUAGCUUAAUUGGAGUAUACCUCGAUCUAGAUAGUAGACACUACAUUGAUAUUGAUUGGAAGGGAAGGGAGCAUCCAUUUAAAGACAUAAGUCUACUUGCAACAGGUAUUGAUUUAUCAAACAAUUCUCUCUCUGGUGAGAUCCCUUCAGAAUUGACAAAUCUUAGAGGUAUUCAGUCCUUAAAUAUUUCUAGAAAUUUUCUACAAGGAAAUAUCCCAAAUGGAAUUGGCAAUCUAACACAUUUAGAGUCUCUUGACCUCUCUUGGAAUAAACUCUCAGGCCAUAUUCCUCAUAGCAUAUCAAACUUAAUGAGUCUCGAAUGGCUUAAUCUCUCGAACAACCUUCUAUCGGGAGAGAUACCUACAGGUAAUCAACUCAGAACACUUGAUGACCCAUCGAUUUAUGCCAACAACCUGGGGCUUUGUGGAUUUCCUUUGAAAAUUUCAUGCUCAAACCAUUCAAGUUCUACGACUACACUAGAAGGGGCAAAAGAACACCACCAAGAACUGGAAACUCUAUGGCUGUACUGCUCAGUAACUGCAGGAGCUGUCUUUGGUGUUUGGCUGUGGUUUGGAGCACUGUUUUUCUGUAAUGCCUGGAGGCUUGCUUUCUUCUGUCGCAUCGAUGCCAUGCAGCAGAAACUUAUGUAAAACAUAGCUCAUCUGAGUAAUAUGCUCUGCUUCUCAUUGAGUCCACCUGAGCGUGUGUAUUAGUGUCACAUUAUGUCAGCACUGCACUAAGAUCUAAGGUUCAGUAGGUAUUAUCCCUUUAUUUCAGCCAUCGAUGAGAUGUAAUUUGCUGUUGCCAGAUUUAGCUUGUUGUUGUUGUCAUGAUGAACUCUUGUUAUAAGCUUUUAGUGUAAGUCGGGUAGCAUCCUUGGUCAGAAAAGAAAAUUUACAUGUUUUGAUGAUGAGACCAAUUUCCUACAUGGUUGUGUUUGAAGAUGCAAGUAGCAUGUAAUCAAGGAAGUUCCAAAUAAAGUAGAAUACAUCAUGGCUGUCUUUUGAUGUAUUUGCAAGCUUUGUUAUUACCUUUGGAUGCAUACAGACUUCAUUUGACGCUAAUUUGGAGAAUUUUGUCUUAUUUUCUGUUCAUACUGUAAGCUGUAUGUAUUCUGUUUUUUUUUUCUCAUCAGCUAUAAAUUACUGCAGUACACUUCUAAGCAAAAGAACACAGCUUUGCCGGUUGCAGCAACAAUACUGAACACAACAAGAACACGCGUGGCAAAAUUUCUAUUACUAGAAUUUCACCAAAUUCCGACAAAAAAGGUGGAGAAAUCAUAAGAACAAAAUCACGCUAUCCACUGAAAAUUUCCAGGAAGAAUUGCAAAUCAACUCCCCUUGUGAUCAGUGGCCGCUGUUCACGACAGCGCAGUUCCUCCUGAUCUCCCCCUCCGAUCCGGUCUUGACCUGCACCGCGCCCAGCGUCGCCAUCGACCGGCCGAACACCUGGAAGAACACCUCCGGCGGGCUCGCCACGACGCCGGCGAUGUCCGCCCGCCCCGCCACGUCGGUGGCGAGCGCGGCGUUGGACCGGAGCAGGCCGCGGUGUUAGAGUAUAUGAUAGUUAAAGUUAUAUUAGGAUAUGAUUGGUUUGUUUGGAUUCCUUCCAUAUCUAUAAUACUUCCUUAUUUCUUCCUCCUAUAUAUAUUGGAUCCCCUGAGACUCAAUACAAUAUGUCCCACGUUACGCAGUAUACCUCUCCUAUACUAUACAACAUAGUAUCAGAGCGGGUGAUCUAAGGCCAAUGCCGCUCACGCUUCCGCUCGUCCCCCCCGGAGGGUUUCGAUCUCCCGGGGGCGGCCACCCGUUUCCUUUUUUUUUCGCUCGUCGAGUCUUCGCGGCCUGCCUCCCCAGAGGAGUCAAUCUCCGGGCUGCGGCCGCGGCCUGUCCGUCGUCAUCUUCGCGUCAGCAGGCCCUCCGUCACCGUCCCCCGCGCCCUCAGAUUCGUCUACACCGCCAGCGUGUACGUCGCCGGGUCACCCCUCCACCGGCGCGCUGCUCCCAACGGCGCCACCCCCGUGCCGGUGGCUCCCGACGCCACCAGCCUCCUCGACUCCGCCGCGACCACGUGGUGACCACCGCGCCAACGGCCGACCUCAGCUCCGCCCUGCCGGCAUCUGGAGGACGCCAGCAGGGCCCUGCGCCUCACCACUGCCGGCCGCCACCAAGCUCCGGCUGCGUCGGCUCCCGGUCCCUGCCGGUCAAGCACGCCGCCCUCCCCGCGCCACGUCUCCAGGAACAACCGGUCUCCUCUCAUUCCCUUCCAAUGGUCUGUCUGCACGUGUCACAUGUGUGGGUGGAUAAGUUUUGGGGGGAUAGCUGGCUACUGGUACGGCUGAGGCAAAAGGUUAGCUGGACUUUGGCCUAUGUACCGGACCAUCGAGCAACAGGGGAUGCUACCGUACUGUUGCUGCUUGUAUUUUUUUUUCGCCCACAAGAGACAAUUCUUUUUAGCCUCUAAGAGACAAAAAGAAGAGCCUAACAAGGACCUUGAGAUAACAGCCCAUUCAUAGAACGGGUUUGCGUCGCCCACCGCCUCGUCGACAUCUACGCGUCUCCGAUAUCGGUAUCGACUCUGCUUCGACUUUAUCGUUCCGCCUCGCGCAUCUUCGGCUUGAUCACCCGUUCAAGCGCCCGGCUACAACGACUUCUACAACCGAUCGGCAUCAAGCACGCGUCUACACUAUCAAACUUCGGGUUGCCGCUGCAUCGCCCUCUUGGGCUGCAGUGUCGCCGCCCAUGGUCCACCUCCACUGGUUGUUGGAACACUGAGAGGCAACACCUCCACUGCCUCGCCCGCGCGGUAUUGGCAACACCGGCGCGCGUGUUCGUCCCGAGUUGUCCCCGGGUCUGGCAAAUCCGGCAUGACGUCUCGUCUUUCACGGUUCGACUACAUCGGCUCUUCGGCAUCAUCUUCCUCAACGACUGCCGCGAUUGUGUCACCGUCUUCGUCUCCCGCGCAUCCUCGCGCACCUUGGUCCACGAUGCCCCUCCCGUGCGUCCACGACCACUCUACGACGGCCCAUGCGCGCUCCGCGGCUCGGCUACCUCGACAUCUAUUUUUCGACCACAGCACUCUUGCCGGUUUCUUCUCCAGUCUAAGUGUCCGCACUGCUCACGCUUGGACUGCGGGGGGAUGUUAGAAUAUAUGGUAGUUAGAGUUAUAUUAGGAUAGGAUUGGUUUGUUUGGAUUCCUUCCAUAAGUGUAAUCCUUCCUUAUUUCUUUCCCAUGUACUCCUGUAUAUAUCGGCCCUCUGAGGCUCAAUACAAUAUGUCCCAUGUUACGCAGUAUACCUUUCCUAUACUAUUCAACACGUGGUGCCUGAGCACCGUGCGGUAGUAGCCGAGGUCGAACGUCAGGUGGCUGCCGGGGUCCAUCUCCACCACGCCGUCGCCGGCUGUCCUGCACUUGCGCUCACGCAGGUUGGCGGCGUCCAGCGGCGGCGGGUCGGUGCUGUUGCUGUUGGCAUUGCCAGCGCCGCCGCCGCCAUAGAGGCGGUCGGCGAAGGAUGGUGUGCGCACCUGCGCGAUCGGAUGCAAUUUUUCAGAAAUCAUUUUACAUCCAAGAAUUCAUUGUGAUAAUGUCACACAUGUGUCCUCAUUCUUGCACAAAAACAAGCUUGAAUUUUUAUGAUGUUGGCUUGCUGUAGAUCGCCAUUUUCGGGACAUGAAUCGAGCAUCCAAACGAUUGGGUUGAAAUGCAAUUUUUUUAAUGAAAAAAUCAACGUAAUUUUUCCCCUGUUGAUUGUCAACAAAGAAUCUAUAAAAUUUUCUCAAGACAUGCAUGAGAGAGUCUGCAGCUAAUUUCAAAUUUUCGGUUGAUUUGAUGCUCUAACAUAUGAGAUUAUAUAAAGCUAAUUUUUGUUCAGUUUAUUAUACCAGUCAUAAAUCAUAACAGUAUAAAAUUGACUAUAGUCACCAAUUAUAGUGACCCUCCCCAACUAUUGAAACCAGGGUAAUUUAACUCACAAUACAGUAUUGAUAGUGGUAUUUACUAACGUGACUUCUACGUGGCAUCCCAAACAUCAAAUAAAUUUAAAAACUAAGUAGGGCUCGCCUGUCAACCCCCCCCCUCCCCUCCCCUCCCUUCUACCCCUCUACUAACCUCUGUCCACCUCUCUCUCCCCAUUUCUUCUUCUUGGCCUAACAGCAGCAGGGUGCCGAGACGACGACGGGGAGCAGCGGGAUGAUGGCGAGGCUCUCCUUUCUCUCCCACCCCGGUCCCUUCUGUCCAGGCGCUAGUGGAGGAGUGGCCGGCCGAGUGAGAUGCGGGGUGGCAGUAGGCAGCGAGCCCGGGUGGUCCUCAUCAUCCUGGCCGGGUCGCCUGAGUUCGAGUUCUUGGAUGGUGGGGAAGAACCCCUCCUCGUUCCAGUCCCUAGAAUUCGAGUUCAAGUUCUAGAUAGUGGGAAAGAACACUGCGAGAUGACCACAGCAUGCCUGCUGUCACCGUCGUGCGGGUAUCACGGCCCGAUUGGCUCCGCAAAGCCAUUGCGUGGGUGUCACGGGAGCACGAAUGAGCCGCUGUGGCACGUCAUCCUCUCUCCCCUCUCCCUCGUACAUCUCCACCUCUUUCCUCAUAUAUCUCCACCUCUUCCCUCACUCUUCUUGUGGGCUCUGGCGGUGUGACGACCAGCAAGACCAUGGGCAGUGCCUAGCGGAAGAUGAACCAAAGAUGGCAGCGACCAUCGCAAGUCUCAACUUAAGAGUGAUGAGCAUGCUCUCCCUCCUCCCGACCACGCGCCAACCAUGACGCUGCCGCCAUCACCGCCACCGCGCCGCGCCGUGCUGCUCGACCAUUAUCCUCCUAGUUGUGCGUGCACCCUUAUAUCUCCCCUCCCUUCCCACUCGGGGAUUCUCUCUCACUUUCAUCUAGUGCGUGACGGAGCGCUGGCGGUACACCAGUCCCCCAGCCCCUUCUCUAGCGUCGGUGGCACACUAGUCCCCCAACCUCCUCUUUGGCGCCGGUGGCUACCUCCGGCCCGGGCCCUUGCCACUGCUCCCUCCCUCGCCACUGCCGAUGGGGGGGGGAAUGGAGAUAGAUAUUAGAUAGGGAGGGGGAUAGUGAGUAUGACAAGUGGGUGAUAUAUUUUCUUUUUAAAAAAAAUAUUUUUUUUAAAAAAAAAUCUCUAGUCACUUACAUAUGGACCUUCAAUUUCUACUUUGUGACUAUGCUACCAUAUCAACACAGAGUUGACCAAGUCAACGAGCAAUGUCAGCGAAAACCGUUGAGAAAGUCAAAUUGUACCGGUUUAAAUAACUAGAGGUCCAAGGUAUUCAAGAUCACUAAUUAGCGAUCGAUCGCCCCAGACGAUCAUUUUUCUUUUCAUCACUUUCCCUUUUUUACACCAUAUAGUUUUUCUUUUGGUAAGUUUAUAUACUUAAAGUUUCUACAUCUAAAGUUUACGCACCUAAAUUUUAAACACCCAAUUCAAAUUUAAAUUCGGAUUUAAAUUUGUAGAGCGAAUAUUUAUAAGUCAAAAGUUUAUAUAGCCGAUUUAAAUUCAAAUUCGGAUUCAAAUAAUUUAUAUAUAGAAUAUUUCUAUACAUAAAGUUUAUGCGUGCAAAGUUUACGGUAUAACCUAAAGUUUAUCCGUUUGUAGAGCGAAUGUUUAUAAGUCAAAAGUUUAUAUACCUGAUUCAAAUUCAAAUUCGGAUUCAAAUAUUAUAUAUAUAGAAUAUUUAUAUACAUAAAGUUUUAUGCGUGCAAAGUUUUACGGUAUAAAGUCUAUGCACAUGAAUGAGAGUAUUAGAUGAAAUUUAUGAUGAAAGGAGGGAAGGGAGAGGAGUAUAAGGGGUUGAUCUCCCGCCCAUUUGGGGCUCGGUAUUGAGGUUGUGGAGUACGAUUAAGAUUGGAGCCGUAUUUGAGGGAGUCAAUGUGGACUUAUUGCAAGCCAGAAAGCCGACGUUUCCGCGGAGUUCUCAAUUGGGCCCACAACGGCCCAUAUAACUUGGUCCGGAACGGGAUUGCAUGGUAGGAGCGGCCCACGUUGUGUGUGACGACGCCGACUCCCUCGACAGGCCGCCGCAGCGUGGCUUGCCACUACCCCCGCGCUUCGCUGUGUCCGCUUUCCCAGCACAGAUCAAAUGGCCGCCACCUCCGGCGAGCUCCUCACCCACGCAACCAUGGUGCUCUCGCUCUCUCCGAUUCUCCAGCACAAACCGACGGCGAGCUGCCCUCCUUAUCCUCCGAUGUCGGAUUUAAGCAAAGGCGAGAUAAGGAUCUGCCAUCUCCUUAUAAUAAAUAGUACUAUUAGCAUCCAUUUGAUAUUGGCAAUUCGGCUUUGUGUAUAACAUCAUUGGUGAUGUGGAAUGGUGACGCUGUCAGUCAGUCAGUCAAAGUAAUCAACCGCGUGGGGUGCUUUUAUCUCGUGAAUCUUUCCUUUCCAAGAUGGGUGGUGAGCUGCGCAAUAGAUUAGAGAGUUGGGUGCCCAUUAUCAUUAUAUUGUCAUUAUAAAUUCAUCCAUCCUGCAAAGUUUUUCUUGACGCCGAGCAUGUCAAUGGGCAAACCAAUCCUCACUCAGUCUCGGUCUCUUCGCCCGGGUGACCGAUAGUGGCAUGUUAAUGCAGCUUUAGCUUCCAACUUUCAGUUAGAAAUUGAUCCCACGGCCUCCCUUCAAUUUUACUUUUUUUCUUUUUGUUUAACACUUGUUUAGCUUGCAUAUGUUUUUUAAAUAUUUCGUCAGUACAUAGUCAUCCUGUAGCAACACCCAGAAUAUGUGUACAAAGUGCUACCUACGGAGUAUUUGACACUGGGAAUUCAACUUAUUAUCAACAAUUCUUAUCUAUACUAACAUCCUUGGUGAUGAGACAGUCAAGUCAUCAACUAUGUGGACUGUGGAGUGUCUUUAUUCUGUGAAUUUUCCCCCAGCCAUAUAAACAUUCCAUGGUCUGGUAUGUCCCUCAUGGUCCAUCUGUCUAGCCGAGCCCGGAGCUUUACUGAGGCCGUUUUUAGUUCCUUUUUUAUUUUUUUUAAAGUAUACAGACACACAUUUGAAUUAUUAAACAUAGACUAAUAACAAAACAAAUUACAGAUUCCACCUAUAAACUGCGAGACGAAUCUAUUAAGCCUAAUUAAUCCGUCAUUGGAAAAUGUUUACUGUAGCACCACAUUAUCAAAUCAUGGCGUAAUUAUGCUCAAAAGAUUCGUCUCGCAAUUUACAUGCAAACCGUGUAAUUAGUUUUUUUUCCACAUUUAAUGCUUCAUGCAUAUGUCCAAAUAUUUAAUGUGGUGAAAUUUUUGAAAGUUUGAAAGGAACUAAACACGGCCUGAGUCAUCUGUACGCCUGCCAGCCCAUAUGCAUGAUCUGAGCAACCUUGCAGGCUCUGCUGCGUUGAUGGUCAGUCAACUUCACUCAACAAGUCACUCACUCCAGUCCCAGUCAAUCUAGGUGGCUUACAGUAUUUGAAUGAAUUUGCUAUACUAUUAUAUAGGAGUAUUCUCCAACCGAUCCUUCCUCUCGGACGCAGCAAUGGCAAUGGCAAUGACGAUGCUCUUUAGAAUCUGAGUCUUUCUGCUGCUGUUUUGCACAGCUAAGGCUACUGAUGAUUCAGGAGCAGAAACUGAAGCAGAAGCACUCCUCCGAUGGAAGUCCACUUUGAUCGACGCCACCAACUCGUUGUCGUCAUGGUCGAUUGCCAACUCCACCUGCUCUUGGUUCGGUGUCACCUGUGACGCCGCCGGCCAUGUCACUGAGCUCGACCUUCUUGGUGCCGACAUCAAUGGUACGCUUGACGCUCUCUACUCUGCUGCAUUCGAAAACCUCACCACCAUCGACCUCAGCCACAAUAAUCUUGAUGGUGCCAUUCCAGCAAAUAUUUCUAUGUUGCACACCCUCACCGUUCUAGAUUUGAGCGUCAAUAAUCUUACUGGUACGAUCCCCUACCAACUCAGCAAGCUCCCUAGACUCGCCCACUUAAAUCUUGGAGAUAACCACUUGACCAAUCCGGAAUAUGCCAUGUUCUUCACACCCAUGCCCUGUUUGGAAUUCCUAUCUCUAUUUCACAAUCAUCUCAAUGGUACUUUUCCAGAAUUCAUCCUCAAUAGCACUAGUUUGAGGAUGGAGCACCUCGAUUUAUCGGGUAAUGCUUUCUCAGGGCCCAUACCAGAUUCACUACCAGAGAUUGCUCCAAAUUUGAGGCAUCUAGAUCUGUCGUACAAUGGAUUCCAUGGGUCCAUACCACAUUCACUCUCAAGGCUGCAAAAGCUCCGAGAACUAUAUCUGCACAGAAACAACCUCACCCGAGCAAUCCCAGAGGAGCUUGGGAACCUAACCAAUCUUGAGGAGCUGGUCCUGUCAAGCAACCGGUUAGUUGGAAGUUUGCCACCAUCUUUUGCCAGGAUGCAACAAUUAUCAUUUUUUGCGAUAGACAAUAACUACAUCAAUGGUAGUAUCCCGUUGGAGAUGUUUUCAAACUGCACUCAGCUCAUGAUUUUUGAUGUUUCCAACAACAUGUUAACUGGAAGCAUCCCAUCACUGAUCAGCAACUGGACACACCUACAGUACUUGUUCCUCUUCAACAACACAUUUACCGGUGCAAUCCCAAGGGAGAUAGGAAACUUAGCACAAUUACUUUCAGUGGACAUGUCACAAAAUCUCUUUACCGGAAAGAUACCAUUAAAUAUCUGCAAUGCAUCUUUGCUAUACCUUGUAAUCAGUCACAACUAUCUGGAAGGUGAGCUCCCUGAAUGCUUGUGGAAUUUGAAAGAUCUCGGAUACAUGGAUUUGUCAAGCAACGCUUUUUCUGGAGAAGUUACAACCUCAAGUAACUAUGAAUCCUCCCUAAAAUCACUGUACCUGUCAAAUAAUAACUUAUCGGGUCGUUUUCCAACGGUAUUGAAGAACCUCAAAAACCUAACUGUGUUGGAUCUUGUGCAUAAUAAGAUUUCUGGUGUGAUUCCUUCAUGGAUUGGGGAAAGCAAUCCUUUGCUGAGGAUUCUCCGAUUACGAUCAAACUUGUUCCAUGGAAGUAUUCCUUGUCAACUGUCAAAACUCUCCCAACUCCAACUGCUUGAUCUGGCUGAAAAUAAUUUUACAGGUCCUGUACCAAGUAGUUUCGCCAACUUAUCCUCCAUGCAGCCUGAAACAAGAGACAAAUUCUCCUCCGGUGAAACAUAUUACAUUAACAUUAUUUGGAAGGGAAUGGAGUACACUUUUCAGGAAAGAGAUGAUUGUGUUAUUGGUAUUGAUCUUUCAAGCAAUUCUCUCUCUGGUGAGAUCCCUUCAGAGUUGACAAAUCUUAGAGGCCUUCAGUUCUUAAAUAUGUCAAGAAAUGUUCUAUAUGGUGGCAUCCCAAAUGACAUUGGCCAUCUACAUGUUGUAGAGUCUCUUGACCUCUCUUGCAAUAGACUCUUGGGUCCUAUUCCUCCUAGCAUAUCAAACUUGACGGGCCUCAGCAAGCUUAAUCUCUCGAACAACCUUCUAUCAGGAGAGAUACCUAUAGGUAAUCAACUCCAAACACUGGAUGACCCAUCGAUUUAUGCCAACAACCUGAGGCUUUGUGGAUUUCCUUUGAAAAUUCCAUGCUCAAACCAUUCAAAUUCUACGAGUACACUAGAAGGGGCAAAAGAACAUCACCAAGAACUGGAAACUCUAUGGCUGUACUGCUCAGUAACUGCAGGAGCUGUCUUUGGUGUUUGGCUGUGGUUUGGAGCACUGUUUUUCUGUAAUGCAUGGAGGCUUGCUUUCUUCAGUCUCAUCGAUGCCAUGCAGCAGAAACUUAUGCAAACAUAACUCAUCUGAGUAAUAUGCUCUGCUUCUCAAGUUCUCAUUGAGUCCACCUGAGCGUGUGUAUUAGUGUCACAUUAUGUCAGCACUGCACCAAGAUCUAAGGUUCAGUAGGUAUUAUCCCUUUAUUUCAGCCAUCGAUGAGAUGUAAUUUUCUGUUGCCAGAUUUGGCUUGUUGUUCUUGUGAUGAUGAACUCUUGUUACUAGCUUUUAGUGUAAGUCGGGUAGCAUCCUUGGUCAGAAAAAAAGAACAUGUUUUGGUGAUGAGACCAAUUUCCUACAUGGUUGUGUUUGAGAUGAAAGUAGCAUGUAAGCCAGGAAGUUCCAAAUAAAGUAGCAUACAUCAUGGCUGUCUUUUGAUGUAUUUGCAAGCUUUGUUAUUACCUGUGCAUGCAUACAGACUUCAUUUGACGCUAAUUCGGAGAAUUUUGUCUUAUUUUCUGUUCAUACUGUAAACUGUAUGUAUUCUGUUUUUUUUUUCUCAUCAGCUAUAAAUUACUACAGCACACUUCAAAGCAAAAGAACACAGCUUUGCCGGUUGCAGCAACGACACUGAACACAACAAGAACACGCGCAGCAAAAUUUCUACUAGAAUUUCACCAAAUUCAAAUGACAAAAGUGAAGAAAUCGUAAGAACAAAAUCACGCUAUCCCAGGAAGAAUUGCAAAUCAACUCCCCUUUUGAUCAGUGGCCGCUGUUCACGACAGCGCAGUUCCUCCUGAUCUCCCCAUCGGAGCCGGUCUUGACCUGCACCGCGCCCAGCGUCGCCAUCGACCGGCCGAACACCUGGAAGAACACCUCCGGCGGGCUCGCCACGGCGCCGGCGAUGUCGGCCCGCGCCGCCGCGUCGGUGACUAGCGCGGCGUCGGACCGGAGCAGGCCGCGGUGCCUGAGCACCGCGCGGUAGUAGCCGAGAUCGAACGUCAGGUGGCUGCCGGGGUCCAUCUCCACCACGCCGUCGCCGGCCGUCCUGCACUUGCGCUCACGCAGGUUGGCGGCGUAGGCGGCGUCCAGCGGCGGCGGGUCGGUGUUGUUGCCGUUGGCAUUGCCGGCGCCGCCGCCGCCGUUGUAGAGGCGGUCGGCGAAGGACGAGCAGUGGGCGAUGCCGAUGGUGUGCGCGCCUGCGCGAUCGGAUGCAAUUUUUCAGAAAUCAUUUUACACCCAAGAAUUCAUUGUGAUAAUGUCACACAUGUGUCCUUAACUCCUCAUUCUUGCACAAAAUCAUGCUUGAAUUUUUAUGAUGUUGGCUUGCUGUAGAUCGCCAUUUUCUGGACAUGAAUCGAGCAUCCAAAUUUUCGGUUGAUUUGAUGCUAACUUACGAGAUUAUAUAAAUCUAUUUAUUUCAGUUUAUUUACAUUGGUCAUAAAUCAUAACUGUAGAAAUUAUGACAUUGCUGAACAAGUUAAGUCAGUUCAAUGGUAGAUAAAAUUGACUAGUCAUCAACACGAACUGACAGAUAGAAAGCAACUAUUAUUCGUGCUCCUUUUGCAUGCAGACAUGCAGAUGCCUAGUCAGCAAACAAAGGAUUGGAAAUUCAGACACAAAGCUUUCCUCUCUGAAAUUAAUCUUACAGCUUCUACAUUAUGUCUCCCACCGACAGUGCAGAUUAAUUACAUGCUAAUAGUGUAGUUUGGAUCUGAUUAACUAGAGUAAUCUGUUUAGUUUAGCUGAUAACUGAGAUUAAUUACAUGCUAACAGUGUAAUUUGGACCUGGUUAACUAGAGUAAUCCAAGUUGUUUAGUUUGUGCAGAUAAGUGGUACUAAGUAUCCUCGGUUUCAUAAUAUAAGUUGUUUCGAAUUUUUUUUGUCAAAUUUCUUGAAAAUUUGAUCAAAUCUCUACAAUUAUAAAAAUUAAAGAUAUUUCCGCGAUCUGUUAUCUGUGUUUGAGUCGGUUUUAAUUUUAUAUUUUGAUUUUAAUCUAUAACUCUAUCUCUUGUCUACUAUUAUAAAAAUUGAAGAUGUUUUUACCGGUACUUUGGUACGUCAUCUUUGUAUGAGUCGAUUUUUAAGUUCGUUUGCUUUUGGAAAUACAGAUCCGUAUUUGAGUCAGGUUUUAAGUUCGUUCGCUUUUGGAAAUACAGUCAUAUAAGAAAUCUCAAUAAAAAACUCACAUGCUAACUUGGCAUGAUUUUCUAGAAAAAUAUAUAUCCAAGCGAAUUCUCACGGUGAAUUUCAGAGUGAACAAUAAUAAGAUUAAAAUAGACUUCACCCAUUACAACGCACGGGCAUUUUUUCUAGUUUAUAAAAAAAAUAUAACACUCAUAACACCAAAUUAAUUUCAUUACAUCUAACAUUUAACAUAUUUUGAUAAUUUCUUUGUUAUAGGUUAAAAAUAUUGCUAUGUUUUUCAAACCUAAAUAAGUUUGGCUUAGAAAAUAAUCAAAAUGACUUAUAAUAUGAUGAAACGAGGAUAGUAAUUAAUAAUGUGAAUUAAUGAAUUCGUUCAUAAUCGUCACGUACCUGACAGCCAGACAAGGUCACGCACGCUGAGGCCCUUGGUGGCGAACAAGCCGGCGAGCUCCGGGAAGCUCAUCGCCGGCGAGGGGAUCUCCGCGAGCGCCUCCUGCAUGCUCGACACCGUGCCAUCCCUCCUCCCCGUCGGCACGCGCCACGACGGCCCUCCCUGCAGAGCAUGUUCAGCAUCGUCAGGCUCCGGCCAGUGCGCGCGGCGCGCGGCGACCGUGGCGAGCGCUCGAGAGCUUACGAUGGCGGCGACGGCGUCGCGGGCGGCGAGCGCGAGGACGUCGGCGCAGGAGACGACGCCCGGGCAGGCCGCCUCCACGAGGCCCUUGACGCGGUCGAUGAGGUCGAACCCUCGCAGCGUCUGGUUCGGCGCCGCGUCCUUCUCCGCCGCGCCGCCAUUGCCGGUCGAGUUGAGGAGGAUGGACGCGUCGCAGCCCUUUUUGACAAACGCACAACACAUUCCAUCAAACACAUUGCAGACAUUGCACGCGCAUCAAUGGCGGCCGCGCGGCGCGGCGCGGCGCACGUACCCUGACGAAGCAGUCGUGGUAGUGCAGCCGGAGGAGCGCGGCGGCGACGGUGGGGACGCGGCCGACGUGCUGCCGGACGUACUCCCCGACGAUCCGCUCCGCCGCGGGGCAGCUCUCGUCGUAGAACCCCAUCCUGAGCUGCGCGCGCGCGCCGCCGAUCACGCCGGCGCCGAGGACGACGAUGGCCGCCACUCCGAGCCGGAUCACCGCCAUUGGCACGCCGCCCGCGCGUCGCCUCCUCGUGCUCGCCAUUGCCGCCCACUCGACUACUCAACUCAACUUAACUCAACUCAAAACUUGUGAAGUGAACCGCUUAUAUACACUAGUAUUUAUAGUCCUGAGCUUACUUAACAGACAUUUCUUCAGAGAGUGAGAUUACUUCAAACUUAGUUCGAAAUCUAUUUUUUGAGAGAAAAAUGCAGUAUAAAAAGCAGGGUAAUUUAACUUGGAUUCGCCAAUGAUUUUGAAAGGAACAGUGAAAAAUAUGCCUCCACAUGCACGCACGCAAAAUGGAACCGGGAGAAGCGUGUGACAGUGUCACUUGAUUCCUCUAUCUAUUUCUUUCGCUUUAAUUUCUCUGCUUUAUAUCUAGCUUCUUUUAGUCUUUUUCGAAUCAUGUUUAACUUUUGCAAUCUUGAUGAUGAAUUGAUGGGUGAUCGAUUGGUACAUCGUGGGUGGAAGAAAGAGCAAGAAAAGAACUUGAUCCUUUCCUCCUCUUUCCUGCCAUUGCCUUGCUUAGGCAAGGUUCCAAAGCUCUGAAGCUUCCUCCUCCCUUUUGUCAGACUUUUGGCUUGGAUCAUUUUUUGGAUUGGAAAGUAUUUGUCAUUGCUUGAUAGGUUGCUGUUUGGUAAUUUUUAGUGCCACCACCGACAACAGGGUUGAUCGGGAUUGUUAAAUCAUGCAUUCCUGGUCACAAUUCGCAAUCACAUUCAUGUGGAAUAAAAUUGAUGAACACGCUUUGCUGAGAAAAAGGAAGAAGAGUGAACUAAUACGUUUUUCAAUUUCGGUGUAUACAUUAUAAGCUUUAUAUUACCAAGGGGCAAGGGAAAGUUUAGUAAAUUAUCGCGUAUGGCACAGCCACGGAUCAAAAACAAUGUGAGCUCAAAUGCUAUGUCUCGGAAACAUGUCCACCUCUCCAUCUUCUAUUUGUGUUCCAAUGCUUAUGUCAAUCAAUCAGAUUUUGGUGAUGCACGCAUCAGAGAGAAUUUUUCCCCUAGCCGUGAUUUUCCUUUCUUUCUAACGGUUUUGAAAUUGCAAGUAUUGGAGUAUAUCAUCAUUCUACUAUUAUCUUCCAAUGCUACGAAAUAGAGAAAUCAAGCAGCGAAGAAACAAAAAGAUGUUACAUGAGAUGACAAAUUAAAGCCCAAUUACCUCGAAUCAUAUAUCAAAUUGAAUGUCGCAAAGAUUUCAACACACGCCUACAGCGUUCUGAAAAGAAAGCCCAAAUGCUCAUAGUGGCUCCAAAUAUAAAUCAGGACAGCAUAGUCCUUCCAGCAUCACUUCCCUCCAGAAUAAUCUUUUAUAUCCCAUAGGCCAUUGCAAAGCUCAUUAAGAUAAAAGUAAAUGACGAUUUAAUAAGAAUAUGCAGCAUUUUCAAACUUGCAACUCAGAUAAAACAUCAACAGGAAUGAGAUGCAAAUGAGCAAAUUGAGCACAUAUUUAGGUUCAAAUCCAACUUAUUCAUAAAGCAUACUGCUGUCCCACAGGAAACUGUUUCAUAAAACUAACAUAUCAUACGGACUCGAUGGUCCAUUAAACCAGACACAAGUAGACAUCAGCACCACAAAUACUUGACGAACAGAGGCUCGGGACGACCAGGCACAUCGGCAGCUCCACCAAACUGGCUGAUUACUGACCACCACGGAGGCGGAGCACCAGGUGGAGGGUGGACUCCUUCUGGAUGUUGUAGUCGGCGAGGGUGCGUCCAUCCUCCAGCUGCUUGCCAGCGAAGAUCAGACGCUGCUGGUCUGGGGGAAUCCCCUCCUUGUCCUGGAUCUUGGCCUUCACAUUAUCAAUGGUGUCGGAGCUCUCAACCUCCAAAGUGAUGGUCUUCCCAGUCAAGGUCUUCACGAAGAUCUGCAUACCACCACGGAGACGAAGCACCAGGUGGAGGGUAGACUCCUUCUGGAUGUUGUAGUCGGCGAGGGUGCGGCCAUCCUCGAGCUGCUUGCCGGCGAAGAUGAGACGCUGCUGGUCUGGGGGGAUGCCCUCCUUGUCCUGGAUCUUGGCCUUGACGUUGUCGAUGGUGUCCGAGCUCUCAACCUCCAGGGUGAUGGUCUUGCCUGUGAGGGUCUUGACAAAGAUCUGCAUACCACCACGAAGGCGGAGCACAAGGUGGAGGGUGGACUCCUUCUGGAUGUUGUAGUCAGCAAGGGUCCUGCCAUCCUCCAGCUGCUUGCCAGCAAAGAUGAGGCGCUGCUGGUCCGGGGGAAUGCCCUCCUUGUCCUGGAUCUUGGCCUUGACAUUGUCGAUGGUAUCAGAAGACUCCACCUCGAGGGUGAUGGUCUUGCCGGUCAGAGUCUUCACGAAGAUUUGCAUGCCUCCCCUGAGACGGAGGACAAGGUGAAGCGUUGACUCCUUCUGGAUGUUGUAGUCAGCAAGGGUCCUGCCGUCCUCAAGCUGCUUGCCGGCAAAGAUGAGACGCUGCUGGUCCGGGGGAAUGCCCUCCUUGUCCUGGAUCUUGGCCUUGACGUUGUCGAUGGUGUCAGAAGAUUCCACCUCGAGGGUGAUGGUCUUGCCGGUCAGUGUCUUGACAAAGAUCUGCAUGCCACCACGGAGGCGGAGGACAAGGUGGAGGGUGGACUCCUUCUGGAUGUUGUAGUCAGCAAGGGUCCUGCCAUCCUCCAGCUGCUUGCCGGCGAAGAUGAGACGCUGCUGGUCUGGGGGGAUGCCCUCUUUGUCCUGGAUCUUGGCCUUGACGUUGUCGAUGGUGUCAGAAGACUCCACCUCAAGGGUGAUAGUCUUGCCGGUCAGAGUCUUGACAAAGAUCUGCAUGCCACCACGGAGGCGGAGGACAAGGUGAAGGGUCGACUCCUUCUGGAUGUUGUAGUCAGCAAGGGUCCUGCCAUCCUCCAGCUGCUUGCCAGCGAAGAUGAGACGCUGCUGGUCCGGGGGGAUGCCCUCCUUAUCUUGGAUCUUAGCCUUGACAUUAUCGAUGGUGUCAGAGGACUCCACCUCGAGGGUGAUAGUCUUGCCGGUCAAUGUCUUCACAAAGAUCUGCAUCUGCAAGAAAUAAUCACCAAACAGAUAGGGUAAGAACUAGCACAAGAUUAAGGACACAACAACGGAUCAAACAGCAAACAUAUUCCAACAGAACAUACAUGUAUUCAAAAAGAUAGUAACAGGCACAUCACACAUGUAUUCAGAUAGGUAGUAACAGCACACGUAUCCUGAACUUCAGAAAUAAGUAGAAUGAACUAGUGGCAAUAAUCUUCACACAGAUAGUAAAAAGAAAUUACCACAAUAGAUUAUAUAGAUGAACUACAGAUUGUAACAUGAUAUUACUACAGAUUGUAACAUGAUAUUCUAAUAUAGUUCUUAGCAUAAAUUACUGGCAGAUAGUAACAUGAGAUCAUUAUGACAGAUAUAGCGACAAGACUUCCUAUUUACCAUUGACAAUUAAUUAAAAGAGUUCAUCAUUAUCUAAUCUGUGAACAUAUGAAAUCAAAUCGAAACGCACAAGCUACAUAAUUGAACCAUGUCUAAGAAGAACUACCCUACAGAUCUACAUCAAACACAAAACAGAUAUAACAUAUUAAAGCCUGUGUUUGCACCAACCCAUGGCACCAAUAACUCAAUCAAGAGCGGAACAGUAGAUCUGAACAUGCUCGCAACAAGGCCUACAAGAUGGAACACGCUACAAAUCGCACCAAUCACUCAGGCAUGACUAGUUCCACAAUUCCCCAACAGAUCUACACCGAUUUCCCCAAUCGAAUCAUCCAACAAUUCAUCUAACCGUAAAAAUUCCCCCCAAUCAUCAGAACCAACAUCCAAUCCCAAAACCUAACCACGAUUCCACCUAUCGAACCAACCGUGCCCAAAUCACAACCAUCAGAUCUACAACCCCUAAACAUCUCACGAUAAUCACAUCGACAACCCUAACCACCAAUCGGAUCUAGCAACAAAACAACCUCACCCGUCCGAAAUCGAAUCGAAACGAAGCGAGGAGAGGAGAAGCAGCGUACCUUGAGGACGCGAGAGGAUUCGAUUCGACGACGAGAGCCUCGCGAGAUUGGGGAGAAAUUUUUCGGGGGUGGAGCUGAUGCGAGGAGAGGAGAUGAGGGGGCUGGUAUUUAUGGCGGUUGGGUGGUGGGAGGAGUCCCGUGCCGUGACGUCUCCGUCUGCUUGGAGAAUCCGCCACGCUGAAACCACCGCGGUUUCCGGGAAGACGAGGCGGGCGAGCGAGCGGUUGGGAAAUUUCGAGAAGAUGCCGUUUGUCUCCGUUUGGUACACGUCUCGUUGAUUUUUUUUGAGUGAAUUACGCUUUGGACCACAUUUUAUUAUCUAUAAGUUUUACUUUGGACUACCUUUAAACAUAUCUUUUCACUUUGAACCAGAUAAAUUUGCUAUUGUUGCGAUUUGGAUUUUUUUUUCUCGUGCAAUCAACGACCUUAAACACAUCAGCUCUAGUAUACGGCCGAUCUCCUCUAUAUAUGGUUCAUAUGUUUGCUGAAAGGGAAGUUAGACAUGACGAAAAGUUGUUCAUGGUAGUCCAAACCACAACCCGGCCCAAAUUGAAAAGAUAGGUUUAAGGGUGAUCCAAAUUGAGACUUAGGUAAUAAAAGGUGGAUCAAAGUGCAAUUUACUUUUUUUUUACUGUAAUUUCUUCUGGCUGGUUUGUUGGUCGCCGUUAGGACCGGGUGACGCCGUCAACCCCGCGCCUCCGUAUUUGCUGACGUGGGGUGGCGCGCUGGCUUCCGCCUUGACCCGAAUUUGUUUUCCUUCCGUUAAAAAAAUGGUUUUCCUUUUCUUAAAAAGGAAAUAGUUUGUUUUUUAAGUCUGUGUAUUAGGAUUAUUACACUUGAAUUUUGGUAUAUGUGUAGGAUAAUUUACUGCAUGUUUAUAAUAGAGUUGUACUAUAGAUGAAAUAACCCAAUUUUUGGUAUAAUUCGUGUUUGGUUGGAGGUCAAAAUAACAGGUUAUUUUGUGAAGAAAAAACUCCGUAGUAUAGUACCAUAUCCAUCAUGAAUACACAUACUGCCUAGACGAGUGAUUAGGAUGAAUCCAUGUUAUAUUCCUCAAAAUAAUAUAAACCACUUGAUCUUAUGAUCUUAUCCAAUCUGUUCAUAUAAACUGGAGAUAUAAGAUGGUGCAUUUCCCUUUUGAUUUCUUUUGUUGACGGCCAUGAGAUAGGUUUGCAUCCACUGCAUUUAUAUUUCGGACCAAUACAAUGCACCUAUUGAUACAUGGGGACAGCUCAACUAACCAUGAUGCAAAUUGCUGGUUGGUGACCAGUUCUUGGCAUUAUGAUAAUGAUAGGAUUAAAAAAAACAGUGCAAUGUCUCGGAAAGAAACCAUGACAAAGGGUACAUGUUGCAUUCCAGUUUCUAAUGAUAAAAUUAUGUGCCAGCAAUUCAAAAAUCAUGCGUGUUCCCUACGCACCAUUCUUUGCAAUAAACAAGUGCAUGCACAAUAUGAUUGUGCUAAGGGUCAAGAACUUGUUGCAGUGGCUAAGUUUUGGAUAAGACCAAUGAACAAACAGUACUAGUAGUUUGUUUUAUGAAAUUUGCAUUUCUGCAGCUGUUUUCUAACAAUUUCAUACGGCAGCCUAUGCUGAUUCACUUGGACAUUGCCCCCUCCAUAAUUCUAAUCUUUGGUUCCAAAUAAAAUCAUGUGUAACCAAACUGUUGUAGUAUGAAUUAUGGAUUGGUGUCCUUUUUUUUCCCUCCGGACUCCUAUUGGCAAUGUAAGACUAUAUGAAGUAUCAGAUGCCACUCGGUUGGAGAUUUAACUGAAUUUGACAUGAAUAGGCAAGAUCACACAAACUAAAGUGCUCCAGAACAAAAACAUGCAGAUUAGGCUACCAACACCAGCCUGAAACUGUUCAUGGACUUGCUGCAUACAAACAACACAGUAUAUACCAUGAGCCCUACAAGGCUAUAUGAAUACUGCUGAGAAAGGGAGAAAAAGGUGAGGUAAGAAUGUAGAAAUUAAUAGAUACUGUAAACAAACUGAUAUUCCAAUACUACCAUCAUCUUGACAACAGCUUGCUUAAAUCAGAAAUCCACAGUUACCAACAGUAAUAUAACAAGAGUUAACUUCAACAGUAUUUAUUUGUGCAACUUAAAAGACACCAUAGGAAGCCUUGAAGCUAUCACCCCUAUGCUGAAGUACUGAAAUGAGAGGAAACCAUGUCGUUCACUCCUUUUUCCCGACUCCAUGAGACAUGUUGUACACCCCACGGCCCUGUUUAUAAAACAAGAAACAUGUCACUGUCUGAACGUAAACAAGACCAGAGAAAACAAGCAACGCAGGAAUCAAUUAAAAGAACCCCAGACUCACUAUCAUAAACAAGCUGGAGGCGGCAAGAGCGAGGGGAAUGGCAACGGAGGUGACCACAUCAUAACGCCCUUUCAGAUACGUGUGCUUGGUCAAGUUCUGAAAAUACUGCUGCUGCUUAAAGAGCCUCUCGCGCGGCAAAAACGGUGAUUCUGUCAUUCUGCAUCACAACAGAAGGAACCAAGACAAAUCUAUAUCAAUAUGGAAAGAAAUUUAUCUUUCUUAUGGACAUUUUUGCAUAUAAAGAAAAACAUACAGAAUUAGUAUAAUUACUGUAUUUGACUUUGAGAACUAAUGACACUAGAAAUCAUCACUGUUUUCCUUAAACUGCUUACUUAGAGGAGUACUAACUAACUGCUAUGCAGCCAUAUAUAAGUUGUUAAAUUUCUCUCAUUAGCACCUAAGUUAAAAUAAUGUUUUUUACAAAUUAAAAUACAGCUUUAAACAUGACACCUAAACACAUUUCUUCAUGUGAAGCAAAUCCAUGUGUUGUAAAGCAUACAAAUUUUUUUUCUUUCAUGAUUUAAGCCUAACUAGCGAAAGUACCCCAGACAGCGUGAACUGUGAUGCAGAAAGAGAUUUUAAGCCAAAGAGGUUUCUUGGUCAUCAUCGCAUAGUUUCAUGGCUGAACAUGGCUCAUGACCAGGAUUUUAUAGAGUUAACAGUUAGUCACUCACAAUCUUCAAAUCACAAAACCUAAAAAAGGAGGUCUGAAGUAUCAAGUAUGCAACAAAGCAUGCAUAUGUUACUAAGCAACAUUGUAUCCGAACAGUCUUACACCUAUUCAAAAUUACAUGACCUCAAACAUACAUGACAAAUUAUACACCUAGAGCCUACCACUUCAUUCCUACAAGCAUAAUACAAGAAGUUGACUUGGGCCCAAAACAGAAACAGGUUCGUCAUUUGUCAAGCAAGAUUGGGCCACACCAAUACACAAGAAUAUUUUAUUAUGUGAGCAUAGCUGAACAAUUUCUGCGGGGUUCUGAAAAUCAUAUUGGCAUCAGAGUCAACCAAAGACAAACAGAUGCUAAACACAUACUGGUACAGAUCCCCUAGAUGUAGCCACGUCACCUUCUUCUCCCCUUUAUGGUGAACACCCCUUCCUCCAUGCACGAUAGCUGAACACCUCUCCCUCUAUAUGGUGUUGCAUAAUUUUUCAUUCACGCAAUACAUCUAUCACAUUUUAUCGGUGAGGCAAUGAGUUAUAUAUUCGUAACUAAUAAGACAAUGAAUAAUUUUAAGUUACGGCAUAAUGCUAUUUUGUAAUUUUCACUGUUGAUCAGCUAAUGAAAUACUCCCUCCCUUUUAUAUAAGAGAAAGGCUCUUUUGUAUCUAAGAAAAAGGAGAUAGUACUAAAAUUAAUUCAAUUGCAGUAAACAUUAGUGUCCAAAGUUUCUGAGAAACAAGUAUAUAACUACUAAUAUGUUGCUGUUUCCAGUGUGAUAUGUUUUCACACAAGAUGUUCCUUCUCCAAUCAAGGAUUGGUUGUCAACUAUUGAUAGAGCCCCAGAAGCUAAUAAGAUACAGAUUACAGAGUGGCAUGUCAAAAGGCAGUAUAGGUCCCGGAUGCAUCAUGCAUAUAGAUUGAUGUGUUGCAGCGGAGUAAGAAUAUCAGGAUCGAAAUGAUGUGUGACCCGCUAGAAAUCAACCAAUGGCUUAGAUCAGCUGAAAUCCACCAGAUUGAUUUGGAGGCAACUCCAGGGCAUCUGCACCCAAACUGAUACAGCGAGAUACACAUACAAAAACACGCGAGAAAUUCCAUCCACGCAUCACCAAAAAAAAAAAAAAAGGGCCUCAGAUUAAUAACGCUCCACGAAUCGCGCAGGUCGCACCAACAUCAAUCGCGUCAGGAACUCAAGAAACACGAACAGAUCUGCUCCGCCAUUAAAACCCCUCCUCUCUCAACUCCCAAGCCUCCCAACCAUCACAUCGAACAUCGAAACAACGAGGCGGAAAUACAGGAGGAGGGAAACACCGCACCUUGAGACGGAGGCGGAGGAGGAGGACGACGACGGAUUGAUUGGACGAUCCUUGCAGCGGCUUGGGGGAUUUUGGAUGGAUCGCGGCGAGAGGUGAAACGAAAUGGGGGGAGGAGGAGGCAACGACGAAGAAGCAGGAACGGCGACCGAGUCGGGGAGGAGACGUCUUGGGAGGAAAAUGGGCCGGAUUACUUCUGGCCCAACACCAAAUUUUGGGCCAAUAAUAAGGCCUAGUAGUACUAUCAACAGCUGAGGGCGUGUUUGGUUAGCUGCAUUUAAGACUAUGGCUAAUAGGUGGACGAUUAGCUGGUAUAGACGUGGAAGAGGAAAAUCAGAUGUGAGAGAAAGAAGCUGGCUCCUUUACAAUCGUCCGCUUGGCAUGAGCGUCUAGGUGCUUUGACAACCUAGAUCCACGUCAAGAGAUGGGAGAUAGAGUGUACACUAAACCCACAUAAUAUUAAAACAAAAUAUUAAUACUAGAACAAGUGUGUAGAGCCUGCUAUAAUAUAAGAUUUAGAGCCGAUGGUGGGCUCCUAUAUUAUUCUUGAUCUAAGGGUGGCUCACACCUAUGUGUGACAGUUAUUUGGUUGUCAGUAUGACCGUCGGGGUCUAGUUCCAGCAUUCCAUUCAUGCGAAACAAACACCUGAUCCAAAAUCGCUAGAAACACGAGGAGGUGAGCUUCGUUCCUCAUGUAGGUUAUGCUCGUGCAGGCACCAGGUCGGUGUAGGAGGUGAGAUAGGGUCACACAUUGAGUCAUCUCUCUUUCUCCAAAUGCUAGUUUGUGCCUCCCAAUUUGUUGUCGCCUCCAUCGUGCCCCCUCACCAGUGGAUCCCCUUCCCCCUCCUCUUUGGCUAUUUGUAGUAUACGGUGAACCACAACCUCACAACCACUAGAUCUGAUGGUCGUAAGUUCAGUACUAUUGGAUCUGGUAGUCCCGACCUCAGUUUGGAUAAAACAUAUGAGCCAAGCUAAAGGCAUUCGGGUAACCAAACAUACUCUUAAAAUGUCAUGAAUUUUCAUGUGGGGAAUAAAUUGAUUCAUGUGAAAUUUGUAUUAAGGGAUGGUUAGGUUCUCUAUUCUAUAAAGAUUCAGCGGCACCGUUACCUUUUCCCUUUAAGGUUGCGUUCGUUUGUGUCGGUUGGGAGUCUAUCCCUCCGGCACGAAAAACGGAACAGCUUAUUAUCGCAUAAUUAAUUAAGUAUUAGCUAAAAGUAGCUUUAAAAAUAGAUUAAUGUGAUUUUAUAAGCAAUUUUCCUAUAUAAUUUUUUUUCAAAGAACACAUCAUUUAGUAGUUUGAAAAGCGUGCACACGAAAAACGAGGGAGAGGGAUUGAAAACCUGCAAUGCCGAACACAACCUAAGAAGGGCUUGAUUUCUAUUAGUAGAGAAAAUGUGGCCAACAUUUGAGCCCGAUUUUAUUAGCAUUAUCAAAAAUUGUGUUUGACUAAAUUUUGAUGAGGUGUUUAGUUUGGUAUUACCAAACUGGAUCAAGAACCAGAAAAUUGCUCAUGCCAUCUCUACUAGACGUCUUUUUAUUGUGAUGCUUCUAAUUAAACUGAUGGAUCCUAAACCUCUUAAACCAACCGUGUCAUGUGACUAAGUGACAACUAACAAAGAUCUCUAACCAGCUAAGUUCCACAAAAAAAAAAGGUGAUUUUUUUAUUUGAAACGAUACGCAAAAACAAGAAUAAGCCUUCAGAAAAAGAAAGAAAAAAUGGAGCCGAUUUGCCUGCCAACAGCUGAUCCAAGCCUAUCAGAGCUGAUCACACAUGAUGAUCAUGCCACGAUUGACUUGCAAAUUUAACGGUUAUGGAUUGGUAGGUGCGAGGCAUGACCGGAUCCUGUCUCAUUGGCGUCCAUCAUUUCCCAAAAUCUUAUCCAGCCAAAUGUUUCUCUCCUCUCCUCUUCAUAUCACUGUAUCAAAAUGCAUAUAUGAUUCUAAAUUUCUAAUCUCUGUACCUAUCCUAAUCCGACAGGAAACAGCUUAAUUAUCCUACACUUACAUGCCUGCAACACCACAGAAAAAAAAUAGGCCAAAAUGUAUUGAGGGGAAGGGCUUAGCUGGCCUCUUUUCUGUGCCAAGAAACAAUGCAUCUCUAUCUAUAGCUUGCAUAUAUCAACAUAUAUAUUAUUUUUAUAUGGAUCAUAAUGGAGGUUUCUUUUUGUGUUAAAAAGUUCAGAAAUGAGGUGUUCAUUGCUGUGAUGGUUUAAGGGUAGAUUAGUACUAGUGGAUACAUCAGUAAGCAAAUCAGAGAAGGCUGACCAAGUUUAGACAGAUUACAGAUGGUAGACACCUGUUAUUUCUGCGUGAUGAAAUGGCAACUUGAAUUUUUUUUAUUAAAAAAUGAAAUGAAGAGAUACUUCAGAAAAGUUUUGAUGAAGAGCACCAGGUUAAUUCUGAUAUAUUCUGAUAACAGAACGAUAGUGAUGCCUAAUUUUCCUUGCGUUGUGUUUUUAAUUAGCUUGCAAGUGAUGUUAUUAUCUGAUACACCUCCAGCCACAAAUGGAUAUUUAAUAUCAAAUGGUAACACAAGCAACCUCUAGUGAUUGGUUGCAGCUUGGUGGAAAAUUUCAUGGUGUGUAUAGACCCUAGAAGAUAAACAAAACUUGUUCAUAAUACAAAAUUAAGUCAUCAGGAUCAGGAAGAGAUAUCCAGAGAAAAAUUCAAACACAUAGUGAAUUAAGUGGAAUGGGACAGAUCAUCAUCCACCAAGUGUAGGAAAUACGUUUCUUUGAGCCAUAGAGGAUAAGGCACUGAAGAAGUAGGUCAUACUAGUUCCAUUUGAAAUGUCUGCAUGUGUUGUGUUAUAUUGUUUUCUUAACUAACAAGCUUAGGCAAAAACAAUGAGCAAGCAAUGACAAAAAAAUCCACUGGUUUUCUUCUUUAUCCAAUAUAAAGAUAUGCAGCCCUCCUGAAAGUUCUAGACAAAAAUGUGAUGUAAAACUUCAUCUGUUAAAGAUAAAAUUGGAUAUUUUUUAAAUAAGAAGAUGAUUUGCUGCCAUGUCAGUACCACCUAAAAAGAGCCAUUCUAUGCAAUGAUCCUUAAAAGUACUAGGACUAUACUAUACAUCUGAUAUGUACCAUAUCAUCUAUUACAGAGUUAACCAGCCUAUUGGCCUGAAAUCUUUCAAUAAUAUACCUACCCAUUUGAGCUGCAAAGUUUGUUGUUUUACUUGUUUGCAUGACAAGUCAGGUGUAAGACGGAAAAACUUGAAGCCUGACAGUUAAUAUUUAUAUGAAAUCACCAGUCAUUUUCAGGGAAAAAUUAUGCAGACACCAGCCUCUUAGGAAAAUUAUGCAGGAAAAUUAUAAUAUUUUCGAUGUUAGUUCCCGUUGUAUGGAAAACAAGAUCUAAGUACAGCUAGAACAGUGCAACUGCGCAAGUUGUUUUUUUUUUCAGCAAGGCUUGAAUGGCUCUCAAGAGAACUAAAAUAUAAAAUUGGAAGAGGGGGAAGAAGGUGCAGCCAACUAACUAACUUGUGAUCAUAUUUAAGCACUUGUCAUGCUACCCUCACAGAAGAUUUAGUUCCUCCUCUGCCUCUUCUCCAUCUACAGAAAACUACUUGUGCUAAUCAAGUUUUAUCUUGUUUCUUCCCCAUCUCUUUCUUCUUGUUGUUCUUCAGACUGAACUUAGUCUGAAGAUUCAGAAAUAAAGUGUGAUUUUCAAAGCUUUGCUAGUUGCAAACGAGACACUAGCUUUGGAGUUUGGAGGUAAGCUGCUGUGCUUUCCUUUUGCCAUAUGCGAUUCAAAAUAUAUGAGUCUGUAGCACCCAAGCUAAUUUUUUUCUUCACAUUGGUAAUGAACAUUGUCAUUCAUGAUGUAGGGAGAUCUUGCUUGUGGAGAAACUCACAAAUGGCGAUAAAGAUGAAGGGAAUAUUCAAAGGCCUGAAGAUAAUCUCUCAAAUGUUCGGUAAUACUCCUAUCUUUCUUUGUUUCCCUAUAUCUCUGCCUGCUUACAUUACUUAAGCUUGCAUUUUGUUGAUUCUGGUUUAUAAAUCCAGAUUCAGAUUCAAGAAAAUGUAGUAAAAGCACAAUAAGAUAGUACUGUGUGUAUAACCGUGAGAAAUCACAGAAAGUGAUCAAUGUACAACAAUAAGUUUAUAACACAUGGUUUCUUUUUCUUUUGCAGUGCAUAAGGAGCAUGAGAUGGAAAUUGGGUACCCUACAGAUGUAAAGCAUGUGGCUCACAUAGGUUUGGGCACCAGUGACACAUCUCCAAGCUGGGUAAACAUACCAAUACUUGACAGCCUUUUCAUCAGAUGAUCAACUACUGCAUUAUGAUUUAUGAAUGUUUUCUGUUUAUGAGUUUUGCUUCAUAUUCUAGUAUUUCUAAUUAUUGGAAAUGUACAUUUCUCACUUUCAGAUGAACGAAUUCACGGGAACAGAAGAUUUAUCAACCGGUUCUCUGAGCACAACUGCACCAUCAAGGCAGACUUCUUGGGCCUCUUUAGGUAUUUAAUGUCCUCUCAUCUUUCUAUGUUUAUCCUUCAAAAAUAAAGUCAAUACAACAUAUAUAAAGGUUAAUCAAACAAAAGAUUCUAAAAUAUGAAGUUCCAUUGGUGCUUUUGAAUAUGCCACUUGAGCCAUGCCUGAUAUAAAACGUCACAAUCAUCCAUAGUAGUCUAAUUGGUCCUGAAUCUUCAGAACUAAUCAUUUAUUACUAUAUAAACGUUGGAAAUCUUCUUGAUCUAUUUUCUAAGGACAAGUACUUCAGUAGUGGCACACCACUUACACCAUUUUCUUUUUAGGUUGCUUGCAUGUUUACAAGGUGCAAUGAACAGAUAUACAGAAAAAUCAUCAAACAUGGUAUCCAAACAUUCAUGAUGACCAAAUAAUAUUUUUUAUGCAGAUUUUGAACAGCCAAGAAGCAUGCUGCCAAUUGAGAUCUUGCCGGAGAAAUCUGGCCAGGAGGCACCCUCCUGCCCUGACAUCCCAAGAGGCCCAAGGAAGGUGAGAAGGAAGAAGACCAGAACAUCAUCACCUACCUCAUCUGCAAGAUCAUCGUCCUCGAGGUCAAGAACCUCGUUCGCAACCGCAUACGACGCAUUCAACGAAUCGCAAAGAGGGUUUCGGGUUGCCUGAAAUUUACAGAUUGUGUUUGAAACUACCAUGAAUUGUACAUUGUAUGUCGGUAUAGGAAGAGAAUUGAUUGUGAAUUGUUUGAUUCUUUCUUUUUCUUUCUUUUCUUUUACAGUCAAGACAUAGUUGGAAAUGCAAAGGAAAAUGGAUUAACUUAAUGUUUGAAGUUGUGUGCAUCUCAAAUUUUAUACUUCUGACUAAUUCUUCAGAUUCUUUUAAUGAUUGGAUGGCAGUCGGCAGAUGUUAGACUUCAGUAGUAUAAUAUUUUUUCCCCACUUCAGAUUGUGGAUUAAAAAAAAAGUUUUCUAACAUUUUUCAAUAACAUAUCAAUAUAAGUAAGCUUGAUUCACAUCAUUUUUUUCUGAAACACAUACAGCUGUGAGGGGGCUAAUAAUGCCAUUGAUCACGACAUGCAAGGACCAAGAACAAUUCGACUAACUUUUUUUCUACGCCAAGUUGCCAAUUGCCAAGACAAACGUGCAAUUGACAUGAUGCAACGUUUCAUCAUGCCUCAGCACUUUGUUCAAGGACUGUAAUAAUGUGAUACACAGCUGAUCUAAUCAUAUAAAAAAAACACUUGGAAAUAUCAUCAAUCUUUAUAUCUCGUGAUUAUGCACUGCACUCUGCUUUCCUUGCAUUUGGGCAAAGCAUAACCUGAGCAUCAAGGGCAAGAACCUUUUGCUACCUAUGCAACCUUACAAAAAAAAAGAAACUUUUUGGGAGUAAAUUAAUCCCAUUUUUACCCUGACAUAACUAUUCAGGUCUUUUGCGUUGAUCAACUUAACCUGACCGUGAGUGCAAUGCUAAGAGCAAAGUCAUGGCCCUGCGUUGACCGACGUAUCACGCUGUGCCACGUGUACUAACUAACCACAUGAGAGUGAUUUGACCCAAACAAUCACUACAUUGGAAAAUGACUUUUUUUUUUCCAUGUACCAUGGACUGACUCACAAGCCAUGAAUAUUCCAGUGUCACCUGGCUAGUCUUGAGCUCUGCUGUGAAUGUCAGGUAGGCAACCAUGGCAUUGCAACAAGCACAAGAGACAGACAAGAACACAAGAUGGAAGUAAAGGUGAGGUGUCAUAUGCUUUGGAAGCUAAUCUCAAGGUGUCCAUGGAAAGCAAAGUACACCACAGCUUGUAAAGCUCCCAGCCAUUGAGGCCUACAAAUACCCGGCUACCUAGCUUGGCCUCUUCUCAUCCACCACAAGAAGUGAAAAGCUUCACUGAGCUUGAUCAAUUACUACUAGUUAAUUACCUAUAGCUAAGUAGUAAAAAAAAAACUAGCUGGUUUUGGUUUUUGUUGCAGUGAUCAAUGGUGAAAGGUACUAGUGGUUACAGCUAUGGCCUUGGGCUUGCCUGCUUUGCUCUUGUGGUUGCCAUGGCUGGAGCUACUCAGCUCAAGGUCGGCGGCGGCAAUGGCUGGAGCGUCCCGGCCGCCAAUGCGGAGUCGUACAACGAUUGGGCCGAGAAGAUGAGGUUCCAGAUCGGAGACACCCUAGGUAAUCAAUUGAUUAAAUUCGAGUUCUUUGCGACAAAUAUUAUUCCAUGCAUUUGUGAUGAAGCUUUUGAGGUACUAGCUCUGUUUAAUGUUACGAGUCGUUUUGACUUUUUUUUUAAAAAAAUUACAACCUCUUUAGCUUCAUCAAGUUUACAGAAAAAUAUAUUAAUAUUUUCAACAUAUAACAAAUAAAAACUAUUAAACAUAUUCAAUGGUAGAGUUAAUAAGACUAAUUUAGUGUUAUAAAUCUAUAUUUUUUCUAUAAAUUUAAUUAAACUUUCAAUAAACUGGACUUUAGAAAAAUCAAAGCGACUUAUAAUAAAGGAAGUAGCGCAUGAUCAUGGCGGAUCAUCAUCUAUGGACAAUGGUUGCAGUGUUCGUGUACCCGAAGGACAAGGACUCGGUGUUGGUGGUGGAGCCGGCCGACUACAACGCGUGCAACACGUCGUCGUUCGACCAGAAGUUCGCCGACGGCAACACGGUCUUCACGCUCGACCGCGCCGGCGCCUUCUUCUUCAUCAGCGGCGUCGACGCCAACUGCCGCGCCGGCGAGAAGCUCAUCGUCAUGGUCCUCGCCAGCCGCAACGGCACCGCCACCGCCACCGCGCCGUCUCCGCCCCCGGCUUCGUCGACCGCGCCGCCGCCGACGUCGCCUGCACCCGCCAGCCCGCCGCCGUCGUCCCCGUCACCUCCGCCCGCUUCACCGCCGUCUCCCAGCUCGUCGGGCGCCGCUGCUCCGACGACGCCGCCGCCCGCGUCGUCGCCUCCCUCCACUCCGACGCCAGCGUCGCCUGCGCCAUCCGCGUCGUCCCCGCCGGCGCCGCCAUCGGCGAACGCGCCGAGCGCGCAGGGGGCGAGGAACCCGAGCGCCACGUCGUCGCCGCCGCCCGCCGCGAACGGCGCCGCGCACGCCGCGGUGGCGGCAUCGGGCCUCGCCGCCGGCAUCAUUGGCUACGCCAUGCUCGCACUCUGAAGUCUGACCAUGCAAUCAGUGCAAAAGUGAAGCUGUUGUAAUAACUUGAAUUAAUUUGGAGGGAGAUGAUUUGUGUACUAUACGUGUGUGUGUAUGUACAUCGUGUGUUUGUAUUAAUUCGUUUUCCAAAGGAUGAAUAAGAACAAAAUGAUAUCGAGCAUUUGUGCCAAAAUUUGAUGUGUUCAAAUCCAAAUAUUAACCCUUGUUUUUUUAUUUGAAAUUCGUCGCCGGCUGAAGUGCAGGCAACACGGCGCGUUUCAGCCGACGGGGGCGGGUACGGGGAUUCAAUCUCCGAUCCCGGAUAAAUCGUUGGGCUGGGCCGGCCCAGUUGUACUUUCCAGCCCGUUUGUGAACCGUUAGAUGGUCGAAUCCAUGACCUCAUGCCUAACAACAAACUCUUCCAGUUUAUGAACCGUCGUUAGAUGGUCGAACCCAUGACCUCAUGCCUAACGACAAACUCUUUUCAGUUUAAAUGUCAAAAAACAAACUCCUUUCAGUUUAUGAACCGUUAGAUCAUGUGGAGAUUCGUGCAGGAGUCUGCAUAUGGCUGGGGUCGACCCACGACAUUAUGCCUAAAGACAAGCUGCAUUAACCAGUGAGCCUCGUGCGGAUUUUUCUGUUGAUUUUAUAGCAGUUACAUAUAGGUUAGUUAUAGUAACAAUAUACUCCCUCCGUUUCGAGAAAUAUUUGACACCGUUGACUUUUUAGCACAUAUUUGACCAUUCGUCUUAUUCAAAAAAUUUAAGUAAUUAUUAAUUCUUUUCUUAUCAUUUGAUUCAUUGUUAAAUAUAUUUUUAUGUAGGCAUAUAAUUUUACAUAUUUCACAAAAGUUUUUGAAUAAGACGAACGGUCAAACAUGUGCUAAAAAAUCAGCGGUGUCAAACAUUUUGAAAUGGAGGGAGUAGUUAAAACGGACAUACACUCCAAUUAUACUACAGCUACAUUUAACUUUGCAUUUGAAAGUUCUUCAUAAAAAAAUUGUUGAAUGUUGUACAGGUACUCCCAAUUAAAAAAUCAUCAAGAGGUCCUUUGAAAAGAGUGAUUUAGGUUGUGUUAGAGAGGAGGGGUUGGGAACGCCGAACACCACCUCUCCAGUAUGCAAAACGAAGCACACAUUAGCAUAUAAUUAACUAUAAGUAUUAAUUAAAAAACUUAAAAAUGAAUUAAUAUGAUUUUUUAAAGAAACUUUUCUAUACAUUUUUAACAGUUUGAAAAGUUUAUGCGCGAAAAAUGAGAGAGGUGAAGUUGGGAACAUUAACUUAAGAACAUAACUUUUCUUUUUGGGGAAUACAGUUAAGAACACAACUUAUAUGGGAAAUAAAUCAGCUCAUGUAAAAAUAGUUUCAAAUUUCUAUCCUUUCAUCCGAAAAUAUAAGCAUUUAUAUAGUUUUUCACGUGGGUUAACGAGAGGAGUGAAAUUAAACGAGAAUGGCCGGUUGAGAUGGAAAAGUUGGUAGAGAAAUUCAAUAACUGAUGACUGUGAAUGAUUGAUACGAUGUAGUAGGUGAAGAUCUUAUAAUCUAGGAUAAAUUUUAAAUGCUACAAACCAUUGUAUCUUGGAACUGAUGCAACGCAAUUGCACGCCAACUAACGAGCUGAUUUUCUAAUAAACAAGUAAAUCAUCCAUCAUCGUUCACCCGCAUUUCAUCUACUUCAAUCUACAUUGUUCCACCCAAAUUCAAACGUAACUUAUGAUCUCUCAAAUCAAACAGGUAUUAUAGUUUCUGGUGUUUCUCUGCUAAUAAAUCAGGAUCAGACUAAAAUGAUCUCACAUCUUUAAAAAAUAAAAUAAAAAAGAGAGGCCUCCUCCUGCUCUCUCCCGACAAAUGACAUUGGCUGUCAGGCAGCCUGUGCCCAAAUCAAGAAUCAUAUUCCGGUAAAAUUAUCCAGCUUAGCCCCGAGUAUUAUUCUGUCCAACUUUCCAAGCUCGAUCGGCAAAGCAUCGAUUCGAAAGGCGACGCAGUUGACGCGAUCGACGGGAUAAACACAGCAUGAAAAGCGAUCGAGAGCCCCCAGCACAUGCCCCUGCAUGCCUGCACGCCCGAGCAAAACGUUAGCUUCAGCAAGGCACCGUGUGGCCUACAGCUUGUAAAGCCUCUCCCCGAUCGAUACGCCUACAAAUACACGCGAGAAACCUGCAACCUGACGAAACCAUCACCAAAAUUCAGGCAUCUAUCGACAGAAGCAAGAUCAGGUUAGUUUGUUCGUUGUGCAUGGCAGCAAUGGCGAGCAGCUGCAGUGUGCUUGUUGUGGCCUGCAGCUUCGCUGUGCUUCACGUCGUCGCCAUCGCCGGCGCGACGCAGUACAAGGUCGGCGGCGACGGCGGAUGGGGCGUGCCCGGCGCCGGCGACGAGCCGUACAACACCUGGGCCGAGAAGACCAGCUUCCAGGUCGGCGACCAGCUUUGUAAGUAUAUUUACAGUUAGCUGCUUUAAGAUUCAGCCGUUAUUAUUUUUCGAGUGCACGGCAGAUACAUACUAUAUACACAUAGUGAGGUGAGAAUCAUCAACUAUAAUGUCAUCAUCAUUACAGUCACUAGUAUAUAGGUUCUACUCUUUUAUUGUCCCACAUGUCGGUGUCUAUAAUAAUAAUGUCAUUAUGAUAGAGAAUAUGAACUCAUAAGGACAGACCCAGCCCUCGGCCCCUAGGUCAUGGCCCGGAGGCCUAUGGCUGAACACCCAUGUACCUUUUUUUUUUUUGCACCAUGAUGAUAAAAAAUUCAGUACACGUGCAACAUUACAGUCACACUUUUGAGUCUAUAGCAUAUGCGCACUGACACAUACCACAACACACGUAACAUCACACUUACACACCAUGAAUGUACCGAUCUUAUUGCGACAUGUUAAUAAGCAUUUUUUUUAAUGUGUAUGCUAGUGUUCGUGUACCCGAAGGACAAGGACUCGGUGUUGGUGGUGGAGCCGGCGGACUACAACGCGUGCAACACGGCGUCGUACGACAGCAAGUUCGCCGACGGCAACACGGCGGUCACGCUCGACCGCGCCGGCGCCUUCUUCUUCAUCAGCGGCGUCGACGCCAACUGCCGCGCCGGCGAGAAGCUCAUCGUCAUGGUCGCCAACGCCACCGGGAGCAGCGCUUCGCCGCCGUCCUCCUCGUCGUCGCCGUCGUCUCCCUCCGGUGGUGGUGGUGGCGGUGGCGCUCCAGCCGGGCAGGCGCCGCCGGGUGCUCCGGCCACGCCGGCGGGGACGAACAGCUCGCCGGCUAACGGCGGGGCGGCCGGCGGCGGCGCGAAGAGUGGCGCUGGGCUCACGGUGGCGGCGAGCGGCCUCGCCGGCUCUCUGAUCGCCGCCAUUGCCUGCGUCGCGAUUGCUAUCUGAAUAUCUGACACUUUGCAAGAGAAGAUGCCGUUUAUUCGUUUAUUCAGAAAGUGAAUUCUUCUGUUCGUUUGAUGUAAAGGCAAUGUACCUUUUAGUUUGUACUACUUGUUAUUUUCCCUUGUAUUGUAUCUUUGUUUUUUCAGACAAACCAUUAUAAACUGAAGACAUGCAAUUCUAACAUGGGAGGACCUAAAAAAACUGCCACAAGUUUUUGGAAUAAAAAACUUUCGGAUAUAAUUAAAGUGUAAUUACGUUGUAAGUACAUUAUAACUACACUAUAACUUAUAUAAAACUUGCAUUUGCAUUUGCCUAUGGUUUGGUUAGUUAGCAUUGAGAUAUCUUACACAUGACACUUGUGAAAAUUUCCAAUAUCUUUGUCCUUGGAUAGCGGCAGAUGUAAAAGAACUAAACUUCUAUAAGAAGUUAAAUAAUGAGAAACUUUACAGAACAUUUUCACAGCAUAUAUGGUCAUCGAGCGCCUAUUCUAGCCCCAGAACAAAGGUAGGAUGCACGAGUUUUAGGUAGCUUAGGUAGGAUGACAAACACGGCUAGCUUAGGUAGGAUGCACGAGUUUUAGGACCUCAGAGAGAAUGAAUCACCUCCUAAUGCUAGCUUAGGAAUGACUAGUUCUAGUACUUCAUAUAAAAUGAAAAGGAAAUGCUAUUCUUCUGUUGACAGAAAAUGCAGUGCCAAAUGGAUCAAAAUUCAACUUUGCAGUAUAUCGCCAGAGGCCACACCCACAUCGUAACAUGUAGAAAGCAUGCGCAGAUAGCAUAAGACAAUCCAACCAUAUUAUAAGGAACCACGAAGGUACACAUAUUGGGUUUGUUAAGCAUGAAAACUGGAAAUUUCCUUGAACCAAAACAUAGCAGCCGAAUUAACUUGACAGUCAACAAUUCAGGACACUGAGCAAAACUAAAUCUCUCUUCAGGAACAUUGGGAGCUAUGAGACUAUCCAAAGAAGAGAUGCUCCAUGGCGACAAGUUGGCUGACAAUACAUCUACAGCCUCCUUCCUCUCCUACCUCCCUUUCUGCGGGUGCUGUCCGUGGGAACCGGGGUCACAUCCUCUGCAAAAAGGAUCAGACAUACAAUCAUCACAAUGUCUAAGGAGGAUUGAAGCAUAAUGAGCCUGCUACAAACACUAUCCACAGCAUAGAUGAAACAAAUAACUAUCUCUAUAUCCUUAGGUUGUAUGAGUGAAACUCUGAAUUUACCAAUGCGACCAAUCUUCAUGCCAGAGCGAGCAAGAGCCCUAAGAGCAGAUUGAGCACCAGGACCAGGUGUCUUUGUCUUGUUGCCUCCAGUGGCACGAAGCUUGAUGUGCAGAGCAGUAAUACCAAGCUCCUGGAAAUGUUCAACAGAAUUUUAAAAAUACUUUUAAAAAGUCACUCAAGAACUGUCCAUCUGUCCAAUUGAGAGAUAAUGUUUCCAUACAAACCUUGCAACGCUGUGCAACAUCUUGAGAAGCAAGCAUAGCUGCAUAUGGUGAUGACUCAUCACGGUCAGCUUUGACCUUCAUGCCACCUGCAAGAAUUCAGGGAAUGGUCAAUUUACCUCAUCAGUAAUUGCAGCUAGAGAACCAAAUGAAAUAAAUAAACACAAAUCAUACCAGUAAUGCGAACAAGAGUUUCCCUUCCAGACAAGUCAGUGACAUGCUGCAGAGGAAAACAUUGGUAAGAAACUGAAUAGGUGGUUAGACUAGAUUGAAGGAUAUAUAUAACUGGAAAAAGAAGUACUUACAAUGAAAGUGUCAUUGAAGGAUGCGAAGAUGUGGGCAACUCCGAACACAUACUCUCCUUCACGGACAGUGGGUCCAAGAGUGACGUUCUCCUCCUUGGGCUCCCUGGUCUUCCUCUUCGACUGGAGGACGAGUAACAGUUAAGCUAUGGAAUGAGAAGGAACCAGCUACAGCUACAUAACAAUUACAUUUCUACAUGCCAAGUUGUGACAAAACUAAUUUAUGCCAUAACCUGCCAUACAAGUAGGUGUGCACAGUACACUAAGAAAUUUUCAUGCCUCUCAUCAAGUAAACACAGAGACCUUCCUACAUCAUCCAAAUGUUCACUACAAAACAUACUUGGAGUAUCUAUCAAAAACAGUGAAACACCCUUGCAACAAUUACAUUUCUAAACAUCAUCAACACAAACCAGACCUUGUUCAACACAAAACUGCGAAUCAAACGCCACACCAAUCAUGUGCUAGGGUCAUACACGACCCAAAAUUAGAACAGCAAAUCAGUGAAACACCCUUGCAACAACUAAACAACCAUUUGGCCAUCACAUCCCAGAAUUGAUACAAACCCUGUAAUAAUAAUCUCCCUAACAUGCCAGAUGCUCUAGUACUAAGUUACAGCUCUACAAAGCCAACUCGCAGACCGUGCGUGCUACACAAACCUAGCAUCAAAGCUGCAAAUCCGGGCAGGAAUUUGACCCGAGAUGGGGAACAGGGGGGGACUUUGGCCUUACCAUGGUGGGACGAGGCGGCGGAGAUCGAGGCGAGCGCCGGUUUCCUCCUGGUCGUUGAGAUCACGAGCUCGCCGCCGCCGGAGACACGAGAGAAGAGGGAAGGGUGGAGCAGCGAGUGAGCUUUAUAUAUGGGCGCGGCGGCGCGGGGGCUAGGGUUUGCUGCGGAAGCAGCGGUGUCCAACUCUCCCGCUGCAAGUGGGACCAGGAGUGUUAUGGGCUGGGCCAAGAUGUUGUGGACGGCAAUUGACGGCCCAGGUUAGCCCAUGCUGUAGGGGCGGAUGGGCCAAACAAGCAGAGAAUAA